CAAUUGCUUUUAAGGCUUCCGGCUCUAGUGCAUCGAACGUGUUCACUAGAAUGGUCGGGUGGGUUUCUCUCUCCAGCAGAUCCAUAUGUUCUUGAAGCAACGGGAGGACGAAAGUGUACGGAUUUGUAUCCACCAUGAAGGAGGGAAGGUCUUGGCUUGUAAGAGAUAAUGGCAAACCUGGUAACUCUAUUGCACAUGGAAGGGCAUCGUUCGUACCAGAACUAGUAUUAUCCCGGAUGAGAUCUUUGUACCCGUUAAAGUAAUAGUAGUAGAUGUCGAAAACCGUGGCUGGUUGAAUCCAAAGCAGCACAUUUGGGAGGUGAAGUUCAUGUGCCACGUCCGCGGCCCAAGGGAGAAGUAUUGUGUAGACUAGGCAAGUAUAAGGGUGACCCUCGUUUGCACUUGAGACUACAAGGUCGGUGAUGGCUUGUGCUCCGCGGCGCCGCAACUCCGACCAGUAGUGGUCGAUGUUGUCGCCGGGCUUAAACCCGUCGUCGUACCCAUCAGAGAAGGGCGCAUAAGUCAAUCCAUCUGGAAUUGAGCCAUUGCCUAUGCGAUGAUGGGCUGAGAAACUGGUAACGAAGGUGACGUGCGCACCUGUAGUGUUGAUAAGGCGCUUGGCGAAUUGGAGGGAAGGGUUGAUGUGGCCUUGAGCCGGAUAUGUGACAAGUAGAAAGCGGUGUUGCACCAUGGCAGCGUAUGCGAUUGCGGAGGUGCGCGGUGGAGCGUGGAGUUGUUGGAAGUAGAAUAAGUAGGUACCUAGUUUACUGGUGGAAAAUUUGGUGCUGUGGGCUUAUUAGCUUAGUGAAGUAGAAAUUCUUGUGGGAGUACGUAUUCAAGGUGGGGAAUGCGGUGAGAGGAUGGUAAGGCUUAAAUAGGGGCUUGGGGGCAGAAAUGUUACGUUUGUGCUGACGAAUUGAAGGCGCUGGAGAAGGACAAUUGUAAUUUGUGGUCAUCUCGAUGCAUGCAUAUAAUAUUAUGGGUAAUAAUACUCUCACUACAUAUUUAUACCAUCAUUUGUAUUAUUUUUAUAAUAAUGAUGAGAUCCACAUGUUCUUGUGGAUCCUAUCUUUUGAGAGAUUAUACCAAAUGUGGUAAGUGUAGCAUUAUUCUUAUUUAUAUCAUAUUUUGUAAAUCAUAUGAUGUAAUUGUUGAUGAUUUGAUUAUUACUUAAGCGUUAAUUUUCGUGAUUAUUUUUUAUAAUUACACCUCACAUAAUGUACAAAUUUAGUCUAAAAAAUUAGUUUACCUAACAUUACUUUUUUAAAAUUGGUUUCAUUAAACUUCAUAGCACAUCACAUGGACUAAAUCCAAUCUAAUGUGGUAUAAUAUACAUAUUAAUCUAUCACCGAAAAACUGAUAAAUACACAUGUGAGUAACUUGACCAUGAAUAAUGUUAGGCCUCGUUAAGUUAGGCUUCGUAAUCGUCAGCGAGGCCAUGAAUAAUUGGGUUCCUACAAAGGAGCCUAUGCGGUUCAUCAUAGAUGUGAGCAACUUCACCUUGAGGUCUUGUCCUCAAUACUAGAAAAAAACUCAGGACCAAGACACGAUCUGAUGGUGGCACGCUUCCGCACCCUAAAACUAAAGUCCUAAAACUAAAAGGACCAAUUUUUUUUUUUUGUGGUCCUAAGCCGAAAGGAGGCGUGUUGAAAUAUGUUAUUACAUCGACACAAUGAAGGAGAAAAUAAGAGUUCAAAUAUCAUAAUUUUACUCCAAUUAAUAUUGAGGUUUUUUUGUGAUAAAAACCUCACACAUUAAACUGUGCAAGUGCUAAUUAACAAGUUUGAGACAAUAUCGAUAUUGCUGGAAGUUGAUCUUCAUCCCCUAUUUUUUAUAAUUUGACAAGGCGAUAUGAAGCGCAAAAUAAUAAGCAACCAAAUAGUUUUGGUGAAAUGGAAUAUGAAAUACCUCAACCGUGGGACUCAUACUCUAUUUUAUAUAAUCUAUUGCUUUAGAUAUCUUUCAUCUUAUAAGUACAUUAUCCUAAAUUCUUAAUCCUGGUAAGAUUCCUAGUCAGACUAACUUCCCUAAUUAAGCUAGAUGGUUGUAGUAUUGACUUCAGUCAAGCAUGCAUGAUGAGUGCAUGAAUUCACUUUCUAUUUCUCAUAAAGUUCAUAGUACAUAACCUGGACUAGUAGGUUUGACGUGGUCAGAGAGACGAGCGAAUUUGGUAACCACAAACUGAUUAAUACACACAUACAAAUUUGUGAUUUCUCCAGUUAAGGGCCUAGGGCCCCGUUUAUCAUAUGCCGAGUUUGAUUGGUCUAGCUGCAUCACACUAAAAUUGAUUGGUCUAGCUGCAUCACACUAACUUUCGUUUGAUAACAACGAUUGAUGACGUAUUUAUAGGAGAGGUGAGCAUGCCAAAAAGUACAAAAAGUGUGGCAUGACCGUUGUCACGAUUUUAGUAAUAGCUACUCUAGCAACAACACGCUUGCUUUGUGGCUAUUGCUCCCUUUUCUUGUAUUGCUGUUGAUUCUAAAAAUUAUCAAACUUACGUGACGUGCAUGCCAAGUAACUAAGAAUUAACUACGUCCUUUUUGUGGUUGAUGCGGGUGUGCCACCUCGCCGCCGAGGCACUAUUCUAAAAAUCCCCGUCUAGCGCCGCCUAGAUGCUAGGCGGCUAGUCACCGUCCCGAUUAAUACUUAGGCAUUUGAAAAUUAAGAAAGGAUGCCUGGACCUGCUAAGGUGCCCGCCCAAACCACCUAGGCACCUGCCUAACUUGCCUAGACCAUCCUAGGUUGCGAUUCACUUAGAUAGAAAAUAGAUGACUUUCAUUUUGUAUUUUAUUUUUUUAAUAAAUUGUAAGAAACUUGUUGAAUACACACAUUAUGUGCGUUGUUGAUGCACAAAAUCAGUGGGGACUUUGGUACAACAGAAAAUGUUAAGUUUGUGACCUUCACUAGAUUGCUCCGAUCACUAGUGUAGAUAAGUAUGUAAAUGGAUAGAGACAGAGAAGCAAACACAAGAUGUACGCGGUUCACCCAGAUUGGCUACAUCCACGGAGUAGAGGAGUUCUCAUUAAUUGUGAAGGGUUUACACAAGUACAUAGGUUCAAGCUCUCAUUUAGUGACUAGUGAAUGAUUUAGUACAAAUGACAUUAGGAAAUAUUGUGGGAGAAUGAUCUCCUUUUAUAGAAGAGAGUUUCUAGCUUUGUUUUGACAUUGACACGUGUCGUGUUGUGAUUGGCUUCUGAUGUUGACACGUGUUGCGCUAUGAUUGGCUUCGGAUGUGUCUCCUGGUUGGAGGGAAACUCUUCUGGGUCGUUGACGGUAUAACGUUGACCGGUACUCGGUAGUUUCGGGAUUGGUCAAGUAUGGUACAAACAGUGCUCCCCUAAGUUCUCGAGUGAGGGAAACUCCUCGGUUGGGGACUUGCAAGAUCCAAGCCGCUGAGUAAUCACGAAACUUCUAAGCACUGAAGUGUGGUAUCGUUUUCAUUUGCCUUAUUUGUCUCAUAGAUAGAUGUGGCAUCUUCUCUGGAAGUAUUUUUCCUCCAUCUAAGGGUGGUAUCUUUAACAGGUGGAGAUGCACAAGGUAAUGUAUUAAUUUCACUUGAAGCUUACUUGUAGUUUCAGACUUGGUCAAGCGCGAUACAAACCAUGUAGUAGGAGUUCCCCAAGUCGCCGAGCUAGGAGAUCUGCCUAAAGAGGUGACAGACAAGGUAAGCAAUUAGAGUUCUAAGCAAUCAGUCCCAGAUCAGGAGUUUGAUUUUGAGUUCUGGCUGAUUGUUCUCAUUCUCCCUAUCUUGCAGGCAGUAAAAAGGAUAAAGAGAAGAAAAAGGAGAAGAAAUAAUAUGAGAUACUUUUGCUUUUGAAGAAGUAACUUUCCACAUGCUUAUUCUUGAACUGGUUAGAGGGUUUUCUGGUUUCCUCUAGAGUAUAAGGCCGACUCAAGAAUUUGAGGGUCAAAACAAGUUUAUCAAAUCUAGAGUACAUUCAACCCUGAUGAUAUGGGAUACCCUUACUGUUGACAAAGUAGUGGAUGUGGCAUGGCGAGGCUUUGCUCUUUGGCGACGGUGUCAGCGAAAGGCUGUUGAAGCUUCUUGAGCUAUUCGGAUAGGGCAACGAUAUCGAGCUUAGAUUUGACUUAAACUCCUCCGUCUGGAUUAUGCGGUUCUGCAGGGGGUCGUGCUAUAGUGAUCUAUUCUAGCUCAUCAUUGAACCUUCUACUCCAAUCUUUUGCAUCGCAAAAGUGGUAUGCAACCUUUGCAUUUGAAUGGUCCUUCAGAGUACUACUUCUCAGCGACUCAUCCAUGCUUGGCAGCUUUAGUGUAAAGAGCCAAUAUUGUAUCAACUGUUCUAAGGUAUUUUCUGAAAAAAUUCGCGACCUUGACAACAGUUGAGGAUGAGUACUCAAGAGCAAUGCUAGGUGAGCAACUAGGCAAAGGUUCCGAGCAAUCAGUUCUAGAUCGGAAGUUUGAUUUCAGGUUCCAACUGAUUGCUUUCUUUCUCCUUGUCUUGCAGGUAAGAGCAAAGGCAAAUGGAAAGGCAGGGAAAAAGCAUGAUAUGAGAUACUCUUGCUUUUAACUCUGAUGAUAUGAGAUACUCUUGCUCUGGUGUAGCUUAUUUGCAGAGGUAUUAUCAGGGGGAAAUGAAGCUGAGUAUAUCGAGAGACUCUGCUGAGAGUGCCCUCUCGGAUGUGAAGAAAAGUUGAGCAUUUUUUUUAUUUGCAGGUCUGCCUGGCUGUGGAUGAUGAAGGUCGGCAUAUAUAGGGAUUGUCCCAACAGCGAGUAGUAACGUUGUUCAUUUAUCCUUCUCGGUUAUAGCAAUGUAGUGGGAGUUGCAAGAUUCACAUGUUUUAACUUUGUCAGAGCACUUUGAAAAAGUGGUCUGUGGUAUCUGAAAAUCUGAUGUUGAGUGUGAAGAUUGCAGAUAAAUUUUAUCCAAGGAAAUCUGGCUCUCGAAGUUUGAAGAGUGGUGUCUUUUCGAUUUUCGAACAAGCAAUCAUGUUGGGGAUCUGACUUUCGAGAUUCAGAGAGUGUUGUCUCUUUGAUUUUUGAACAAGCAAUCAUAUUAGGGAUCUGGCUCUCGAGAUUUAGAGAGCGGUGCCUCUUCAAUUUUUGAGAAAGCAAUCCUGUUAUGAGUCUGGCUUUCGAGAUUCGGAUAACGGUGACUUUUUUAUUUUUGAGAAAGCAAUCCUAGUGGGAGUCUGGCUCUCGAGAUUCGGAGAGCGGUGAGCCAGAGAUUCGAAGAGCGGUGCCUUUUCGAUUUUUGAGAAAGUAAUCCUGGUGGGAGUUUGGCUCUCGAGAUUCGGAGAGCGGUGCCUCUUCGAUUUUAGAGCAAGCAAUCCUAUUGGGAGUGUUUUCUCGAUGUGGGUAAAUGUUAGGCAUUUUUGCCAGUCUGCCUUGCCACGGAGCACAGAGGUUGACACAUAUAGGGACUACCCAUUUAUCAAGCAGUGGUGUUGUUCUUUUACCCUUGUGGGUAAUGGUAGGGUAGCUGGACCUUCAAAAUUUAUGUGUCUAAACUUUGUCAGAGAUCUUUGGCAAAGUUAUAUUUGGUACCUAAGGAGUUGAUGUUGCGUGUGGGGAUUGUCGACAUAUUUUACCUAGGAAAAUCUGCUUCUCGAAAUCCGGAGAGUAGUGCCUCUUCAAUUUUUGAACAAACAGCCCUGCUGCCCUUUCGUUUAUAGGGGCACCAAUUGUGUGCAAGAAGUAUGUUCAGAGAGUUAUUGCUUGUAGGAAUUUUUCCCUUAUUUUCGUACUUCAGAGAUUUAUUGGACCUCAUUUCUCCUUCAUCAUUUCUGAAAAUGUCUGGCCCAUCUGACCGUCGUUUUGACUUGAACUUUGGUGAAGAGGCAGCCAUGCCUCCUCAAGACAAUAAAUGGCGCUUAUCCUUCUUAUCCCCUACUGGUCCUCUUACCGUUGGGGACUCUGUGAUGAAGAAUGAUAUGAAAGCUGUGGUGAUGGCCAAGAACCUUCUCACUCCCAAAGAUAACAUAGUACUUUCCAAACGGUCUAAUGAGUUGGCUGUUAAGGAUUCUCUGGCUUUCUGUGUUCAGUGUGCAGGUUCUGUGUCUAAUAUGACUUAACGCCUAUUUGCUCAAACCCGCCAAGUUGAAUCAUUGGCGGUUGAAGUGAUAAGUCUCAAACAGGAGAUUAGAGGGCUCAAUCAUGAGAAUAAACAGUAGCAUAGGCUCACACAUGACUAUGCUACAAACAUGAAGAGGAAGCUUGACUAGCUGCAGGAAUAUGAUGGUCAGAUUUUACUUGAUCAUCAGAGGUUUGUGGGUUUGUUCCAAAGACAUUUAGUGCUUCCGUCUUAUGGGGCUGUACCGCUUAAUGAAGCUCCAAAUGAUCAACCUCCCAUGCCUCCCACUUCUGGGGUUCUGCCCAGUACUGAGUCUCCGAAUGAUCACCCUCUGGUACCUUCUCUUUCAGGGGCUCUGCCGACUGCUGAGACUUCUCUUGAGCAACUUUUGUGAAGGCUCCCUCUUGUUUGUUUAUUUUGAUUCAUGUAUAUGUACAUAUUUGUAACUUAUCGGAGAUAACAGUAAAUAAACUUUGCUUCUUUUCAACGUAUUGUGUUAAAUACACCAAAGCCUUCUUAACUAAGUUCUUUGAAUUUUUUCUUUUGUUGAAGCUUGUAUGUUGAAGCUUGUAUGUUGAAGCUUGUAUGUUGAAGCUUUGUGAGUGAAGCAUGUAGGUUGAAGUAGUACUCCCUUAAUUUCUCGAGUGAGGAAAACUUCUUGGUUGGAGACAUGAAAGAUCCAAGUUACUGAGUAGUCGUGAACCUUCUAAGUACCAAGGUGUAGUAGCAUAUGGUAGGAGUCCCCCAAGUCUCCGGUCGAGGGAGUUGACGUAGAAGGUGUCUUGCUAGUAGUCAAGUUUCCAAAGUAACAAAACUUCACUGUUUUCCUUUCUAAGUGGUAGCCCAAAACUCCUCAUUCAUAUAUAUUUGUUAUGAAAGUUGUUAGGCCCAAAGAAGAUGAGGCCUAGGCCCUUUUUUUUUUUUGAAUUUUUGAAUUUACAAAUUUCUGAAUAUAUAUAUAUAAGCUUUUUAGGUGAUGCUUUGUAGGUGAAGCUUUGAGGUUGAAGCUUUGUUGGGUAUCAUAAAUUGAUUUUGCUUCACAUUAUCUAGAUCAAAAGUGUGUGAAGCUUUUGGCAUUUGUAGUUGAAGCUUUGUAGGUGAAGUUUGUGUGUUGAAGCUUUGUAGGUGAAGCUUUGAAGUUGAAGCUUUUAUAGGUGAAGCUUUGGACUUGAAGCUUUGUGGGUGAAGCUUUGGAGUUGAAGCUUUUGUAGGUGAAGCUUUGGAGUUAAAGCUUUAUAGGUGAAGCUUUUGCGUUGAAGCUUUGUAGGUGAAGCUUUGGAGUUGAAGCUUUUGUAGGUGAAGCUUUGGAGUUGAAGCUUUGGAGUUGAAGCUUUGUAGUUCAAGCUUUUGCGUUGAAGCUUUGUAGGUGAAGCUUUUAUGUUUAAGCUUUGGAGUUGAAGCUUUGGAGUUGAAGCUUUUGUAGGUGAAGCUUUGGAGUUGAAGCUUUGUAGGUGAAGCUUUUGUGUUAAAGCUUUGUAGGUGAAGCUUUUGUGUUGAAGCUUUGUAGGUGAAGCUUUGGAGUUGAAGCUUUUGUAGGUGAAGCUUUUGUUGGCAUCAUAAAUUGGUUUUGCUUCACAUUGUCUUAAUCAAGAGUGUGUGAAGCUUUUGAGAAUUAUGGUUGAACUCCAUUGAUGAAGCUUUUGUUGGCACCAUAAAUUGGUUUUGCUUCACACUAUCUUGAUCAAGAGUGUGUAAAGCUUUUGAGAAUUAUGGUUGAAAUCCUUUGAUGAAGCUUUUGUUGGCACCAUAAAUUGGUUUUGCUUCACACUGUCUUGAUCAAUAGUGUGUGAAGCUUUUGAGAAUUGUAGUUGCCCUCCAUUGAUGAAGCUUUUGUUGGCACCAUAAAUUGGUUUUGCUUCACACUGUCUUGAUCAAGAGUGUGUGAAACUUUUGAGAAUUGUAGUUGCCCUUCAUUGAUGAAGCUCUUGUUGGCACCAUAAAUUGGUUUUGCUUCACACUGUCUUGAUCAAGAGUGUGAAACUUUUGAGAAUUGUAGUUACCCUUCAUUGAUGAAGCUCUUGUUGGCAUCAUAAAUUGGUUUUGCUUCACACUGUCUUGAUAAAGAGUGUGUGAAGCUUUUGAGAAUUAUGGUUGAACUCCUUUGAUGAAGCUCUUGUUGGCACCAUAAAUUGGUUUUGCUUCACACUGUCUUGAUCAAGAGUGUAUGAAGCUUUUGAGAAUUGUGGUUGCCCUCCAUUGAUGAAGCUCUUGUUGGCACCAUAAAUUGGUUUUGCUUCACACUGUCUUGAUCAAGAGUGUGAAGCUUUUGAGAAUUGUGGUUGAACUCCUUUGAUGAAGCUAAUGUGUUCACCUCAUCCCCCUCCAUUUUUUUUCUUUUUCUUUUUUUUUUGAGGGGGAGAGAGGGUGCUGUAAGUUUGAAAUUUGAAAACUCCCUAGCUUGUGUGGAAGUUUGAAGAUUUUCCAUGUGGGGUUUUCUCAUGGUUUGAAUUUUGAAUUUUGAAUUUCUUUGGCCAUGUUGAACCCUAUAAGAAUGAUAAGUUUCCACUCUUUUCAUUGUCUUCAUUUGCUCAUUUUGUAGUGAUUUUUAGAGACAGUGUGCUCUUAUAGUUGAGAGGGAUUCCGCAAUUGCUUUGCACCAUCUUCAGGUUGGUAGUCUUCUCCAGUAGAUCACAUGCUUUCAUUCUUGUUGAAUUGUUUGACUGUUCAUGUAUUUGGUUGAGAAUAUAAUGAACUGAUUGAGCUUUUCUCCAUGCCCUAGGAACUUCCUUAUAUUUUGAUUUUUCAUGUGGUGAUAGAGUUUGUUUCUGUUUGUUGCAGAUGUCAGAGUCUGGAAGUCCUAGUGAUAAGGGCUCCCUUAACUCUAACUCUAGGUUUGAGCUUGCAAUGUUGGAGUCUUCAGGGCCUUUGUUAGAGUCAUGUACAAAAAAUUCGAGAUUGGGUGAUCUUCACAGUUAUCAAGCCUUCUUCAUGUCAGUGGGUGAAGGGGUUGUUUGUAAUGCCAUACCUAUAUUUCGUCUGAGUUCACAACAGACCAUUUAGUGCAAAAAUUGUUAGAUAGCGAAAAGCAGCUUAAGGCCCUAAGGCAGUCAUGUAGUAUCCCCCGUAGUGUAGGAAUGCGUUUGGUGCAUUAUGAAGAAUUAUCCUCUGAACCUCCCAAGGGUCAUGUUAUGUUCUAUACCCAGAUAUUAUUGACUUUAAGGGUGAAGCUGCCUUUGCACCCGUGGUAGCAAUGGAUGCUGUCUUUCAUUGGAUAUGCGCUUGGGCAACUCUACCUUGGUUUUUGGGAUACCUUAAUCGAGUUUUAUAUUAUUUGGAUGGAAUGUGGAUUAGGUGAGCCUUCCUUUCAUCAGUGGUGCUACUGCUAUAAGAUGAGCCCGGUGAAAGCAUGCACCGGGUAUGCCGAGUAUGCAUGUCGGAGUGAGAGAGAGCAUAUUGUCUUUGGUAAGAAAAAGGCGUACUGCACUUGUUAAAUUGUUGGUGCUUUCUUUAUAAUGAUUGGGAGUAUGCUAAGGGUGUCACACCUGAGCGACGUGUUCCUACUCACUUCCAGACUGUAGGUUGUACUGUAUCCAUUGUUUGCAUUAUUUGCUGUUUGUUGUGAUUUUCUCUUGCUUCUAACAUUUUUUUUCGUGUAGUGACGCGAAUGACCAUCAAGCUGUUCGAACGGAAGCUAACUGACGUAGAGAAUGUGUUGAGGGUGCCCAAAGAGGAUAGACAUUUAGGCAAACUACGACCCUUAUUUCGAAAGUACGGUUUCCAAACCCUAGUGUCGGAGUGCCAGAGACGAGCAAGUAAGUUGUAUCUUUUAUUUCACUCCUUUUUUCUUUACAAAGUUGCAUUCCUUACUUUGAUUGUUCUUAUUCAGUGAAGAAAGUGGGCAAGAAAGGGAAAACUGGCGCCAAGAAAGGGAAAACACCAAUGUUAAUUCUCGUAAACGACAUUUUGUUUCACAAGGGAGCUCGUAAGCAUCGGGUGAGGCCAGCCCCUAAACCUAAGUCGCAAGAGGAGGUCAUCAAGAUUGCUACCUCAAAGAAGGCUGAAGCUGAGGUCAUCGGGUGUGCUACUGCCAUAGUUGUAGAGGAGAAGAGACAAUUGUUGCCUCUUCUUCCUACCAUCAAUCCUAUCUUUCCUCCAACCAUGGAGUCUGCUGACCAAGAAGGUGACCCUAACUUCAGCCGUAAGAGGAAGUACAAGCAAGAGGUUGGCAGCAUUCAUUGGAAGGACUUGAAGGUUGCCAUGCAGCCAAGUAGUUUUAGGUAUAUUAAUAAUUGCCUGGUAGGAAGUUCAUCCACUGUUAAUGAGCUUGGCGAGCCGCUAAAUGCGAAUGAAUCAGAUCGUGACCGGAUGAUGAAGCUAUCUUCUUAUGUAAGUGUUACUCUGUCAUUUCUUUACUUUCUCCCCUCGUUUUCCUGAUAGUGACGAUCAUCUUGUCAUAUAGGUCAUGACCGAGUACGAUGACAGAUUACGAGAGGUCGAGCGAUACAAGGCAAAGUUUAAAGAGAAUAAGCAGCUUGUGAAUGACGCCAGAAAAACGUGCAAAGCUUUGGCUGAUGCCAUCCGCCUUAAGGAUCAAAACUUUGAGAGUUUGAAGAGGCGGAAUGGUGAGAACGUGAGGCUCAAGAAACAAUUGGAAGCGACUAAGGAACAGUUGGAGACAACCAUCCUUGAGGUUUCCAAGGUUAAAGGGGAGUUGGAUAGUGCCUUGGUUGAGGUUUCUGGGCUGAAGAGGAGUAUCAUAACUGAGAGGGAUGCUGCCGUGCAUGAGUUCUUAGGUUCCCAGGCCUUUCACGAUACCUUUAGACCUCAUUGCAUCCAGGCGGCUAAUUUUGACAAAAAGGAAAUUGAUGGUCGUCCUUGAGCGUUAUGACAAUGGAAGCAUUAUUCGAAGGUACUGUGAUGAGAUGGAUGAGUAUCGACAAAAAGGUGACGCCUUCGUCCUCGCAGUUGAUCUUAGUAGUGAUGAUGACUCUGAUAAUGAGGCUAGUAUCGGUGAGUAGUCUCAGGAGAGGGAGGAUGGUCAUGGAGAUGCUGAAGAAAGUGGUGAUGGCGAUGGGGUUGAAACGUAGAGUGAUAUUGUCAGGGGUUCGGCCUCAGAUAAGGAUGACUCGUAGUGCCCUCUUUUUAUGCAUGUACUCUGGAUGUACGAGUUUGUUGUUUGUGUGACAUAUGCCAUGUACUCUGGAUGUACUAGUUUGUUGUUUAUGUAGCAUGUGCCAUAUACUCUGGAUAUACUAGUUUGUUGUUUGUGUGGCACGUGCCAUGUACUCUAUAUGUACUAGUUUGUUGCUUGUAUGGCAUGUGCCAUGUUGUAAGCCUGAGAGCUUUUUAUUUAUAGAUGCUUACGACUUUGUGCCAUAUAGUUUGAUGUUAAUUACCAAGUAUUUGUACUAUCAUUGAUGAAUGCCUGGCUAUGUUUGAGCAAAUCCUUUGUUUGGAUAUAAGCCAUAACUUGGGUAAAAUUGAAUGAAUAUACUGUGGAGCUGUUCGUUUAUUUGUAUAGUCUUGUUGAAAUAUACUUAGACUUUAUUUCCUGUUGGGAGCAUUCAUGUUGAAGCUUUGAACCUAAGUGUUUUCAUUGCUAGGAAUGUAAGAGGAUUAGGACUGAGUUGUCUAAAUCACCUAUUUGUUGAAUUCAUGCCAAAUGGUCUUCGUUACAUAGGAUGUCGAACAGCUGAAGCUUAACACUUGUACAAUGUGAGUUUACUUGUAAUAGUACUUCAAGUGAUCAGCGUUCCAUAGAUGGCCAAUGAUCUUGCCAUCGGAGCUUAUAAGCUUGUAGGAGCCAAGGCGACUGAUGCCAACAACUUCAAAUGGUUUAUCCUAGUUUGGACUAAGUGUUCCUUCACUCGAGACUCCGUCUUAGAGUAAUAUUUUCUUCAAUACCCAGUCCCCCACUUUGAAAGAACGAGGUUUGACCCUUGAGUUAUAGUAGUUGGAGAUACGCUGCUUGUAGGCGACAUUCCUCAAGUGAGCCUGGUUUUUGUGUUCCUCGACUAGAUCUAAGUUGAGGGUAAGUUGUUUGUCAUUUUUGCUUUGCACGUAGUUCUGGACUCGGAACAUUCUUGCUCAAGCUCAACUGAGACAACUGCCUCUGCACCAAAGGCAAGUGAGAAUGGGGUUUCUCCUGUUGACAUUCAAUACGAAAUACAGUAUGACUAAAGAACUUGGGGUACAAAUUCUGGCCAACAACCUUUAGCCUUGUCCAAGCUGGUUUUCAAAGUUCGCUUGAUUAUUUUGUUGAUGGCUUCAACUUGUCCAUUAGACUAGGGAUGAGCUGGGGAGGCAAAACAUAAGUUGAUGUUGAACUUAGAGCAGAACAUCAUGAACUUAUUGUUGUCAAACUGUUGCCCGGUGUCAGUGAUUAUCGCAUUAGGAAUGUCGAAUCUGCAAAAGAGGUUAUUCCAUACGAAGUCUUUUAUUUUUGCCUCAGUAAUAGUUACCAAGGGUUCUACUUCGACCCACUUUGUGAAGUAGUUAACUGCAAUGAUUGCAUAUCAGACCUUGCCCUUCCCUGCAGGCAUUAGGCUGAUCAAAUCAAGUCAUCAUUGAGCGAAGGGCCAAGGGCUGAUUAUAGGAGUGAGCGGCUCGGGAGAGGAGUGAGGAAUGGUUGCGUAGCAUUGACACUUAUCACAUGAGCAGAAUAUUUUGAUGGCAUCUUGGUGGAGUGUUGACCAGUAAUAUCCUUGGCGAAAAGCCUUGUGUUUUAGGGAUCGAGAUCCAGCAUGAUCUCCGCAGACUCCUUCAUGUAUUUCCCUAAGGACAAUUUCCGCCUCCGCAGAUGUAAGGCAUCUUAGGUAUAGUAGGUUAAAACCCCGCUUGUAUGAGUUGGUCAUUUAUGAUCAAGUAACGGGUAGCUUUGUAUUGAAUCUGCUUAGCUUGGACUUGAUCAUUUGGGAAGGUGCCAUACGCAAGGAAUUUAUAAAUCGGGGUAAUCCAACUAUCCCUUUAUUGUAAGUUGCACACUUCCGCGGCCAUGGUGCUUGGUGCUGCCAACAAUUCGACCUGAAUUUUUCUCCUAAUUUUGUCUUCCACUGUUGAGGCGAGGCGAGCCAAAGUGUCUGCAUGACUGUUUAUCGCUCAAGGAACUUCGGUGAUCUGGUAGUGGAAGUGCUUAAGCAACAGUUGUGUUUGUUCAAGAUAUGCUGCCAUUGAGCUAUCCUUAACGUCAAAGGUGUUGGUGACUUGGUUAACUACCAAUUGGGAGUCACUGAAGAUAUCAAUUAACCUCGAGGUGUUUGGCCAAACGUAAGCCUGCUAGGAGAGAUUCAUAUUCGGCCUCGUUGUUCGACGCCUUGAAUUUGAAACGAAGAGCAUACUCCAUCGCCACUUUGUCAAGGUAGUAAGGACUAGUCCUGCUCCACAACCAUGUUGGUUGGACAAGCCAUCAACAUAUAGACUCCAUGCUAGGGUUGUUGGUUCUAUUUUAUGAGCUUUCGAGGGUAACAAAGCCACUGCUUUAGGCGUAGAAGCAAUGUCAAUUGGAUAUGUGAAGUCGGCGAUGAAGUCUACCACUGGUUAGCCCUUCUCAGCUGGCUUUGGUUGGUAGGAGAUGUUAAACUCACUCAAUGCUAUCGCCCAUUUGAUCAUUUGCCCCGAAGUGUCAAGACUUUGAAGUAUCUGUCGAAGAUGAUGAUUGGUAAGCACGAUGAUGGAGUUUGCUUGGAAGUAAAGGUGAAGUUUUUUAGUAGACAUGACCAAUGUUAGAGCCAAUUUCUCAAUGUUGAAGUAUCGUGUCUCCGUAUCUUGUAAGGUCUUGCUAGUGUAGUAGACAUACUGUUCGACAUUACCAUCAUUUCAAAUGAGAACAGAACUUACUACUGAAGCCGAUACCGAUAGAUAAAUAAUGAGAGUGUCACUAACCUCUGGUUUGGAGAGCAAAUGAGCUUUACUCAUGUAGUCCUUGAGGUUCUUGAAUGCCUCAGCACAUUCAUCAGUCCAUGUAAUGUGCUUCUUAAUUCCCUUAAGUGCUUUGAAGAAAUGAGCACAUCUGUUUGUGGCCUUAGAGAUGAACCUGGUUAAGGCUAUCACCUUGUUAGUAAGGCUUUAGAUGUAUUUUGAAGUUAUCGGUUCCUUCAUGUUGAGGAUUGCUUUGAUGUUCUUGGGAUAGCUUUAAUGCCUCGUUGGCUAAUCAUGAAGCCUAAGAAUUUGCCAGAGCCUACGCCAAAAGCACAUUCGUUGGGGUUCAACCUCAUUCGAUACCUCUUCAGAAUGGUGAAAGUUUCAAAUAGGUUGGUGAUGUGUUGGUCAGCAUGUUUACUCUUGACUAACAUAUCAUCAAUGUAAACUUCCAUGCUCUUCCCAAUCUGUUCGGCGAACAUCGAAUUGACUAGUCUAUGAAAAGUCUUCCCUGCAUUCUUUAGGCCGAAUGACAUGACUUUAUAGCAAUAUAGUCCCCUGUCAAUAGUGAAAGCUAUGUUCUUGGUCUGAAGGGUUCAUGAGGAUUUGAUUGUAUCCUCAGUAAGCAUCCAUGAAGUUCAGGAGUUCACACCCUACUGUAGAGUCUAUAAGUCUGUCAAUGAGAGGAAGAGGAAAGCUAUCCUUCAAGCAUCCUUUGUUUAGGUCGGUGUAGUCGACACAUAUUCUCCACCAGGCCUUUUGGAGCAGAAGACUUUCUUUGGUUGGAUUUUUUUCUUAACAAAGACCACAUUUGCUACCCAUGUUGGGUAAUUGACUUCGCGGAUAAAGCCUAUGCCUUUGAGUUUUCAACUUCUGCCUUCAUUGCUUCGUAUUGUUCAAUGUCAUAAGAUCUUCGCUUAUGUCUCACCAGCUUGUUCUUAGGGUCAAUACUCAAACGAUGACAUGAUAUUGGGAGAGAUGUCUGGCAUGUCCUCGUAUGACCAGGCGAAGACCUUAGUGUUCUCUUGCAAAAAAGAAAUCAAUGCUAACUAAAUGGGUGGUGACAAAGUGGUGCCAAUCUUCACCAUACGAUCUGGAUAAUCUUUUGAGAUAGAAACCUUCUCCAGCUCUUCAGCAGGUUGUGUUUGCUGGGUGAAAGAGUCAUCUCGAGGAUCGUCGGGGUUGACUGUUGCUAUUGUGAAGAUCCAAGUUGGCUUCAUCCGGCUAGUCUUUAUGACUUGGUCAUGUAUAGAAAAGGUUUCCUUGGGCACAGGCAGGUGAUGUUGCUUGACCGAAGUGUUGUAACAUGACCAUGCACUAAAUUGAUCUCCUCUGAUGUAACCAUUGCCAUAGGAGGUUGGAAAUUUCAUCAACAACAUAUGUGUGGAUACCAUAGCCUUGAGAUCAUUGAUGUUUGUGCGUCCAAAGAUAACAUUGUAUGCCGUUGGGCAAUCAACCACCAAGAAGUUAGUGGUAAUGGUAGCUGUGUGAGGGUCUGUACCAAUGGUGAAAGGUAAGUGUAUGCUCCCUAAAGGUUGCACGAUAUCACCGGAGAAGCUUAUCAGAGGAGAAAUCGAGCGAUCGAGUAAGUGUUUAGCUACAUUAAGUGCCCUGAAAGCUUUAACAAACAUGAUACUGACCGAAACCCCUGUGUCUACCAGGAUUCGUCGUACUUAAAAGUUGGGUAUGUGAGCCUCCACGAUCAAUAAGUCGUUGUGAAGGUAGAUGAUACCUAUUUCUUCCUCAGGGUAGAAACAUAUUGGAUCCCAGUUAGGCUUUUGAUACUUGCCUCCUUUGAUGUCUUCCACGUGAAACACUUGGUGGCCUAGCCUUAAAGCUCAUUUGCUGUUUUUCAUGGCCCUAUUAGAAGAUUCAGAUAUGGGUGUGCCGCCGCUUAUGGAAUAUAUCAUAUUCACUUAGCGUUGGUUACGGUUAUCCCUUGAAGGGUGAAAGAGGAAUUGAUCAAUUUUUUCUUCAUGCGCCAAAGCUUCAAUAUGAUCAAGAAGGGUGAUACACUUCUCGCCGUCAUGGCCGUUAUGCUCGUGGUAGCAGCAAAACGUGCCGUGUUCUUCGUGGGCUUAUAACCUGACUACCUCGGCAUUGGCUUCGGUAUCAGGUGUGUUAUGUUGGGGUAAAUGACAACGCAUGUGGCGUUCAAAUGUGUGUAUGUCUCAUACCUCGGGGUAGGGCCUGUCCUGACACGUGUUUAGCCCACUGUGUUGACUGCUUGAGGGCGGGCAUUAUCGUGGCGAUACCCUUGGUUAUCACGAUAGUGUCCCUUACUUCUUUACUCAAAUGAGACUGGUGAGGAUGGAAAUCUUUCCUUUUGCCCUGAAAUUGAUAUGUCUAUUGACUUAGCGAAGUAUUAUGUAAGGUAAGGGGAGGCACCGCUGCCGUUUGGAAGGUCGAGGUCUUCUCAUUUGGUUGGAUUUGGCUUCUACUCCCUACUUGCUGAUAAAGGGUGGCUGUGGAGGGUUUCCCUUGUUAUGUCUUUGCCUUGGCGGAGGCUUAGUUGUAAGCCUGUGCCAUGACCUUAGAGUAAGUCUUCCAAGUGUUGUCAUUGAUCAUGUACUUGAAGAAACAAUCACGUAGGCCUUGAUGGUAGUCUUGUCAUCUGCCUCAGCGCAGCGAGAAUACUUAUGGCUGAAACGACCGGCAUACUCUCAUAGUGACUCAUCCGACUUCUGUCGAAUAGUGUACAAGUCAUCCGUAGAGUGUAAGCGAUCGGUCUGGAAAAUGUGUUGAGAAACAAAUAGUUUCCUCAAUUCCUCAAAUGAGUCUACCGUCUCAGUUAGAAGACGGCAAUACCAGUUUAAAGCUUCGCCAGAGAGGGUGGAAGGGAAGAGAAGACAUCGUUCUUCGUCGGUGUGCAUCCGAUAUGCCAUGGUAGACUCAAAGAGGUUAAAGUGUUCAAUCAGGUCCUCCUUUCCAGUAUAGGGUUGCAAGCCAAGCUUCUGCUUUGUCUUUGCUUUAAGGGGGUGUCGAGGAUCCUCCUUGUAAGAGGGCCAGGCCUAGGUUGGUUCCAAUCAGGUAUCUCAGCUUGUCGUUCGGCCUUCAACUUGUUUACUUCCUUAAGGAGUUGUAGGACAAAAGGGUCCUGAGUGGAGUCAUGUACCAUUGGAGCUUUCUGUCGUAAAUCUCCAUCUCCUCUUGGAAGUAGGAAGGUUUGAUUAAGAGCAUGUGAUUUUUUCUUGGACUCGCUGUACUGACUUCCAAGGUUUGUCUGUCGAAACAUCUCUAAAUCCCCUAUACCUUCGUGUUUCUCUAGGACUUGUUGCCCCUUCCCCAAAUUGGUAGCUGGCCUGGGACAUGGGAGGGGACCGAGUAUUUCAGAAACCCUUGGGUCAUGGAUCUUUAAGCUUACAUGGAAGAGAUUGUCUCGACGUUGCUUUAGGAAGUCUCGACAAUCGUGAAAGAUGGUUUUCCAUCCUUCCAUUCAUUCUGUAAGGAGGUGCCUUCCUCCACUCCUCCUGCUUCGGGUCGAAAUAGCUGGGUUAAGAGAAGUCUCAUGUUGGUCACCAUUUCGAUGAGUAGCUCGCUCUUCAACAGGAAUACCCAUGUCGAGGGCAAAUGACCCUCCGUGUUGGGAGGCACCCAGUUGAUGGUUGAUUUCCACAGGGGUGAUGAGCUCAUGUGUUUUAGUAUAUCUAGCCUCAUGGAGCAUUUCAAAGACCUUCUUAUACUGCUCUUGGAGGAUCUCAUUCUUCAUCACCAUCUUGGUGUUCUGAGACUCCAGCUUAUCGACUUUAGCCUGUAGAGCAAACUUCUUUUGUUCAUUCUUUCGCUACUUCGCACCAGGUGCGAAAGGGGUGUCGUUCUACGUGUUGUGGCUUCCUUCGCUCCCCAUGUUGGCGAGGGAUGCCUGGUCAAAAGAGAGUGUACGAAUGGUGGAAACCAGCUUGACAAAGCUGAAAAGAGUAGGAAUAAGUGCGAUUCCCACAUACGAUGCCAAAUGUUGAUGCACAAAAUCAGUGGGGACUUUGGUACAACAGAAAGUGCUAAGUUUGUGACCUUCACUAGAUUGCUCCGGUCACUAAUGUGGAUAAGUAUGUAAAUGGAUAGAGAUAGGGAAGCAAACACAAGAUGUAUGUGGUUCACCCAGAUUGGCUACGUCUACAAAGUAGAGGAGUUCUCAUUAAUUGUGAAAGGUUUACAUAAGUAAAUAGGUUCAAACUCUCAUUUAGUGAGUACUAAUGAAUGAUUUAGUACAAAUGACAUUAGGAAAUAUUGUGGCAGAAUGAUCUCCUUUUAUAGAAGAAAGUUUCUAGCUUUGUUCUGACAUUGACACAUGUCGUGUUGUGAUUGGCUUCUGAUGUUGACACGUGUCGUGCUAUGAUUGGCUUCUGAUGUCAACAUGUGUCGCGCUGUAAUUAGCCUUCUAGUUGAAGGGAAACUCUUCUGGAUCCUUGACGGUAUAAGGUUGACCGAUGAUCGGUAGUUUCGGAUUGGUCAAGUAUGAUACAAACAUGCUUGAAUAAAUAAACAACAAGGAUAUGAGAGUUGUUUAACCAAACUAAAGGUCUCCUAAAUUAGGCAUGUUCUACCCCUCCAAUGAUGUUUAACCAACCUAAAGGUGUCGCCAGUUGUUGACACAAUGAUAUUUAACCAAAUUGAAUAUUUGCCAACGGGGAGGGGUUAAUGAGUAAUUAGGAUUUUUUUUAGGUUGUGGAGGGUUUCUCAUAAAAGGGUUGAUUUGUGUGUGAGCGACUACAACUGAGGAAGGAAUGCCUCUAGACCUAGGGCUCUAAAACCUAAACACAAGGUUGCUUAAUUCACUACGAAUUUCAAGAUAUUUUGCCCCAGGUUCGGCAACUUCAACUAUAUCCUUGAAAAUAUAAGUAGCCGAAUCGGUAUUAGGCUAUAAGGACAAAGAUAUUCAAAGGAAAUGAGAUCUUUAUGGUGAAUGUUGUUCAGCAGUCUGAAUGUCGAACUUCCAAAUGCACUUGCAAGUAACUACUCAUAGAACAUCUCACUUCGCUGGGGGAGCUAAUAAAGUGACCGCUUUCAGCGAAAGUAUCAAAGACUCUUCAUUGGUUGAGACUUGGAGGUAGCCAACUAAACCAAAAGUAGUACUAUUUAACCAAAUUGAAGGUACUCCUAGGCCGACUAGUUCAAUGGCUCCAAUGACUUUUACCUGAACUAAAUAUGUUUCCGAUUAGCCAACCCAAUGAUGUUGCAACGAAGUAAACAUGUACCGACGGAGGGAUUAGGAUAAUUGAUAUUUUUUUAGGGUUGUGAGAAAAGUUUCGAACAGAGCAAGGUUAUUUUCGUAGAGCGUUUGAGUUGUUUGUUGAGUUGAAGGAGAAUUUUCACGUUGCAGAGCCUCUCAUAUUUAUAGGACGACAAUACUUUAGCUAACAAGUUCCGAAACCAAUUCGAACUGCAGCACGCUCUUGGAGCUUUAUCCCAUUUUACUUGCUAAAUAUCUGAUGCUUAAGUCCAGAUAACAUCUCAUGAGAAACAAUUCUCAUUUGGGGUCAUGUGCAUGAUGAGGCCUACUUCCCUCCUAAGAUGGGACUCUAUCAUUAGUUACAUGGAAGAUAUCAUAUCCCUUGCCCCUACAUGUUGCAUGCAUAUCCACAUAAGUUACAAAUAACAAACCUAUAUGAUGUGCUUCUCACCGUGCCCAUCUUAAUAGUCAUUUAUCUUCUUUGAAUUUGUAGAAUUGGAAAGCAAUCACAUUGCCCAUAAACCUCAAAUGCAGCUUGUGCUUCAAAAGAAAGUCCAUAUAUUGGAAGUCUUGGACAAGGUUGUCUUUUAUUUUUCUUGUGUUUAGCACUUCUUAUAUAGUGGUCAACUUCUUAAUUCAAGGAGCUGCUGUUAGCUUUCCUAAACCUACUGUUAGCUUUCCUAAAGCUGCUGUCAGCUUUCCUAAAGCUGCUGUCAGCUUUCCUAAAGCCACUCAUUAUGGCAUAAAUUAAGGAAGAAGGGAUAGCCUCCUUAUAUUUGCCUGUAGAGUUACGUUGCAGAUAAGAAAAAUAAAUACAAAACAAUCUUUAAAAAGCAAUAUGGUAUCAGAGCAGGGAAAAUAACCUGCUUCUGCAUUACUAUCAUCCGAUCUUAUUCAACCUUCAAUAUGGCGAAAGAAAAUCCUUCUGGGUCUGAAGCUGAAAGUUCACAGGUCAUUUCCUCCUUGAAUGUGUCUGAGAUGGAUGUCAACCCUAAUCAAAGAUUAAGCUCAGUCUUGUUGAAUGAGUUUAAUUACUUGCCUUGGUCAAGAGAAGUAAGUCUUGCCCUAGGUGGAAGGUCUAAGUUAGGGUUCAUAAAUGGAAGCAUCGAAGUUCCUGAUGCUUCCUCUUCAACUUAUGAAACCUGGCUUUGCAAAGAUCAGCUAGUUAUGUCAUGGCUCUUAAAUUCCAUGAAACGUAAACUAGCUUAAAUAUUCAGUUAUUCUGAAUCAUCAUUCAAGCUAUGGGAGACUGUCAAGGAAAUGUAUAGCAGUGAGAACAAUGCUGCACGUAUGUUUCAAUUAAAGAAUGACAUUUCCAACCUGCAACAAGAAGGAAAGCCCUUUGUACAACUUUUAGGCAGCAUGAAGAGCAUGUGGAUUGAGUUGGAAUUGUAUCGACCCCAUAUAACUAAAGCGUAUGUGCUAUUGAAGAAGGCAGAAGAAGACAAGAUAUUCCAACUCUUGUCAAGUCUCGAUGCAGAAUAUGAAGACCUACGAAGCCACAUACUCAUGAACACUGAACUGCCUUCCUUCACCAGUGUAUGUGCAACAAUCCAGCAUGAAGAAGUGCGAAGGAAAAUCAUGAACAUUGGUACAAAGACCAAUGUAUCUGAAGCUAGAGCCUAUCUAACCAACGAAAGAAAAUACAAAGGGAAGAAUCCACACUUGAAGUGCCAACACUGCAACUAUACCGGUCAUGUUAAGGAGACAUGCUGGAUUUUACAUCAAGAAUUAAAACCUGGUUUUAUGAAGGACAACAAGGGCUUUCAGAAGCUGAACCAAGCUACACACAGAGCCAACCAUGCAUCUGCCUCAACCUCAAAUAGGUCUGACACACUCAAAAGCUUCAUAGCAAAUCCGGCUGCACUCAUAAAUGAGUUUACAGCGUAUCUUUGAAGUAAGAAAUGAGGGAAUGAAAGUGAUCAAACGGUCAGUUUUGAAGAUGGAAACUCAACAGCUUUGCUAGGCAAGUUUGCUGGUUUCCUGGCAGACACCGAACACAUACCUUAAGAAGACUUGCAAUGUAUCAUGAAUUCAUUCAAAACUGCUCUUAAUGUAAAUAUGUUGCAUGAUUUUUGGGUUGUUGAUUCGAGUGCCACAUAUCAUAUGACCAACCAAGUUUCUACGUUUCAAAAAUUAUCAAAACCUUCUCAAGUGUUAACUGCAAAUGGUGAAAGUGCCGAGGUUUUAGGAAAGGGAAAAAUCAACUUAAUGUCGGAAAAAAUUGAGUCAAUGGCCUUAUAUGUUCCUUCUUUUCCUUUCCAACUCCUAUCUGUGAGAAAAAUCACCAAUACCUUGAAUUGUUUAGCCAUAUUCUCUUCUCACAAUGUCAUUUUUCAAGAUUGUGUCACCAAGAAGACGAUCGGUGAAAGGUUUUAUCUAGAUGGUCUCUAUUACAUAUCAAGGAGCAGUUCCAAAGGGUUUCAAGCCAAGUCCAAUUCAUCCCAAAAUAAUCAAUUGUGGCAUCAACGUCUAGCUCAUCCUUCUCAACCUAUUUUGUCUUCUUUGUUUCCAAACUUAGGGAAAGUUUUAAUUCCAUGUGAAACUUGUCAUUUAUCUAAGGCCACUAGAUUGCCUUUUAACUCAUCCUUAUCUAGGGCCAGUAAGUUGUUUGAACUUGUUCACUCAGAUGUAUGGGGACCAACGUGUGAAUCUUUUGACGGUUAUAAAUAUUAUGUAAUAUUUGUUGAUGAUUUCUCUAGAACCACAUGGUUGUACCUUUUAAAGUCUAAGAGUGAAGUGAUGGAAGUGUUUAAGGAUUUUAAUAAUCUUGUUAAGAACCAUUUCUCCUCUCAAAUUCAAACUUUAAGAUCUGACAAUGGCACCAAAUACAUGUCCCAUAUCAUGACACAAUAUUUGAGCAAUCAUGGCAUCAUGCAUCAAACAAGUUGUGUUGGCACACCUCAACAAAAUGGUGUAGCCAAAAGAAAAAAUUGUGACAUCCUUGAAAAAACUAGAGCAUUAAUGUUACAAAUGAAUGUACCAAAAAGAUUUUGGUCCCAAGGAGUCAUGGCUGCUGUCUACAUCAUCAAUAGACUUCCUAGCCGAGUCUUAGAUUUUAAAUCUCCUCUUGAGGUCAUGAAAGGAAGGAAAAUUGACAUUUCACAUCUUACAGUCUUUGGUUGUGUUUGCUUUACUCAUGUUCAACCACAUCAUCGAGAUAAAUUGGAUCCUAGAGCUCUUAAAUGUAUUUUUCUUGGUUAUUCAUCAACAAAAAAGGGAUAUAAGUGUUAUGAUCCUCAGCUAAGAAAAAUGAUUGUAUCUAAAGAUGUUCAAUUCCAUGAAACUAAUCAUUUUUUCAACAAGUCCUUUGAAACCAUAAGUCAGGGGGAGUGUAUCUUUGAUGUGUUUCCUCUACCAAGAAUCGGGCUCAAUAAUGCUUCAACAAGAAAAUGUUCCAAUAAUGAUGAACCACAUGCACCACCCACUGAAGGUAACAAUGAAGGUAUUCAUCCUGAUGGUUUUAUGCUUGAUGAUGACCGCGACAACCAAGAUAAUCUUCAAAGUGUGGCUGAAAAUUUGAACGAGUGUGAGACAACUGUACCAGCACCACGACGCAAUCCUAUGCAUAAUAGACAACCUCCUACAAGGUUUCAAGAUUUUGUCACAUACAAUCCCAAGCAUCCAAUCUCCAAUUAUGUGUCGUAUCAAAAGUUGACUCCAUCUCAUGCUGCAUUUCUUAGCACCAUCUCAAGUCACAGUGAGCCACAAAACUUUCAUGAGGCUAACAACCAAGAUGUGUGGAAAGAAGCAAUGAGAGAAGAACUCAAAACAUUAGACCUACACAAAACCUGGAGCAUUACCAAACUUCCAAAAGGUAAAAAGGCAGUAGGUUGCAAAUGGAUCUAUAAGAUCAAGUUUAAUUCAGAUGGUUCAAUUGAGAGGCAUAAAGGGCUGGUGGCUCGGGGAUUCACACAAACAUUUGAGAUGGAUUACAAAGAAACUUUUGCACCUGUUGCAAAAAUGAACUCAAUUAGGGUUCUAUUAUCCGUUGUUGUUAAUAAGGGUUGGUCCAUGUACCAAAUGGAUGUGAAGAACGCCUUUCUACAUGGUGAUCUUGAAGAAGAGGUCUAUAUGAAAUUGCCACCAGGGCAUCCUUAAAGCCAUGAGCAUGAUUUAGUGUGUAAAUUGCACAAAUCAAUUUAUGGACUGAAGAAAUCUCCACGAGCUUGGUAUGCCAAACUAAGUUCAGUGCUUAAUAGCGUUGAUUUCACAAGAAGCAAUGCAGAUUCAUCAUUGUUUGUUCGCACUGGAGCUGUGGGUAAAUUGGUUGUGUUAAUAUAUGUGGAUAACUUAAUAAUUACAGGUGAUAAUGCUGAAGAGAUUUCCAAACUCAUACAGUCACUUCAAUAAAGAUUUGCAAUUAAACAUCUUGAGGUGUUGAAGUACUUUCUUGGAAUAGAGAUGGCAACUUCUCACAAGGGACUAUUUCUUAAUCAAUGCAAAUACAUCCUGGACCUACUCAAGGACGCUAAAAUGAGUGAUGCUAAGCCUGCAAAUACUCCUCUCGAUAGCAAGCUCAAACUUGACUUGGGGGGCAUGCGACUCUCGGAUAUCAGCCACUAUCAGAGACUGGUUGGUAAGUUAAUCUAUCUAACAAUCACCAGGCAUGACAUCACAUAUUCAGUGAGUAUCGCCAGUCAAUUCAUGCACUCUCCCACAAUUGAUCAUUUGAACCUUGUCAAAAGGAUCUUACGUUACUUAAAAGGGUCCGUGGGUCGUGGCAUUAUCUUGAAGAAGAAUGAAAACACCCAAAUCAUGGGGUACUGCGAUGCGGAUUGGGCAAGAAAUGCAAUCGAUCGCAAGUCCACAACUGGUUACUGUAUCUUUGUCGGUGGAAACUUGGUCACGUGGAAGAGCAAAAAACAAACUAUCAUCGCAAGAUCAAGUGCCGAAGCUGAAUAUCGUGCAAUGGCAUCAAUCGCGUAUGAGCUGAUAUGGCUAAAGGGACUUCUAUGCGACUUAGGUGUGUUUACGACUCAACCUAUGAACUUAUUUUGUGACAACCAAGCAGCCAUGCACAUAGCAUCAAACACAGUGUUCCACGAGAGGACAAAACACAUUAAAGUAGAUUGUCACUAUGUACGUGAACAAGUACAGUCGCAGGUGAUUCAGACGCAUUAUACAAGAAGCUCCGAUCAAUUGGCCGAUAUAUUCACCAAACCCUUGGUCUCUCAUCAGUUUCAAAGGCUUCUGUCCAAGCUUGGAUCCGUCAAUCUUCUGGAUCCAAGUUGAGGGGGAGUAUUGGAAGUCUUGGACAAGGCUGUCUUUUAUUUUUCUUGUGUUUAGCAUUUCUUGUAUAGUGGUCAACUUCUUAAUUCAAGGAGCUGUUGUUAGCUUUCCUAAAGCUGACCUAAAGCUGCUGUCAGCUUUCCUAAAGCUGAUGUUAGCUUUCCUAAAGCCACUCAUUAUGGCAUAAAUUAAGGAAUGAGGGAUAGCCUCCCUAUAUUUGGUUGUAGUGUUACGUUGCAGAUAAGAAAAAUAAAUACAAAACAAUCUUUGAAAAGCAAUACCAUAACUCCAGGAGCUUUAUUUCUCCCCCGAGUCCAUCGUCAGUGAAACCGUGGUACACUAAAUGGAAAGAGGAUUCUUUUCGGAUCCUUUUGGUGGGGAUCAUAGAGAUCCUCAUAUCUUAACCGUUUGUCAGAUACUAUUUAUGUUUAAUUUUAAAUAAAAAAAUUCAAAUGAUUUCUAAUCGCAUGAUGUAUGAUGAAUGAUUAAGAUAUAAGAUUUUCACUAUUUGAAUCCGGAUAAGAUCCAAAUCCUGCUAAAGGAUAGGACGAGAUAAAAUUGUAUUGUGUUAGAGAAAGAGUCUGUCAGCUUUUGCUUUUGUUGCUGUCGAAAUAAUUUUAACAAAAACUCCAACAUAACUAUCAUGUAUAAUAAAACCAACGACAACAUCUUGAAGAAGUUAUUAAAAUCUCUUUAUUUGGGAGUUAUCCGACUGCUCAAAAUUUUGUUCAUUCAAUAGUUUUGAUUGCACGUGCGGGACAGAUGGGUCCAAACAAGUUUAUUCUAAAAGACAAAGAAAGAAACUGUGAAUAGCGCAUUCCCAAGGACAAAGAUAAUCUGCUCUUUCACUUUUCGUGCCCUCUCAUACGUUCUUGUUUUGUGUGAUCACGGUUAAGCCACGUCAACAUUUUAUAUUAUUUUUUUAUAGAGAUAAUAAGAUAAAAAUAAAUAGUAAUAUAAAAUAUUAACGUAACUUAUCCGUGACCACAUUAAUAGAAACGCACGAAAAAUAAGAGAGCAGACAAUCCUUGUCCCAUCCUUAACCGGUUUACUAUCGGUCACAAGUGAUCAUUUGCAUGUCUUACGAUGCUAAAAACAAACAAGAGUAAAUCAAAAAAACCCCAAAUUUUCAACAAUAUAGCGACGUAACAAUGCAUGGUUGCCUCUUGGUAUAUAAAGACAAACUACAGAAAAAAAUCUUGGAAUAUUCUCGAUCCCCAAACAUUAAAAAAACACGUCAUCCAUGACGAUAUCUGAAAAUUCAGAUUGCAACCAAAAUUUACAAUACAUCUUUUAGGGAUGUGGAUUCUCUCUCCUCCUAACAUCUCUUAUCUUUCCUCUUCUUCUAUUUGAAUGAUCACGGUUAAGUUAUGUCGUUAACAUCUUAUAUUGAUUGUUUUUAUAAAGACAAUAUGACAAAAAAAUAAAGUAUGAGGAGGGGAGGGAAGGGGAUGGAAAUACGAGGGGGGAGAAUCAUACUCUAAUUUUUAGCUUGUCUUUUGCUUGCAUAUCACGAAAAACACAUAUACACCUCACAGCAAAUGAAAUUUUAGCAUGUGUAUAUUCAUUAUGAAUACUACCAAAGAGUUCAAGAGGCUACAUGAAGGAUUUAACUAAGUUGAGCAGCUAAGCACUCAAAACUAGCUAAAGGGGAUGAAAGAAGGGGAAAAUGGUUAGGAUUAUGAUAAGUAAAUAUUGCAGUUCUUUUCUAAUGUCAUAAAAAAUAAAUACAAAAAUAGUUACGACUAUAAUAGGUAAAUAGUUCAUUGAUCAUUUUAUCGCGUAAACGACGGAUCCUUCGACACCUCAAUAAUCAAAUCUAAGCUAAAGGGGUAGAUGUUGUGAUUCUUCAUCAGUCCUAGCAAGGUUAAUGUGCCUAGAGGAAAAUAAUUUUUUUAUUUUGAAUGAAUGUUUUUAUUCUCGAGCAAUCUAUCUCCUACCUCCAAAUUUAUCAUAUUUUUUAUUUAUUCUUUCUAACUUACCUUAAAAAUAAUAACUCAUGUACUUCAAUUCAUUUCUUUGUACCAAAUGAGAUUGUAGUUACUUAAGAAAUGUUAAGGAAACUCUUUUAAAGUAUGACCUUUUAUGCACUUUACUGUUUCACAUCAAUUCUCGUAUCAACAUUUUAAAAUAUAAUUUUAAAAUAUAAGAUGACAAAUAAUCUAAAAAGGUUACUUUUGAGAAAGUUUAUUUAGCAUUUCUCAAAGGGGAAUCCAACUCGAUUACUAGGCACUAUAACUUGCGUAAAGGGGGAUGAAAAUGACUACUUAACAAGAAGAGGGCGAAGGAUAGUACCUUAUUAAGCCAUUAAGAUUACUGUUGUGUUUCUUUGAGCUCAUUUCGGAACAAAAGUGAACCUUUAUGGUGAGGUUGACGACUGUCAGUUCAUUCCAAUACCUUGGUCCUUGGUCGACACUCAAAUUAUUUUUUCCAAUUAAAUCCAAGUAAGUGACUAGACAGUAGAGUUCCUGCGGAAUUUUCUCUCUUAAUUUUCCUCUUUCUUUUUUUUUUUCAACAAGGGCUUUGGUUUCUUCUGUGAGAUAGAGGUUGUUGAUUGAUAGAUGUCUCUUACAUUUCUUUUGAGAGUAUUUGAUGCCAAUAAUUAUCCACUGAGGUUCUUUUUUGGAUAAAAUUUAUGGGGCCCCAAUUUAUCCAAUUUGAUAAAAGACUAACUGAAAUUAACAUUUGGUAUCUCUUGAAGGAUAAAUAUUUCAGUGUGUCAAAAACACGGUUAUGUAUAUCCAGUGUUAAUACAAAAGUGGUUGAAGUGUUUUUUCGAGGAUCUAACUACAUGUCUUAUGACAUUUUGUGUAUGUGUUUGGAUCCAAAAUUACACCAUCUGCCCAUCGAGACUGUUGAGUAAGCAUGGUUCUAGACCGUUGGAUAAGAAGUUAAGAUAAUUUUGUUUUGAGAUAAUGUUAUGGUUUUUAAUCAUAAUAAUUAUCUUUUGAUAAAUCAUCUUGAUUUUCUUAUACAAAAUAAAUGGGAUACAAAUCAUAGCCCCAACUCAGAAGCAAAAAGAACAAUCCAAAUUAAUUUGGAUUUGUUAGCAGUGCACCGUGUGAAGAGCAGCUUGGAUUGGGACUCCUAGCACUGAUGUGGUCAUGAUGGCUUUUGCAUUGCAGAUGAAAUAAGAAAAUAGUUGCGUGAUGCGGUAGAAGGUUAUUAUGCAUGCAUGGAUAGAUCAUUAAAAAGCCUAAAUAGGCCUAGCUUUUGGUGAUGAUGUGAUAAGCCUAGGAUUUGAUGGUCUUGAAUAGUGGUGAAAUAAGAAACCUAGGUAGGCUAGGCCUUUUUGCAUGGUGAUGGAAGUUAUCAAAUGAGUUUAAAGGCUUCUCAUGGAGGUUUUUUAUGAGAUAAGAAGCUUAAGUGGACUAGGUUUCUGAUGUGAUGUGAUAAAGCCUAGAUAGGCUUUAUUUUGUUUGAAAAGUCACGAAAUCUGAAGGAUAUGCCUUGGCAUUUGACACGGAUCAAUUUCAAUUCCGCGAGGUAGAGUUGCGGUUGGACUCUACAAAGUUAUCAAGCCGUGUGAAGCAAAAGACAGCCACUAUAAAUACAGAGUCGUAUGCAGCAUUGGGCCCUGCUCCAACUCAACACACAAACUGCUCUGCGCAAACCCUUGCUCUAUAUGAAACCUCUCAACAACCUUGAGAUUUUUAUUUUCCUUUUUCUCCAACACAUCUUCAGUUUCGAUAAACAGCACUGUGAAGAAAAUCGACUAACAUCUUUAGUUUGGAUAAACAGCACUGUUGCUGUAAAAUCAGCCGACCGCGAAACUACUUCAGUUUGGAUAAACAGCACUGCUACGAGGCCGACUGGUUAUCUAUCCAAGUCUCGGUCGAGAAGGAUUUUCAAAUUUUUAUUGGCAGAGGUCAUCUCAUUAGCCUUCUAGGUGAAGUGAGGUGUUACCAAGUUACUACAUUCGGCACACUGAGAGCCGAAUUUGAUAUUGAACUUCGUAGAACUAGCAUUCUUGUCUUCAGGCUCUAGAACCAUUCCUAGGAGAAGAGGAAGGUCCAUUCCCAGGUGGUGGGUGUUUUUGUUGCCUCUCUGGUGGAGCUCAGAGGUGAGAGGGAAGGUUUGUAGAGAAAGAGAGUGCGAGAGGUUUGAGAAAGGGAGAGAAGUGAGGAAGAAAGAAAGAUAGAGAGAGUGUGUACUAUGAGAGGGAGAACACAGGAGAGGGUAGAGAGGAAAGAGACCAGGAACCAAAAAGAAGGGGGGUCCCACCCGGCUCACUAUUUAAUAACCAAAAUAAUAUUUAAAAACGAGGGUGGAGUGUAACAUGGUCAAUGCAAACAUUACAGAUACAAAAAACCAAAGUCUUAUAGAGCUUCCUUAUACUAAUCACACAACAAAAAUUACGAACAACAAAACAUGAAAAAAAUGAAAAGGAUACGGCAAUGCAUCGUUGGUAGGAUCCAGACUAACAACUGCUAUUUUUCUGGUAACUAAAAAUGAUGAAAUGGUCAAUGCAAACAUUAUCGACAGAUUCAAAAACAAAAACUAAGGCCAAGGAAAAACUUGAAAACCAACAAAAACUCGAAAUCUUAUAGGAGUCCUAUCUUUCCACAGUUUUCCUUCUUCAAAAUAAGAAUAGAAACCUCUAAUUUGAGUGCCUACACAUAUAUACAUCGGAUAAAAAUCAAAAAUAAAAAAUUCGAAACACCACCAGAAAUAACAAAAAUGAUGAAAAAUAAACCAUAAAAAUUUUCAACAAAAAGUUUAAGACUUUAACUCACAGGAAAUCCUGUAACCAGUUGUAAGUGGAUGCACCCUCACUGGUGACCAAUUGCAAAGUGGCCCUUUUGCCCAGCUCUGUAACCAAUUGUAAAGUCGACUUUUUGCCCAGUUCACUACGGUUUCAUUUCAUUUAUUUUCAUUCGUAUGUAGAUAUAUUUGAAUCAUUGAUUGCUAUAUGAACUCUAGAAAGCCACGAAUGGGAGUUGGAGUAUUAAAGGACUCAACACUUACUAUUUAGUUUAAAUACUCUAUUUGCACGUCUGCAAGUAAGCUGAAUUCACAACCUAUGCCAAUUCAAGGUGUAGAGUUUCACCUUCUUCGGACCCAUAAAUGGUCGAAAAGUUCUAAAAUCAGCCAGAGAAAACUGGGAUCCUCAUCAGAAAAACCCACCAAGGUGCGCUUAUGGAACUCCUCGCCUUUUAAUCUGCAUUACCAGAACAAAAUGUAAAUUCACCAAUUAAAUGCGUAUAUCAAUUUCAUAAUGUAGUUUAUUACAAAGAUUAAGAAGCGAAAAUUACCAUAGCAGUAGUGGCAGCUCCAAAAAGGGCAAUGAGGGAUGGCACAGCUACUUGGCCAACUUAUCUGGCUAGGACUUCAAACACCAAAACCCCGUACAAUGCACAAAAGGAUGCUGCAAAAGAAUUAACAAAAGAAUAAUGAUCGCAAGAAACAGUUCAGUAUAACUUUAAAAACUUUGGGAAGUUGAUGGGGGCAUAAUCAUCAUAUACCAAUUGAUUCAUGUAUCGUGACCAUCCAUCCAAGCAAAGGCAUCUACAUACACUGCGGUAUGGUAGAUAUUUUAUGUGCUCCAGAUUCAUUAUCUGCAAAAUAUGCAUCUAUCGAACAACAUAGUAAGUCUUUAUCUUAACGGAAAAAAAGAAAUUACAAAAUUUAAACUUCGAUCUAAAAGUUAUUCAUUAAUUUCUUUAUAUAUAAGAAAUUAUUGCACAAAAUGAAUGUAUCCAGUUCACCACAGAGUAGUAAUCGAUUCUAAUUUGAUCUACAUGAUCGAAUAUGUGUGUGUGUACAUAUAUAUAUAUCUGCAUGUAUAUAUAUAGCCAUUGUAUGAAAAGCGCUAACAGAUUAAAGUGAUCUCUUAAAACUCGAUAUGGAGCAUCGUUCUCUUCCCAUGUUUGUAGGAUAUAUUACAUGGUUCCACUUCAAGCAUUCUGGCCAACAGCUAUGCGGUCCAUUAGACAAAUUAGAUGGUUUAGUAGGUCCUACAUCGUCAAUCUCUAGCCCUAUAUCAAUAUUGUGUAGUGGGGAACCUUUAUUUGAAUCAAGCAAUUCAUAGAUACAAAAAUUACUUAUAAAAUAACUUUGAAAGUAAGUAAAAAAAAUAUGUUCUAUGCCUAUUGCUUUUGCCGAACUAAAAAAAAAGUGGGAAAUGCUUGAAAUUGGCCAGAAAAAACUCGCAUCUUCAUCGGAAAACCCACCGCAAGCUGGGCUUAUUGUACUCUUCGAUAGAGGGGUAAAUUCGAACAUAAAAAGCUCGAGUCUUGUUGUUAGGACUCUUCUGAGUCCCGGGAGAACUGCGAGAGGAAAGAGAGAGAAGGGAUAAGGAAGAAUUAAAAAAUAAAAAAUAACAGUGCAUAUAUUAUGCGAUCCAGGGACACCAUUGGAAUAAGGUUAAAACUGUGAGGUUGAGACUCACCCAGAACUUAAGAAAUAACUGCAUAUAGUAUUAACACACAUAAAUGAUCAAUUGAAGAUCAUAUCAUGUGCAGCAAGCCAAAACAAACAAUUUGAAAUCAAACCAACCAAAACAAACAAAAGUCAUUUCCCAUGGAAGAUUAUCACAAAAUUGCAAGACCUAUACAAUCUAAAUAAAGUGGGUUCUACGGGGUGGAAGAAAGCAUAAAAGCUGCAGUGGAGCAAACCCGGGAAGGUAGGGUAGAGAAUACGCCACCGAGAGAACCUGAGAAUGGUGAAUGGAAGGAUGCAAAAUAUUGUAUACCAACAACAAAAUAUCGCAUAAACUUAGGAAUUGGAUCAUGCUUUUGAUUUUAUCUUUUACCUACAAACAAUCAUAUACAUAGUACUUUAUAUAUUUUUACCAAAAAACGUCCCUAAUAGGCUAAUAUAUGUAAUAAUACAUGAAAAAUAAUUUACCUACCAUGUAUACAAAAAUGUUAUUUGAUUCAAAAUAUAUAAUCCGGGUUUUCUAAUAUAUAUAUGGGUAAAUUACAUAAUACCCCCUCAGGUUUGAGGUCUAUUACAACCUCAUACAACAUCUUUAAACAUUUCACUUUCAUACAUCACCUACUAUUUUAUUUCAAUAUAGUACAUCCGUUACAUUUUUCAUUCAUUGAUCCGUUAAGAGUUGACGUGGUUGCCACAUUUGUGCCACAUGGCUGCCAAAUUUAUGCCACGUGGCAAAAAAUUAAUUUUUUUAUACAUUUAAAAAUAAUUAAUUAAAGAAAAAUUAUUAUAAAAAAUAAUAAAAUAAUAAUAAUCACUAGAACCCAUCUCCCUCUCCUGCACCCCACCCACCCUCCCUCCCGUCUCUUACCCCAUCCACCCUCCCUCCCUUCUCUUUCCACAGCCAACACCCAGAAGAACUCACACCCAUAAAAAUGACGCUCGUCUCCUCAGAUCCCACAGAGCCCCAUCUUUCUCCACAAUCCCUCACCUGCGUCAGAACCCUCGCCGGCACGGCCUCGUUUUGGCUUUUCUUCAACGCCGAGCACAGCGACAGCAGCUUCCGCCGUGUACUCCGUCACCCAUUCCGAGAUGGGUUGAGGUUCUGAUCUGGGUUUUUGAUUGGGGGUCCGAUUGAGAUUUGGAUCGGCUUGAAGUUAGAGAGAGAGAGAUGAAUGGAGUUGGGAGACAAUGGCAAAGAUCUGGUGCGGCGGGGGUGCACCACCAGCGGCAAUACUCUGAUAACUUCUUGGAGACUUCAUCCAACGGGAUAUGCUUCAGUCAGCUGGUCUUCAAUACCUUUCAUCUUCCAACUCAUUUGAUCCUCCUCCUCGGGUAUUUUUUUGCUUUCCCAAUCAAAUCUAUCCGAAUUUAAUCAAAACGUUGUAACAAAUCUGAAAUUUGGGUACAUUGUAAUAAUCAUUUAUUUUGUGGGAUAUGAGUAGGAGAGCACCAUUUUUAUGGGUGUGAGUUCUUUUGGGCGUCGGCUGUGGAGAGAGAAGGGAGGGAAUGAGGGAGGGUGGGUGGGGUGCAGGAGAGGGAUGUGACUCGGGGGGGGGAGAUGGGUUCUAGGGAUUUUUUUGUUUUUUUUUAAUUUUUAUAAUAAUUUUUCUUUAAUUCAUUAAUUUUAAAUGUAUAAAACAAUUAUUUUUUUUGCUACGUGGCAUAAAUUUGGCAGCCACAUGACACAAAUGUGACAGCCACUUCAGUUCUUAACGGAUCAAUGGAUGGAAAAUGUAACAGAUGUAUUAUAUUGAAAUAAAAUAGUAGGUGAAGAAUGAAAGUGAAAUGUUUUUAAAAUGUUGUAUGGGGUUGUAAUAAACCUCAAACCUGAGGGGGUAUUAUGUAAUUUACCCUAUAUAUAUAAUCUAGGUGUAGUGUAUAUAUAUAUAUAUAUUUAUAUAAUUGGAACAAAUUAAUUUACCUACCUACAAAUUAAUUUCCAAUAAUUUACCUACAAAAAAUUAUACCCCAUGUGUAAUAUAAUAUCUUUUUUUUCACUAAUACAUGGAGAAUAAUUUACACAAAACAAGAAGAAAUAUAUUUGAUGUAUUAUAUUGAAAAAUAUUAUGUCAUACCUAUAUUUAUACAACAAUGAAAUGUGCCUAAUAUAUGUAACAAUACAUGAAAAAUAAUUUACCUACAAGGUAGAUAAGUGUUAUUUGAUUCAAAAUAUAUAAUACGGAUUUAGUAUAAUUUUUUUUAAUAAUUGGAACAAAUUAAUUUACUUCCAAAUUAAUGCAAUAUAUAUAUCACAAAAAAGGUAAUUUUUUGGUAUGAUAAGGAUACAAUUAAUGCAAUACAACAGUUUAUAUAUUUUAUUUCACUUUUUCUACAACUUUUAAUUUAGAAUAAAUUUAGGGAUUUGGGAAAGUGGCAUGAGUGUAAAUAAAUUGUAUUAGUCGGUCAAUAGUGUUCCGAUGUGGCUGCAGAUUUUAAAUUUGGGCUUUUAUUGGACAUUUAUAUGUAUAUGAGUUUUUAUCUAGGAAUCAUGAAUUGUAAGGACCAAAAUCUAAAGCACCUUUUAAAAAAAAAAAAAUGAACUUGAGUGUAGAAGGGAGUGCACAUUAUUCUAACUAAUAUUCUUAUUUGCAAUAACAAAGGAGACAACUGCUCAUUUUAAAAGUAAAAAAAAAAAAAAAAAAGUACAUGUGCAUGCAAAUAUAUAAGACGAAAAAAAGUACAUGUGCAUGCAAUAUAUGUGAUGAACAAUACUUGGGUAUUCAAAGAUAAGUAGGAAUUUCUAUUCAAAAUUCUUAGUGUUUUAAUCACAGAGUUUUGUGCUUAUGAUCGGAACAGUUAAUACUAUGAAUCAUAUUGUAAAUAUCAUCUUUGCAAAAAAUAAAUAAAAACUAAGGUCCUUUAGUCAAUCUAUUGUAGUAAAUACAUAAACGGUUUAUAAUGCUUUUACCAAUACCGUUCAUUUGUUUUUAAAUAGUUUGAUAACUAAACAACCUUAGUUUUAAUUCAAUUUUUGCAAAGACGGUCUUUAUAUGAUGAAUAAUAAUAUGAAUAGUUCUGAUUAUAAACAUAAAAUUCUAUAAAUUGACAACGAACAAUUUUGAAAAUUUUUUAGUAGGAUUUACUACUAAUAGUAGCCAAGCAUUACAAUUCCAAAAAGUCGACCAGUUGUGUUUACGUGGCUGUCUAAAAUUCUACAUAUAUACACAAGCUACUACCAAACCAAGAAACAGAAAAAAGGACAGCCAUAUGUUAAGAUAACAUCAAUUUAUCCGAUCCAAGAAAGCCUUGAGAUUCUUGUCAGAAGACCCACCUUCACUCACAGCCUCUCUUGCCAAAUCUUUCCAUUUCUUAGCAUUCCUUCUCAUCUCUUCACCAAUCUCCCCACUUCCCAUGACCAACUCCAAACACCUUUUGAGCUCGUCACCCGUAACAAUCCCCUUCUCAUUUGGUGUCACCCUCAAUCCUGUCUUCCAAGCGUCCUCUAUCAACUUGGCAUUCGUUCCUUGGUCCGUCCACUGAGGAAACGCCACGACUGGCACCCCCGAAGCGAAGCUUUCCAAGCUUGAAUUCCACCCACAAUGUGUCACAAAGCAACCCAACGAAGGACUUGACAGAACCUCCACUUGACUACACCACGGCACUAUCCUCCCUAGCUCUUCCAAUUCCUCUCUGCAACUCAACAUCUCUUCUUCUUCCUUCGCCUCAUUAUCUUCUCCCUUCUUAUUGACUUUAUCUCUAAUAACCCACAAGAACGGACGGCCGCAAUCCAACAACCCUUUGGCGAUUUCCUCCAUUUGGGCCUUUUCCAACACACAAAUGCUUCCGAAGGACACAUAAAUCACCGACCCUUCCGGCUUCAAGUUCAGCCACUCCAGGUACGGAGAGUCCUUGGAUUUUUUGAGAAGAUCGCCUCCAAAUGACUUGUCCGAUGGAUCCUUGCCGUCCAAGAAAGUCGUCGGAAUCAAUGGCCCGACUCCAAUCAAAUUGUACUUUUCAGUUGCUUUUAAGGCUUCCGGCUCUAGUGCAUCGAACGUGUUCACUAGAAUGAUCGGGUUGGUUUCUCUCUCCAGCAGAUCCAUCUGUUCUUGAAACAACGGGAGGGCGAAAUUGUAGGGAUUUGUAUCCACCAUGAAGGAGGGAAGGUCUCGGCUUGUAAGAGAUAAUGGCAAACCUGGUAACUCUAUUGAACAUGGAAGGGCAUCGUUCGUACCAGAACUAGUAUUAUCCCGGAUGAGAUCUUUGAACCCGUUAAAGUAAUAGUAGUAGAUGUCGAAAACUGUGGCUGGUUGAAUCCAAAGCAGCACAUUUGGGAGGUGAAGUUCAUGCGCCACGUCCGCGGCCCAGGGGAGAAGUAUUGUGUAGACCAUGCAAGUGUAAGGGUGACCCUCGUUUUCACUUGAGACUACAAGGUCGGUGAUGGCUUGUGCUCCGUGGUGCCGCAACUCCGACAAGUAGUGGUCGAUGUUGUCUCCGGGCUUAAACCCGUCGUCGUAACCAUCAGAGAAGGGCGCAUAAGUCAAUCCAUCUGGAAUUGAGCCAUUGCCAAUGCGAUGAUGGGCUGAGAGACUGGUAAUGAAGGUGACAUGCGCACCUGUAGUGUUGAUAAGGCGCUUGGCGAAUUGGAGGGAAGGGUUGAUGUGGCCUUGAGCCGGAUAUGUGACAAGUAGAAAGCGGUGUUGCACCAUGGCAGCGUAUGCGAUUGCGGAGGUGCGCGGUGGAGCGUGGAGUUGUUGGAAGUAGAAUAAGUAGGUACCUAGUUUACUGGUGGAAAAUUUGGUGCUGUGGGCUUAUUAGCUUAGUGAAGUUGAAAUUCUUGUGGGAGUACGUAUUCAAGGUGGGGAAUGCGGUGAGAGAAUGGCAAGGCUUAAAUAGGGGUUUGGGGGCGGAAAUGUGACGUUUGUGGUGACGAAUUGAAGGCGCUGGUGACAAAGCAAAGAUGAGGACACUUGUGAUUUGUGGUCUUCUCGGUGCAUGCAUAUAAUAUUAUGGGUAAAGACACGCUCAUUACAUAUUUAUACCAUUAUUUGUAUCAUUUCUAUAAUAACGAUGCGAUCCACAUGUUUUGGUGGACUUUACCUCUGAGAGACUAUACAAAAUGUGAUAAGUGUAGCAUUAUUCCUAUUUAUAUCAUAUUUUGUAAAUCAUAUGAUGUAAUUGUUGAUGAUUUGAUUAUUACUUAAGCUUUGAUUAACGUAAUUAUUUUUUAUUAAUAACACAUCACAUAUAUAAUGUACAAAUUUAGUCUAAAGUUAAUCUACCCAACAUUACUCUUUUAAAAUUGGUUUCAUCAAACUUCGUAGCACAUCACAAAGACUAAAUCCAAUCUAAUGUGGUAGGAUAGACAAAUCAUCGAAAAACUGAUAAAUAUACUUGCUAGUGUUUGAAUUGUUAGUUUAUUAAUUAUUAUUUCGAUCUGGUUUGGUUGGCCGAAUAAUAUAUUAGGCCUCGUUAAGUCAGGAGUGAGGCCAUGAAUAAUUGGGUUCGUACUAAAGAGCCUACACGGUUCAUCAUGGAUGUGACCUUGAGGUCUUGUCUUCAAUACUAGAAAAAAACUCAGGACCAAGACACGAUCCGAUGGUGGCACGCUCCCGCACCCUAAAACUGAAGGGAAAGAGAUUAUUUCUAGAUUUCUUCCACCCAGUCUACCAAAUCCACUUAUUUGAAUUAUUGAAAUUUGAUCUAACAGUUAAAGUUAUUAUAACUUUUAAAGGGUCUUUCUGUUUGUAACCGUUGAAUCAAAUUUCAAUGGCUCGGAUAAGUGGACUUUGUGGACUUAGUGAAAGAGAUCCGGAGAGAAUCCCUUUUCCAAACUAAAGUCCUAAAACUAAAAGAAGGGCCAAAUUUGUUUCUUGUGAUCCUAAGCCGAAAGGAGACAUGUUAAAAUAUCUCACAUCGAUAUAAUGAAAGAGAAAAUAAGAGUUUAAAUAUUAUAAUUCUACUCCAACUAAUAUUGAGAUCUUUUGUGUUAAAAACCUCACACCUAUUAAACUGUGCAAGUGCUAAUUAACAAAUUGGAGACAAGAUCGAUAGUGUUGGAAGUAGAUCUUUAUCCGUUUUUUUAAUAAUUUGACAAAGCAAACAUACAUACGCUCCAUAUGUCGUAAUUUAGUACGAUAUGAAGCGUAAGAAAGAAAGAAAAAAAAAAAAGCAGCCAAAUAGUUUUGGUGAAAUGAAAUAUGAAAUAACCUCUACCGUGGGACUCAUACUCUAUUUUAUAUAGUCUAAUACUUUAGAUAUCUUUCAUCUUAUCAGUACAUUAUCCUAAAUUCCUAAUCCUGCUAAGAUUCCUAGUCAGACUAAACUUCCCUAACUAAGCUAGAUGGUUGUAGUAUUGUCUUCAAUCAAGCAUGCGUGAUGCGUGAUGAGUACAUAAUAAGGACUAGUAGGUUUGACGUGGUAAGAGAGACAAGGUGAAUUUAGUGACCACAAACUGAUUAAUACACAUACAAAUUUGUGAUUUCUCUAGGGCCCCGUUUAUCAUAUGCCGAAUUUGAUUGAUCCAGCUGCAUCACACUAAAAUUGAUUGGUCCAGCUGUAUCACACUAACUUUCGUUUGACAACAACGAUUGAUGACGUAUUUUAUAGGAGACGUGAGCAUGCCAAAUGUACAAAAAGUGUGGCAUGACCGUUGUCAUGCUUUUUGUAGAAUUUUUCAGAUCGACAGGCCAAAAGUCCAUUCCAAUAAUAUCGAUAUUGUUCCCACUUAACCGUUUGCACAAUCCUCAGGUGUGGGGUUUUAUCACAAAAUGUCUUGGUGUUAGUUAGAGUAGGGUAUUUCUAUUUAAAGUGCUUUCUUUCUUGGCUUUUAGUUCUACUCCAGCAACAGCACGCUUGCUUUGUGGCUAUUGCCUCAUUUUCUUGUACUGUUGUUGACCCUAAAAACUAUCAAACUUACGUGAUGUGCAUGCCGAGUAACUAAGAACUAACUAUGUCCUUCUUGUGGUUGAUGCGGGUGUGCCACCUUGCCGCCGAGAUGAAUUGGGCGAGUGCAAUAAGUGUGGUGGUGGUGUCAAUUGCGUAGCUGGCUUCUAGACCUAGGGUUUUGCUAACUUGAAGACAAUGUUGCUAAUCUCACAGUGAAGUUCAAUCAAGAUUCGGCUUUCGUUGUGCCAAAGGGGUAACCUAAGAACACAUCACUUCGUUGAAGCUGAUGAGAUGAUCUCUUGAGACAAAAGAAUAGAGAAUUCCUUGUCCGCCGAGACUUGAAUAGAUAACCAACAAGGAUAUGAGAGUUGUUUAAAGGUCUCUUCAGUCAGGCAUGUUCUACGCCUCCAAUGCUGUUUAACCAAACUGAAGGUGUCGCCGGUUGUUGAUACAGUGAUGUUUAACCAAACUAAAUAUUUGUCAACAGGGAGGGGUUAAUGAGUAAUUAGUAUUUUUUUUCAGGUUGUGGAGGGUAUCUCAUAAAAGCGUUGAUUUUUGUAUGAGCGACUACAGGCGAGGAAGGAAUGCCUCUAGACCUAGGGCUCUAGAACCUAAACACAAGGUUGCUUAAUUCACUGCGAAGUUGAGGAUAUUUUGCACCAGGUUCGGCAACUUCAACUAUAUCCUUGAAAAUAUAAGUAUGCCAAAUAGGUAUUAGGCUAUAAGGACAAAGAUACUCAAAUGAAAUGAGAUCUUUAUGGUGAAUGUUGUUCAGCAGUCUGAAUGUCGAACUUCCAAAUACACUUACAAGUAACUAAUCAUAGAACAUCUCACUUCGCUAGGGGAGCUAAUAAAGUGACCGCUUUCAGCGAAAGUAUCAAAGACUCAUCGUUGGCUGAGACUUGGAGGUAGCCAACUAAACCAGAAGUAGUACUGUUUAACCAAAUUGAAGGUACUCCUAGGCCGCCUAAUUCAAUGGCUCUAGUGACUUUUAGCCGAACUGAAUAUGUUUCCUAUUAGCCAACCCAAUGAUGUUUAAACGAAGUAAAUAUGUACUGACAGAGGGAUUAUGAUAAUUGGUAUUUUUCUGAAGAUUGUGAGAAGAGUUUCGGGAAGAACGAGGUUCUUUGCGUAACCCGUUUGAGCUGUUUGUUGAGUUGAAAGGGAAUUUUCACGUUGCAUAGCCUCUCAUAUUUAUAGGACGGCAAUGCUUCGGCUAACAGGUUCCGAAACCAAUUAGAACUGCAGCAUGCUCCUGGAGCUUUAUCCCAUUUUACUUGCUAACUAUCUGAUGCUUAAGUCCAGAUAACAUCUCAUGAGAAACAAUUCUCAUUUGGGGUCAUGUGCAUGAGGCCUACUUCCCUCCUAAGAUGGGACUCUAUCAUUAGUUACAUGGAAGAUAUCAUAUCCUUUGCCCCGACACGUUGCAUGCAUAUCCACAUAAGUUACAAAUAACAAACCUAUUUGAUGUGCUUCUCACCGUGCCCAUCUUAAUAGUCAUUUAUCUUCUUUGAAUUUGUAGAAUUGGAAAGCAAUCACACUGCUCAUAAACCUCAAAUGCAGCUCGUGCUGAAAGAGAGUCCAUAACUCCUGGAGCUUUAUUUCUCCCCCGAGUCCAUCGUCAGUGAAACCGUGGUACACAAAGGAAAGAGGAUGCUCUCCGGAUCCUCUUGAUGGGGAUCCUAAGGAUCUUCACAUCUUAACCGUUUAUCGUACGUUCAGUUUUCAUCAGGUACUAUUUGUGUUUGAUUGUAAAUAAAAAAAUUCAAAUAAUUUCUAGCUGCACGAUAUACGAUGAAUGACUAAGAUGUGAGGAUUCUUAAGAUUUCCACCAUUUGAAUCUAGAUGGAAUCCAAAUCUUACUAAAUGAUAGGAUGAGACAAAAUUGUAGCUGUGUUGGAGAAAGAGUGUCAACUUCGCUUUUGUUGCAUGCGGGACAAAUUGUGUAAUAUUGGGUCCAAACAAGUUUACUCUAAAAGACAGAGUGAAACUGUGAAUAGAAAGAGUGCCUCCUCAACCGGUUUACCAUCGGCCACAUGUGAUCAUUUGCAUGUCUUAUGAUGCUAAAAACAAACAAGAAUAAACAGAAAAACCCCAAAUUUUCAACAAGAUAGCGACGUAGCACUACAUGGUUUCCUCUUGGUAUAUAAGCCAAACUACAGAAAAAAUAAACGUCAUCCAUGAUGAUAUCUGAAAAAUCAGACUGCAACCAAAAUUUACAAUACAUCUUUUAGCUUGUCUUUUGCUUUGCAUAUCACGAAAAACAUAUAUACACCUCACAGCAAAUGAAAUUAUAGCACGUGUAUAUUCAUUCUGGAUAAUACGGAAGAGUUCAAGAGGCUACAUGAGGGAUUUAACUAAGUUGAGCAGCUAUGCACUCAAAAUUAGCUAAAGGGGAUGAAAGAAGGGGAAAACGGUUAGGAUUAUGAUAAGUAAAUAGUGCAGUUCUUUUCUAAUGUCAUAAAAAAAAUACAAAAAUAUUUACGACUAUAAUAAAUAAAUAGUUCGUUGAUCAUUUUCUAGCGUAAACGAUUGAUCCUGGAACAUCUCAAUAAUCAAAUCUAAAGCUGAAGAGGUAGAUGUUGUGAUUCUUCAUCAGUCCUAGCAAGGUUAUAAUGCGCCUAGAGGAAAAUCAUUUUUUAUUUUAAAUGAAUGUUUUUAUUAUCGAGCAAUCUAUCUCCUACCUCCAAAUUUGUCAUAUUUUUCCUUUAUUCUUUCUAACUUACCUUAAAAAUAAUAACUCAUGUAUUUCAAUUCAUUUCUCUCUGCCAAAUGAGCCUGUAGUUACUUGAGAAACGCUAAGAAAACUCUUUCAAAGUGAGACUAUUUAUGCACUAUCUGUCACUUCACUGUUUAACGUCAAUUCUCAUGUCAAUAUUAUAAAAUAUUAUUUUAAAACAUGAGGUAACAAAUAAUCUAAAAAAAUUACUUUUGAGAGAAUCUGUUUAGCAUUUCUUAUAGUAACUUAUUAAACCAUUAAGUAUCUUUGAGCUCAUUUCGGAACAAAUGUGAACCUUUAUUGUGAGGUCGACUACUGUCAGUUCAUUCCUAUACCUUGGUCCUUGGUCGACGCUCAAAUUAUUUUUUCCAAUUAAAUCCAAGUAUAAGUGACUCGAGCAGAGUUCCUGUGGUAUUUUCUCUCUUAAUUUUCCUCUUUCUUUUCUUUUUUCAACGAGGGCUUUGGUUUCUUCUGUGAGAUAGAGGUUGUUGAUAGAUAGAUGUCUCUUCCAUUUUUUUUGAGAGUAUUUGAUGCCAAUAAUUAUCCACUGAGGUUCUUUUUUGGAUAAAAUUUAUGGGGCCCCAAUUUAUCCAAUUUGAUUAUAGAUUGACAGAAACUAACAUUUGGGAUUUGUUGAAGGAUAAAUAUUUCAAUGUACCGAGAACACAAUUAUGUAUAUCUAUUGUUAUUACAAAAGUGGUUGGAGUUUCUUUUCGAAGAUCUAACUACAUGUUUUAUAACAUUUUGUGUAUGUAACUGUAUUUCUCUUAUAUUGAAAAAUCUAUCAUAUUAGUCUAGAGCCCGGAGCAUUAUCGGUAUGAAAAAAUGGACAAAGUACUACAAUAUUCUAGAGAAUUAGAACCAUAUCUUAUGGGUUUAAAUUUACAAUCGUGUUUUAAUUUUAAUUUUCUGUCAUUCAAUGGAGUAGUGGGCCUUCAAAUAAUAAUAGAGUUCUUGCUCAAAAAUGCAGAUUCAUUUAUUUUAGGGAGGCUUUAAAUUCGAUCUCCAGUCAUUAACACUCUUUAAUUAAAAUCUUUAUGGUAUAUAAUUUUUUUUUUUUUUUAUCAAAGUCCAUUGACUUUGUACACGUCGUUAUAUUACUAUUAGUAUGUAUAUUUCUAUAUGGGAUCAUGCUAGGGAAAUCAAAUUUUUAAACCAAAUUGCAAACCAAAUGAUGUGUCAUCUCGUUAUAUUCCCUAAACCAAUAAGAAACAAACACGUUAAUCGAUACUUAAUUAAUAAUUUAAUCAUAUACAACCACAUUGUGACAAACCGUCCCUAAUUUUACAAUUUUAUAAAUUUUAAAGGCAUGAUUUUACAAAAAUACCCUUAGAAGUGAGGGUGUUGACUUUCGUUGAUCAAUGUAUAGUGAGACAUACGACUUAUUCUUUCAGCGUAUUUUGCGUAGUACCUGUUGAUACGAACGCAUAGACACAAGCGGAAGUGAACUUGGAACUACGUUUAAAGUUUUACGGAGCUACAAAUCCGAAAAGUACGUUUCUAAGGAUUUCCAUUAUUUAUUAUUUUAUACUUUCAUAAGUAUUAUUAAAUUAGUUUAAGGUUAUCUUGUGGAAAAGAAAAAAGAAAAGAGAAGAAGAAGCUGCAUGAUGGUAGCGAGUAAAAUGAGAAAAAGAAAAAGGAGGAACAAAUCGAGGAGCUGCCCAAUCAGGAGAAAGGGAAGAAAGAGGGAGAGACCAAUCAGAAGAAGAAAGGAAGGGAAGGGAGAGAAGUGUGAUGUACAGGAUCGGAUUCCCGACCCAUUUUGGUUCGACCCAACUGGCAGUAGCACCAAGUGUCUAGAGCCAUUCAUGGCGUUUUUCGGUGGAUUGCAGACACCCACCAUCUAGAACCAACUCAUCAUCAUCUCCUCUUCCAUAUUCAGCCAUAAAUCAACACGAAUUGAUCACGUUCUUGUGAGAUAGCACUAGAGGGGUUCGCGAUGUACGGUGGCGAAAUCCACCAUUUCUGAAAUGAAUACCUUCUAUCUCCACCACUAUUAGACUCUCCUUAAGCCUUGGAACAAAGCCCAAUUGGUUGUAGGGGCGUCGGAACACCAUGGAAGGUGAAUCGAAGAACACCCAUUCUAGGGUUUCCGUCGGGUGCGAGCCAAAUUGGAGCCUUUCUCGGUCAAAUUGGGCUUGGCCACAGGCGAUGAUGGUUUGUGACGCCUCAAUAUUCGUGCUAGAGAAUUGUAGCGCGGACUUCAGGUGAGUGGGUCUUUUCUUUUUAUAAUAUAUAUAUAUAUAUAUAUAUAUAUAUAUAUAUAUAUAUGAUUGAUAGUUCCACAAAUGCUUUUAAAUUGAUUUAUGCAUUUUAUGUCAUGUCAUAUAUAUAUAUAUAUAUUUUAAAUACUAUGAUAUAGUUGAGUUUUAGAUUGCAUCAUGGCAUAUCUAUAUGCAUAUUACCUGCAUAUAAUUGUUGUCUUUGAAGUGCUAUGGUGAAUGCGGGACGCGUAGGUAAGUUCAGGUGAGUUUAGGGUGUUAUUUGAAAUGAUUGAGUUAUGGCAUGACUAUAUUUAUGUUUUAUGCAACUCCGACACUGUCGUACAGGUUGCAAUGAUGGGCAACUCCGGCACUGUCGUACAUGUUCCAAUGAUAGGCAACUCCGGCAUUGUCGCACAAGUUGCAAUGAUAGGUAACUCCGACACUGCGGCACUGUCGUACAUGUUGCAAUGAUAGGCAACUCCGGCACUGUCGCACAAGUUGCAAUGAUAUUGAUUUAUGAGUCGUAUAAGUUGCAUUAGGUAACUCUGACUCCUGUGUCAGCAUAGAUUGAUGAACACCUGAUUUUAUUAUGUUGCUGUUGAUAUGUAGUGAUUUGGAAUAUUUUUGGAUUUAUUGUUGUUUUGCAUUUGAUUUCAUACUAUAACGUAGUAUGACUUUCUGGAAACUAUAUGGGUUUUACAGCGAGGGGUUAUAAUGUUUUCAUAAGGUUUUUAUUAAAAUUUUAUUUUCAGGCCCACUCACCCUUGUUUUUUGCCCCUCCAGGUUUUAAUAGGUGAGCUUUCUUAUCGACGAGGAUUUGUGGCAAAUCUUGGUAUUGGAGAUUACCUUCAAUGGUAUGAUUCUCAAUCCACUCUACUGUACUUUACUUAUGCUCUGACGUCACGUGUGAAAUGAGUUCAUUCUCGCUCACAAUGCAUUCUUGUAUUUUGGCAGUUUUAGGUUUAAAUUUAUUCACAUUUUCCACAUCACUACACUUUAUGGCUUCGUCACCUUGUAGGUGUCGGCCAUUAUAGCUUGAUUCGGAGUCCUAGUGGACAUUUCGGGUCGGGGUGUGUCAACAUCAUUUGGUUUGCAAAUUUGAUUUAAAAAAUUUGGUCUCUCUAGAUUACCCUUCUAUAUGUUUGACAUUUUAUGAGAUUUAUGAUCCCAUAUUGUGUGUAUAAUAUGACAUACAAAUGUCAAAUUUAAAAUCCCUCUUUACAUUACUAUUAGAAAUGGCUACAAUAAAAAAUUUUCAAAAAAUUUGAUUGAAUAAAAAGUAACAACAUAACAAUACAAAAUAAUAAAUGGCAAAGGAAUGUAUUCAUAGCAUUAAAAAAUUGGUACAUUUUAAAUAUAAAAUUUUACAAAAAAAAAGGGUAUUUUUUACAUAACAAAGUGGUACAUUUAUAAAGAAGAAUGGGUACAUUAUAAAUAACUUAUGGGUGCAAAUAAAAGAUUAAAAAGUCAUGAGUACAAAUGAAAUUUUAAAAAAUAUGGGCUCAAAAAGAAAUUAAUAUAUGGGUACAAAUUAAAAUUAAAAAGAAAACUAGUACAAAUUAAAAAAAAAGGGCUGCAAAAUAAAAUAAAGUACAAAUUAAAAACAGAAAUAUAUGAUUUAAAUUUUAGUUAUAAAUUAAUAUAAUAUAUCAAAUGUAACGUCACCACCCGUCCCGAAUUAUUUUAUCGAUAACGUGGAAAUUCCUUUUAUACCCUUGAGCGUUGUGUGAUGUCGUGUGUUAUGAGUUUUAGAUGUGGACCAAAUAGGUUAAGUUCUAAUUGUUUGAACCCGAUUAGAACUAAGUUUUCAUUAUUUUUUAUUGGUGACAAGCUAGACCACACCCUCACACACACACAUAACUCACGUGUACCCUCUCUCUCCUCCCUCUCCUCCCUCUCUCGGAUUUUCUUACCAUUUUACAACUUAUAUGGAUAACCCUCAAAACCCUUUCAAACUUCACAGAUCGAGGUUGUGAUUGGUGUUUUUGGACUCCUUGCAAGCUCAGGAGUCGAAUGGUGGUGGUGGUUGGACGUGAAAACCUUGAAAACCCGAGAACCCAGAAUCUCAGAUUUUGAGCACUGUUCAUGCAGUCAUCAUCGUGGCCUUUUCUUCUAGUUUUAAGGUUCUAGAAAGCUUUAGGACAUCUUCACGAAGCUCAGGGAAGAAAGUUUGAGUGUUUUGGACGUCGAGAAGCUUAGUUUGAUGAGUUUCAAAUUUUGGCUGGAUUAUCGAGGUUUCUCCGACAAGGUUCCGUGGGAUUUAGGGCUUAAAAUUGGUAAGGUUUUGUUCUACUCGUUGUAAGCUUCAUUUUGGUACAAAUUUCAUGAAUUUUGGUUGAGAAAUGGAGAAGAUAUUGAAGUUCUAAGAUUUUUCUAGUUUCUGGCGAUUGCAGCAGUACCGGCGUCGGACUCCAGUGAACCAAGGAAAAAGGAGGAGAAUAUUCCGUCAAAGUUGACGAAAUAUUCUAACGCCGUCAGGUAAUUCUAACGGUAUAUGUUGUUUUUAACGGAAUAUUCCUAAUGCCAUCAGGGAAUCCGUUUGGUGUGACAGGCACGUGCUUGCGCGUGAGCCGCGCGUCUGGUCCUGCCUUGGCCGGCGCAUGAGGGCGCGUGGGUGUUCAGAAAUUUUUUCUAAAAAUAUGGGGAUGUUCUUGAGGUUGAGUAGGUUAUGGUGGUAUAUUCAAAUACCCCAUUUGAGCAAUGUAUGAGAAGUUAUUUCCUAGUUUUGUGUAUGUGCUUUAAAUAAUGUUUAUUUAGUUAUUUUGCAUAUAGGUGAGACCUAUCCGGAGGACGAGCGCCAUCAAUCGAGGCUCGGGGGCUACGACCCUUUGACAUAUCAGUGAGUGGGCUUUUGGUUUUCAGUAUAUACCUAUAUACUUGAGAUUUUUCCUAGAAAAUGAAUUUGAAUGAUUAUACGUUUUGAAAUGCCAUGCAAAGUAUCUGCCUAUUUUAUUUAUGCAUUAGUAGUUGCAUAUAUUUAUGAUUGGUGCUGCGGACGCACAGGUAAGUGCCAGGUAAGUUCAUAAAUUAAAGAUAAGAGAUUACUUCAGUUAUGCGAGAUAUGAUGUGAUGUAUUGAGAGCUCAUAAACUUGCACCCCGGUGUUAGUGCUCCCGCCCAUAGUUAGGGCACAAUCCUUCAUGUGAUUGUUCACCUCCCACACCAUAUGCUCACCUUGGAUCCAAGUUAGGUGCACAGGCUUGUCGUACAGACCACUUUAGGUGGUUCCGACUGGUAGGUGACCCGCGAUCAUUCACACAGUCUUCACGUGAUCGUAGCACUAAAGCAUAUUUAUUUUACACCUAGUCCUGUCGUACAGACCACUUUAGGUGGUUCCAACUCUUGUGCAUAAUUUGAUAUGGUUGAGAUUGGUUAUGAGAUAUAGACUCAGCCGUGCAAAUUAAUUGAGGGCAAUUCGGCUGAUAUGAUAUCUGACAUUGAUAUAUUUUAACUGGAUUACUUAUAGCAUUUCAUUGAGAUACUUUGGCAUGGUAUAUUUCUAUGGAUUUUUAUCCUGAGCAUAAUUUCUGAUAUAGCAUAUAUUAUAUUUCUGGGAAAUUAUACAGGUUUUACGGCAAGGGAUUAGAACUUUUGAGAAAUGAAAUGAUUUUGAAAAGCUUUGUUUUUGCCCACUCACACUUUCUGUUUUGCGCCCCUCUAGGUUUUAGGUAGAAGUGCUUUGGUGGCUCACGGGGAUUUCGGCGGUGGUUCUGACAGAACAUCACAAAUGUAGGAUUACCUUUGGGUGUUAUAUAUCUAGUACUUGUCCAGUGGGAUUGCACUUAGGCUAUUUACGCUCUGAUGAUGUAUUUCACACUUAAUCUCGCACUUGUACCUUAUCUUAAUUAGUACUCUAGUUGAUUUGAUUUUUGUUAAUUCGUAUUUCCUUAUAUCUUUAUUGCUUCCGUACUGUGCACAUGGCUACGUCAUCUUCAUGUGACGACCAUCAUACCUCGAUUCAUGUCAGGGUGUGUCAUAACGUUUCUAACACCAAAUGAAUAUAUUUUAGAAAUAAAAUUUAAUUAUGCUACUAUGUAUAUUUUAUUAUUGAAAUGAUGACGGUCAUUAAAACCUAAGAACCUUGAUAAAAAUUAAAUUGCAAAAAGAAAAAAAGGUUUUAUUCUCAAAAAAAUCAAUGAAAUAGAAAAAAGAGGGAUGGAAACCUAAUUUCUCCAUCAACUUACUUCAAGAUAAUAAAAUUGAAAACUGUGUUAACUAUGUUGGCAUGUGAUUUAGACUACUAAGAAUCAAAAUCAUGUGUUUUAAAAGGGAAAUGUUUUUGCACUCUAGAAAUCUUAUUCUAAACUCAUCAUAAAUGCAUUUUGCUUUCUAAUUAUAGACGAUUUGGAGUGUAAUAUGAGAUUUUUGAAGUGCCAAUAACAAUUCCCUUUUAAAAUUCUUUAAAUAGAAAUCACAAACUUGGUGUCAACUUCACCAAUGGACAGAAUACUUCAUUAAACAAAUCCAAAUAGACACAGUACAACUUGCAACUAGCCUUUAGAAAGGAUUGUCAUACAUAAAAGGAUGCCACUUUUGUAAACAAAGCAUGAGUAAUAGUUCUUCUCUGCAACAUUUACAAAACAGUAAAUAAAGGAAAUACGUAAAAAGGUUUCAACUCAAAAAGAAAAAUCCUCCUUAUAGGUCCAAGAGUGGCUAGUAGAGAAAACCUAGAGACCUAAUUGAGGGAUGAGAUGUUGUUGAUGCCCUAGAGACGACCAACCACCCACACCACCAAUUUCGCACCAUAAAAUAGACCUCUAGAUAGUAUCAUAUACAGACUUUCAAAAGCCCCAAAUAAUAAAAAAGCUAAACCACAAACAUACAACAUUAUAGCACCCAUCACAAAACUCAGAUUUAUCACCAAUUAACCUACUGUUCGAUUGGAGCAAAUUUGUAAGAAUUAGAACUUAAGUGCAGAUGGGAUAGCACAUUACGAUCUAAUUCUUAUUUGCAAUAACAAUGGAGACAACAACACAUUUUAAAAGUAAAAUGAAAAAGUAAUUUUUUUUUGUCGAAAAGAUAGAAAUUUAUUAAAGCCAAACGAUAAGGUUUACAUCAACUGCAAGAAUAUUAAAUAAAUAAUCCGAGCCAAUCUUAUCCCAAAGGAACUUGCCACCAUAAUUGGUAGCAAACGAAGCCACCUCAUGGGCAGCAAAGUUACUAUCCCGCGGAACAAAUCCAAACUUUACAAAAGUCGACCAGUUGUGUUUACGUAGCCGUCUAAAUUCUACAUCUAUGUAAACUACUACCAAACCAAGAAACAUAAAAAAGGACAGCCAUUUGUUUAAGACAACAUCAAUCUAUCUGAUCCACUGUUCUAAAAAUCCCUGCCUAGGCGCUAGGUGGCCGGCCACCGCCCCAAUUAAUGCUUAGGCAUUUGAAAAUUAAGAAAGGGCACCUAGACCUACUAAGGAGCCUGUCUAGACCGCCUAGCCCGCCCAGACCUGCCUAGGUUGCGACUCACUUACAGAAAAUAGAUAACUUUCACUUUGCAUUUUAUAUUUUCAAUAAAUUGUAAGAGACUUGUUGAAUACUUAAAUGAACACACAUUAUAUGCUUAUUCCCACUUUUCAUUAUGUUCCAACCGCUCAUAAUAGAUAUGUCAUUCUAUUUUGUUGUUUAUGAUGACAUCAUAUAUAUUUUAAGCAUAAACAUACACUUACUUACACGAAAUAUAAUAGAUUUAAUCGAAUCCGUCUAGGCGCCUGCCUAGACACCUAGCCGCGUAGUUGCCAGGCCCCAGGUCCUAGGCCGCCACCCGACUAGUGCCUAGCAUCUUUUAAAACCUUGAUCUGAUCCAAGAAAGCCUUGAGAUUCUUGUCCGAAGAGUCCCCUUCACUCACAGCCUCUCUUGCCAAAUCUUUCCAUUUCUUAGCAUUCCUUCUCACGUCUUCACCAAUCUCCCCACUUCCCAAUACCAAAUCCAAGCACCUCUUGAGCUCCUCACCCGUAACUAUCCCCUCCUCAUUUGGUGUCACCCUCACUCCUGUCUUCCAAUAGUCCUCUAUCAACUUGGCAUUCGUCCCUUGGUCCGUCCACUGAGGAAACGCCACCACGGGCACCCCUGAAACCAAGCUCUCCAAACUUGAAUUCCACCCACAAUGUGUCACAAAGCAACCCAACGAAGGACUAGAGAGAACCUCCACUUGACUACACCACGGCACUAUCAUCCCGAGCUCUUCCAAUUCCUCUCUGCACCUCAACAUCUCUUCUUCUUUCUUCGCCUCGUUAUCGUCUCCCUUCUUGUCGACCUUAUCUCUAAUAACCCACAAGAACGGAAGGCCGCAAUCCAACAACCCUUUUGCGAUUUCCUCCAUUUGGGCCUUUCCCAACACAGAAAUGCUUCCGAAGGACACAUAAAUCACCGACCCUUCUGGCUUCGAGUUCAGCCACUCGAGGUAUGAAGAGUCCUUUGAUUUUUGGAAAAGAUCGCCUCCAAAUGACUUGUCCGAUGGAUCCUUGCCGUCCAAGAAAGCGGACGGAAUCAAUGGCCCAACUCCAAUCAAGUUGUACUUGUCAAUUGCUUUUAAGGCUUCCGGCUCUAGUGCAUCGAACGUGUUGACUAGAAUGGUCGGAUUGGUUUCUCUUUCCAACAGCUCCAUCUGUUCUUGAAACAACGGGAGGGCGAAAUUGUACGGAUUUGUAUCCACCAUGAAGGAGGGAAGGUCUCGGCUUGUGAAAGAUAAUGGCAAACCUGGUAAUUCUAUUGAACAUGGAAGGACAUUGUUCGUACCAGAACUAGUAUUAUCCCGGAUGAGAUCUUUGUACCCGUUAAAGUAAUAGUAGUAGAUGUCGAAAACCGUGGCUGGCUGAAUCCAAAGCAGCACGCUUGGGAGGUGAAGUUCAUGUGCCAUCCCUGCCGACCAAGGGAGAAGUAAUGAGUAGACUAGGCAAGUGUAAGGGUGACCCUCGUUUGCACUUGCGACUACAAGGUCGGUAAUGGCUUGUACUCCGCGGCGCCGCAGCUCUGACAUGUAGUCGUCGAUGUUGUCGCCGGGCUUAAACCCAUCGUCGUACCCAUCAGAGAAGGGCGCAUAGGUCAAUCCAUCUGGAAUUGAGCCAUUGCCUAUACGGCGAUGGGCUGACAGACUAGUAACGUAGGUGACAUGCGCACCUGUAGUGUUGAUAAGGCGCUUGGCGAAUUGGAGGGAAGGGUUGAUGUGGCCUUGAGCUGGAAAUGUGACGAGUAGAAAGCGGUGUUGCACCAUGGCGGCGUAUGCGAUUGCCGGAGGUGCGCGGUGGAGUGUGGAGUUGUUGGAAGUAGAAUAAGUAGGUAUGUAGUUGAUUGUUGAAAAAUUUGGUACUGUGGGCUUAUAAGCUGAGUGCAGUUGAAAUUCUUGUGGGAGUAUACAUUCAAGGUGGGGAGUGCGGUGAGAGGAUGGCAAGGCUUAAAUGGGGGAUUGGGGGUAGAAAUGUGACGUUUGUGGUGAAAAAUUGAAGACGCUGGAGACAAAUUUGCCAAGAUGAGAAGGAUACUUGUGAUUGUCAAUCCAUGCAUAAUAUAUGGAUAAUGUUAGGGAAACCAUCUAUUUAAAUCAUAUGACGUACUUGUUGAGGAUUGAAUUAUUAUUUAAGUGUUGAUUAACGUGUUUAUUUUCUAUUAGUGACACAUCACUUGAUUUUUAUUUUUUUUUGUUUAUCGUUAGGUAGGAUUUUGAUCAUGAAAAUAAAAGGACAUAGUCAUCUAUUUAGGAUUGUCCAAAGGUUUAUUAAAUUCAAUAUUUGAAACCUGUUCAAGAGGUUUAAUAUUGUCCAAAACCUAGAAGAUAAAUAACUACUGAAUAGGCUUAAAUCUUGAUAGAGUAGAGGGAAAAGAAGAAUGAGGAGGCAAGUACUACGCAAAAUAAAAUCUUCAUCUUGAGAACAAAUAUGUAAAACGAUCGUGCAAAUUUUUAAGAUGCAGACUUCAAGGGCACGUAUUGAUUUGAUAGGUUCAUGACGAAGAAUACAUGAAGGCAUGCACCUGGAUGUGGAGGGUAAUGGACAUUGCUGCGUGUUGGGUAGCUAUAUGAUUGAUUUCGUAGCUAGAGAGAGGAGGAAAAGAAUGUAGAGGUCUCUUGUGGCAGGCAUAAAAGAAGACAACUUAGAAGCAUUGUUCUAAAAAGCGACAUAGGUAGGUACUACGCGGAGGCUGGGUGCCCCGAUUAGGGCUUGUGCGUUUAAAAAAUCAAUGAAGCCUCUAGGCGGUAAUUGGGCGGCUGCUUAGGCGGCCCUGAGCCUACGCAGUCUAAUUUAUUUAUUUAAUUUUUUUUUAAGUUAACGGUUUGAAGAUAAUGUUCUUGUAAAUAACUCUAAAUAUAUAUUUCAUUUUGUGUAUUCAACCAGUUGUAGUCAUUUAUAUGUUUUUAUUGCUAUAAUAAAUUUAAUUAAAAUAAAAAAAAAUAUGUCUAGACCUAGACCUGACAUUCAUGUCGUGUUUUCCGUAUUCGUGUCGUUUUUGUGCCAUACUCGAUAUCUUAACGGGUCGUGUCGUGUAACACCCGUUAAAAUAAACGGGUAAAAUGAUCCGACCCGAAAUCGAUCCGAUAAUAUUAACAGGUAAUAUGACCCGACCUGUUACCCGUUAAGGAAAAUAUAUUUUAAACCAAUAAAUAAUCAAAUGAAAAAACAUAAUACUAAAUAAGUAUAUACAUACCAUAUUGUUACAUCCAAAACAUAAAAACGUAAUUUUCUUUUAAGUAUAUUUUCAAUAACCUAAAGUCUUUAAUAGUUUUUUAAUUAAUGUAGAAGUGUAAAAAAUAUAGAAAAAAAUAUAUAAACGCUCGUAAUAACAAGCUUUACAACUUUCAUGAAGAGCUUAACUUCGAAAUUUGCUACUAUAAUCAUAUAAAUCAUAGAUCAAAAUUUAACCGUUGAUUAUUGUUUACAUUUAUGCUUCAUUGUUCUCAUCAAAUUUUAUUUUUUCAGUUUUUCUUUUUUGAAAACUUGAUCUAUUAGAGGAUGCAGGAAGAUGAACGAUUUGGAUCGUAGAUAUUAUAUUCAGAGUUUUACGUUUAGUGAAAAUAUUGCUUGAUGUUUAUAAAGUUUCUACAAACUAUAUGACAUCAACUCAUAUUUCAGUUGAUUGUAAAUAUCGAAAUGUGAUAUCAAAGAUCUGAACCGUUUAUCUUCUUACAUCCGCCAGAUGAUUAUGUUUCAAAAAAGAAAAUUUUAAAAAUGAAAUUCAAUAAGAAGAAUAAAGCGUAAAUGGCAAUCGACGGUUAAAUAUAAAUUUAAGAUUUAUGAAUUAUAGUGUUGGAUUUCGAAGUUGACCCCUUCAUGAAAGUUGUAAAGUUUGUCACUAUGAGUGAUUGUAUAUUUUUUUUUUUACAUUUUUUUACACUUCUACAAUAAUUAUUAUUAAUUUUAUUAAUUUUGUCCUCAAAUAAAAAACAUUAUUUAUGAAGGUUUGGAGGAUUUUAAAAAUCUAAACGAUAAUGUAAGUGUAACCAUUAUCUACUCGUGGAAGAAUAAUGAUGAAUCAUGAGUGUUUAUAUAUUCUUUCACAUUUUUCAUACUUGUAUGUAUGUCUUCUUAGUUCUUGCCUAUACAAAUACUAUAUUAGUUUAUUUUAAUUUUGGACAACAACAUGUUAAGUAAAAUUUAUCCUAGUAAUGAUAAUAACGAACUCUCAUAAUAAAAAUAAAUAAUGACUAAAACUUUUUUUUUUUAAACUUAUAUAGAAUAAUAAUACAAAACUAUAUAUUUAAUAUAGAAUAUAUUGUAUAUAUUAAUAUGGCUAUUGUAUUUUAUAAUAAAUCUUUUAGUAAUUAAACUUUAAAUUAUCAAAAUAAAUUUUUUCUUAAUGGAUCGAAAUGACCACGUGUUAUCCGCAUGUAUACCCAUUAAGAACCCGUUAUUAAUGGGUUCUUAACGGGUCAUUCGAUAAUGACCCAAUAAGUUAUCGUGUUGACCCGAAACCCGUUAUUUUCGUGUCGUUUUCAUAUCGUGUCAGAAACUGCUGGGUCUAACUAGACCUUGCGACCCCGCCUAGGCCAAUCCCAUUAUUGGUGACUAUUUAGCUCUUCCAGCAUCUACCUGAUAAUAGUAUAAAAUGAAUACUCAGAUAGGGUGCCAUGUGUCAAUGGAUUAGUAGGGUUGGUAUAAGGUAGUUAAAGGUUGUUGAGAUUGUAGUGAUUUAGUGUGCAAGCAAGCUUUGUUAGUUAGAAGAAGAAUAUAUAACAGUUUGUAAGAAUUGUAUUACUCAUUAGAAAAUAUACAAGAAUUCAUUUUCCCUCUAUUUCUCUCUAUUAUCUCUCUCUCUCUCUAAAAACCUUCAUUGUUUUUCUGCAUUACUGCAACAUAAUCUGUUGCUUUACAUGGUAUCAUUCGCCUGUCAAUUUGAUCUUGGAUUUUGUGCUUUUGCCGCUCAAGAUCUUCUCCUUCUUUACUUCUGGAUCUCAUAAUUCUAAAAGUUUCUGAUUUUCUCUCCAUCUUGGUCAUGCACUCUAGGUAUUUGAUCAUAUCUCAUUCAUAAUUCUUCAAAGAAAAGCUACAAUGGUGAUUGCCAAUCAACUACAAUUCGUGCAAUCACCUAUCAUAUCUCUUAUCUCUAUCGUUUCUACGUCUGUUAAUGUCAAGCUCGAUGACUCCAACUAUCUUACUUAGAAUUUUCAGAUCCAGUUGCUACUCGAAAGCCAUGGAAUUAUGGGGUUCUUAGAUGAGUCUAAUCCUUGUCCUGAAAGAUUUGUUUCAUCUGGUUCAGGGGAAUCUAAAGUCGAUUAUAGGGAUUCAUCAUUAAGAAUUGAAACUGAUGCAUACAAGAUUUGGAAAAUGCAUGAUCGUGCCUUGAUGCAACUCAUUACUAUUACAUUAUCUUCAUCAGUUGUGUCUUGUGCUAUUGGAAGCACAAGUGCUCAAGAUUUAUGGAUUCGGCUCAAAGAACAGUUCUCUAUUGUCAAUCGUGCAACUAUAUUCCAAAUGAAAUAUGAGUUGCAAAAUAUCAAGAAAGGCACUGAUUCAAUAUCUCAGUAUUUGCAGAGAAUCAAUGAAGCUUGAGAUUAUUUGGCAGCUGCAGGAGUAUACUUCGAAGAUGAUGAUAUUGCCAUAUUAGCACUUAAUGGCUUACCAGGGGAGUACAAUACUAAAAGAUCUAUCAUUAGAAGUAGAGAAAGUGUUAUCUCUAUCAAAGACUUGAGAUCCCAGUUGCUUGAUGAAGAAGGAAUGGUUGAAAAUACUAUUGUUACUCCAUUUCUCUCUGCAAUGGUUGCCCAGAAUUCUGAGUCCAGUUCCAAGAACUCAUCUAUCUCAUCCUAAGAGUAUUCUGGUAAUCACAAUCAAGGAUUUUCUGGCAAUUCAAGUUAAGGGUAUUCAAGUAAUCAAUCUCAUGGCUUUUCUGGUGGGGGCAAUCAGGCUACCUACUUUGAGAAUAACUAUAACAAGAACAAGGGCAGAGGUAAAUUCAACUAAUUCAACUAUAAUUCUAAUUUUUGCAUACUUCUGUUUUUGGCGUUCUUGGUGCACCUCCAACUUGCCAAAUCCGUGGGAAAUUUGGACAUUUUGCUGAUACAUGUGGAUUUAGAAAUACUAAUAAUGCAUUACUUGAAGGGUGUCAAAUAUAUGGCAAGAAGAACCAUACUGCUCAAUUCUGUUACUUCAUAAAUGCAAAUAUAUCUGGAAAUACUCCUUAGAUGACUGCAAUGCAUGUGGCUUCCUCACAACCUACUCCAAAUUAUAAUGCUUCUUCUUAGCAAUUCUGGCUUACAGACUCAAAAGCAACAAAUCAUUUAACUACUGACUUGCAGAAUCUAUCCUUGUCUACUCUAUUCUCAUCCACAAAGACAAUUCAAACUGCAAAUGGUGCAGGUUUACCAAUAUCACAUAUUGGAUAUUCUCUCAUUCAUACACCUAUGCAACUUUAGAAGCUUAAUUCAGUCCUAUAUGUUCUAAGAAUUACUCAGAAUUUGUUAUCUAUGCAUAGGAUUUGUCUAGAUAAUAAUUGCUGGCUAAUCUUUGAUGCUUUUAAUUUCUAGAUUCAGGACAAACCCACAAAGAGGAUUCUGUACAAGGGGCAAUGCAGUAAUAGGUUAUAUCCAAUACCAAUAUCAAGACAUGUUGCAGUUCAUCAUCAAGCAUUCAAAGCUGCAUUACUUGGAUAACAAGUUAAUUCCAGUUUCUGGCAUAGUAGGCUAGGUCACCUAUCUAAUUCCAUUGCCUUAACUAUACUUAGAAAGUCUAAUAUUUCAGUACCUUUUGAUGUAUCACCUUCACUAUGUCAUUCAUUUUUACAAGGAAAAUUUAGCAAAUUGCCUUUCUCUCCAUAUGUCUCUAAGUCUGUAAUUCCAUUUGAAGUUGUUCAUAGUGAUGUAUUGGGUCUUGCUCCCUGUAAUUCCAUUGAUGGAUAUAGAUACUACGUGACAAUCAUUGAUGAAUGCACUAGAAAUUGUUGGUUAUUCCCUUUGCAUAAUAAAAGUGAAGUGUGUUUUGUAUUCAUUGGUAUAUAUCAGUUCAUUUUCAAUCACUUUGCAGUUUCAAUUAAAACUUUACAAAGUGAUGAAGGGGAAUAUACAAGUAAAGUUUUUCAAUCUUUCUUGUUAGACAAGGGAAUCACUCAUCAAAUAUCAUGUCCUCAUACCCCUAGAACAAAAUGGGUUGGCAAAAAGAAAGCAUAGACACAUUGUUGAAACCUCAAUCCCACUGUUACAAUCUACAUCUUUACCUGCCAUUUUCUGGUCUUUUGCCUGUCAAACUGCAAUAUACCUGGAUGCCAUCAUCAACUUUACACAAUCAAUCACCAUUUGAGGUCUUAUUUUAGUAUGUUCCAGAAGUCCAACAUCUCAGGAUAUUUGGUUGUGCAUGCUUUCCAUUAUUGAAGCCUUAUACCAGUAACAAGUUACAACCAAAAACCAAAAAAUGCAUUUUUCUGGGAUAUGCAUCUAAAUACAAGGGACACAUAUGCUUUGAAAUUAGUUCAAAGAGGGUUUACAUUUCUAGACAUGUCAUAUUUGAUGAGUGUGAUUUUCCAUAUCUUUCACUUUCACAAAAAACAUAUGUACUUCCAACCAGUUCCUUUUCUAAAGCUUCUUUAAAACCAGUGUAUGUCACAAGUGAAUACAAUGUUGUUGUAGCAUUACCAAAUCUAUCUAUGUUUAUUCCUAGCCUUACACCUAGACCUGCUAGUGCCAGUGAUCAAUCUUAAACACCAUCUAAUGUCAGUGGCUUAUUUGAGACACCAUUUGGUAAUGCCACAACAACAAAAGACACAAGACAAGCCAUUACUAGCACUUUACUUCAGUUUAUCUCCUCUACAAUCCCUAUGGCUCCUGAAUUCAACCAGAAAACUUACAAGUUGUUCUGCCUAUACCUCUAUUAAACUUGCAUCCUAUGCAAACAAGGUCAAAGAAUGGAAUUAUAAAGAAGAAAGCUUUUCUAGCCAUGACAUCUAAUAAUGCAUAAGUUGAUUUAUCCCAGAUUGAACCAGUUUCAUAUAAGUCUUCUCUUAAAUCUCCAGUGUGGUUUACGGCUACGGAAGAGGAAGUACAAGCAUUAUACUCUCAGAACAUUUGGUCUUUGGUCACCUUACCAUCAAACAAAAACCUUGUAGGGUGUAAGUGGAUCUUUAAGAUUAAAAGACAUGCAGAUGGAACCAUUUCAAGGUACAAGGCUAGAUUUGUGGAUAAAUGAUUCAAUCAAAAGGCAGGUAUAUAGACUAUGGUGAAACAUUCGAUCUUGUGGUUAAGCUUACUACAGUAAGGCUUGUUCUUGCAUUGGCUACACAUUUUGGUUGGUCUAUGAGACAGCUCGAUGUAAAAAAUGCAUUUCUGCAUGGAAUCUUACAAGAAUAAGUUUAUAUGACACAACCUCUUGGCUUUGUGGAUUCUCUACACUCUACCUCAAUUUGCAAACUUCACAAGUCCUUAUAUGAUUUAAAACAGGCUCUAAGGGCAUGAAAUGAGAGAUUUACUAAUUUCUUACAUUCUCUAGGUUUCCAAACCACUUAUGCAGACACAUCACUGUUUGUCAAACAUGUUGGUUCUGAGGUGAUGAUUCUCUUACUUUAUGUUGAUAAUAUAAUCAUCACAAGGAGUGCAAAUGAUGCCAUAAGAGAAAUCAUUUCUGCAUUAGCAACAAAAUUGAUAUCAAGGAUCUAGGACCUCUACACUACUUUCUUGGCAUUCAAAUUACACAUAAUAAAGAAGGAUUUUUCUGUCUCAACAUAAAUAUGUUAAUGAUUUGUUAACAAAAACAGAAAUGCAUCAAGCAAAGCUCUGUGCUACCCCUUGCUUACCUUAUAACAGACUUCUUAAAGAUGAUUGAGUACCUUUUAACAACCCUGAGUUAUACAGAAGCAUAAUGGGAACUUUGCAGUAUCUCACCUUUACAAGACCUGAUAUUGCAUUCUCUAUGCACCAGGCCUAUCAAUUCAUGCACUGUCCUACGGAAUCACAUUAUUUGGCUAUGAAAAGGAUACUUAGAUACCUCAAAGGUACAUAGAAUUAUGGCAUUCAAUAUGUUAAAGGAGGAUUGGAGUUAAAUGCAUUCAGUGAUGCUGACUGGGCUGGGAUCCCAAUGAUAGAAGAUCCACAACUGGAUUGAAUGUUUUCUUAAGAUACAAUCCAAUAUCUUGGUCUUCAAAGAAACAAAACACAAUGUCUCGUUCAUCCACUGAAGCUGAGUAUAAAGCAAUUGCUACAACAGCUGGUAAGAUUUAUUGGAUAAGACAGUUACUUGCCUUUUUACAAAUCUCAAUCCCAACUCCAUCUACAAUGUUCUGUGACAGUCUUUCAGUUAUUGCCCUUACCUACAAUCCAAUGAUGCAUCAAAGAACAAAGCACAUAGAGAUUGAUGUGCAUUUUGUGCGAGAAAGAGUUGCCAAACAACUAAUUCAAAUGCAUUUUGUAUCUUCCAAUGAAUAAUUUGCUGAUAUUCUGAUUAAAGCAUUAUCCGCACCAUUGUUUCAUACUCAUUGCUACAAUCUCAGGCUCCGUGGUUCCUCUCCUGAGCUUGAGGGAGGAUGAUAAUAGUAUAAGAUGAAUGGUCAGAUAGGGUGCCAUGUGUCAAUGGAUUAGUAUGGUUGGUAUAAGGUAGUUAAAGGUUGUUGAGAUUGUAGUGACUCAGUGUGCAAGAAAGCUUUGUUACUUAGAAGAAUAUAUAACAGUUUGUAAGAAUUGUAUUACUAAUAAGAAAAUAUACAAGAAUUCAUUUUCCCUCUCUCUCUCUCUCUCUCUCUCUAAAAACCUCCAUUAUUGUUCUGCAUUACUGCAACAUAAUAUGUUGGUCUAAACUACCUUGUAUUUUACAUAUUGUUGGCAAUUCUAAACAAAAAGCUUGAGUAUGUAAUGUCUUAGAUUAGUAUAUGUUUUCCGUUGUAAGUAUAUUAAUUUAAAUUUGUCUCUCGUGCUCUCAAUCACAAGAAUGUCAAGCAUUUCCAAGACAUCCACUCAAGUAAGUGUGUCAUGCAUAUGCAUUUACAUAGUAUAGGCUGUUUAGUUUUGGUGUUAACAAUUAAGUUUUGGGCUUGCAUGCAUGUUAAUUAGAAUGACAUGAUUUUAGAUCGGCAGAGAAUCCUAGUUGUGCUGCUUGUCUUAGCAUGUGUUUAUAUGCUGAUAACCCGUAUGUCCUUAUCCCAUUCAGUUUUUUAUCUGGCCAGGAUGAUAGGUCCUCAUCCUACUAAUUAGGUCCGCGUUUUUGUUAUGCCUCGCAUGCAUAUCUGGUUUGGUUGAAAAACCUUAUCUUGGUUAAUAACGUGUGAUUAGGUUUUGGUUGAAAACCUUUUUGUUCUAAGUCAGCACGUUUUUUAUGAAUGUGAAAUAUAUUGCAGAAAUAUAUCAAUUAUUUAUAUGAUCAAAUAUAUCAAAUCAAAUGUAUAAUCACUGUCAAACUUAUGAACUUUAAAUUAGGAAAAAAUGAAUAAGAAUAUCUGGCAUGUGAACCAAAAAGAGGCGCGAUGUCGCUGCCCUAAAGCCGUAUAUGCCUCCCUACAUGUAGGUUAUGGCGGUGCCUACAACUCCAAGAUACAACCCAAAGCCUCACAUGCACGCCAACGGCAGAAGGGAUUGUCAAGUAGUGAUCAAUUGACCAAGAAUUAUGAAGUAGGAAUGAAAAUUGAGAUGUGAAAACUGAGAGAGACAGAAAAGUUUUAGUGUAUUUUGUUUUGUGUCUGAGGUUUCAUAUUUAAAGAACUUCUCAUACCCUUUUAGAAAAGGAUUAUGACUCUUCAAAUAAAACACAACUCUUAAAUAUUAAAAAUAAAUAAAAUAAUAAUAAUAAGUUUUGAAUCUUUAAAAUAAAAUAUUAUUAAAAUAAUUAAAAUAACCAACAAUGAUUUGAUUGGAUGCCUAUAUAUAGGCAUUAGAUUAGGCUUUUAGGCCUCGUUUGGCACGCCGUAUAAGACCACCGGUGUAACAUCCCACAUUGACUAACGGAGAAGGGAUGAUGUGCCUUAUAUGUACAUGCCCACCUCCUAUAGCAUGAGGCUUUUUGGGGCCUCACUGACUUCAGAUUCUAUUGGAACUCAGUAGUUAAGCGAGUUUGGGCAAGAGCAAUCCUAGAAUGGGUGACCCCUAGGAAGUUCUUGCGUGAGUUCCCAGAAACAAAACUGUGAGGGCAUGGCUGGGGUCCAAAACGGACAAUAUCAUGCUUCGACGAAGUCGAGACUGGGAUGUGACAAAAUGGUAUCAGAGCCACUCUACCAUUCGGCGCAAGUGUGCCGACAAGAACGUCGGGCCCCUAAGGGGGGUGGAUUGUAACAUCCCACAUCGACCAACGGAGAGGGGGUGAUGUGCCUUAUAUGUACAUGCCCACCUCCUAUAGCAGGAGGCCUUUUGGGGACUCACUUGCUUUAGAUUCCAUUGGAACUUUGAAGUUAAGCGAGUUCGGGCGAGAGCUUCUCGAGUAGUUCGGGUGAGAGCUUCUCGCGUGAGUUCCCAGAAACAAAACCAUGAGGGCAUGACCAAACAAUAUCGUGCUACGGCGGAAUCGAGACUGGAAUGUGAUAACCAAAUAGUAUUAAUAGUACGAAACAUGUGUUUUGUGAGCUUCAUAUUAAAUAAGCACCGGAUUUUUUAAUCCAGGCCCACUUAUUUUAUACACCUCCAACCCGCUUGUUUAUCCCAACCAAAACCUUUGGAUAAUUAGUCGAGUAGAAUGGCUCUCUUUGCUUACUCCGUCAUUCUCUAUCGCUUCUUCGUCCCUCUCCUUCUCUCGCAACACUCUCCUUCCACUUUUUCACAUCGCCUGCACUCUCUUGUCUGGAUCCCAAGUUCAUCUUCGCCCUUCUUCUUCUUUUCUCUCUUUGUUCCUCCUUCCUCCUUACACACACACACACACACACACACCUCCCACCUACUCCAUUCGCCUUCGAUCUCUGACAAGUGACAACAAAACCUUCCAUAGGUUGAAGGAGGAAGACGAUGAUUCGAAUUCUUCCAAUUUGGAUUCUGACAAAGAAGGGAGCCGGGCUCCGACGAGGACGGGGAUAGCAAUUCGGAUCUGGGCUCUGACGAGGAGCCUGUUGGUUUAUUACCAUUGAAAAUAUUCAAUCUGGGAUUUUAAUUUUGGUUGGUGAAUCGAUGAGUGGGUUUGUAUGGAGGGUGGGAUUUGAUAAGUUAUAGUAAAUAUUUCUGGUAUUAUUUUGGGUAUUUACCAUUUGGAAGAGAAUUACUCCAGCGUGGAACACAGGUUUACUGUCAAAUCUUGUUCUUAUGUUCAAUGCAUCUGGUUCUUUAGCAUGUAUUUUUCGAACUUGUUUCUUCCUGCCAAAUAACAAAAGGCAUGAAAUUUAUUAUGAAUGCUUUGUGAAUGAGUUGCCUUGCUGAGCAUUUUCACAUUAUUGCCUCUUAUUAUGCAGGUUGUGUUGGCAGCUAAUGACUUGCCUUCUAUCAAUGAUGUAACUUACACUGAACUAAUUGAGAUUAUAUCAAUGAUGUAUCUUCCCUUUUCUUAUCUGGUUCAAUAUCAAACACGGUAUAAAUAAUACGAUCAUUAGUCCGAUACUGCACCAAAUGCCCGACUAAUUUAAUCAGUAUUAUCCGUAAUUUAAUCAGUAUUAUCCAGUGGCUAUUUAUCCUAUCCAACAGAAAUAGUCAGUACAUUCCGAGCUGCCAAACGAGGCCUAAGGUUUGCUGCUGCCGCAUAUAACACAUACAGGUAGAGAGGAUUAGUGCACGCGCUAGGUUUUUAGAAGUGAUCAUCAUAUCAUAAUCUUUGCUACUGUAGCGUGCAUUAGACUAGGUGGUUUUGGAAUGCUGCUUUUGAGUUUUGAAAGAAAAUAUACAAAAUAGAUGCAGCACGUGAAUAUGUUUUUGAGUUUUUGGGUUACUUCAUAUAGGAACGGCUAUCGUUUCCAUCUCAUUGUUUUGAUGGUUCUCAGGUCAAUGCAUAUUCACUACAAGUGUAGUCCUUAUUAUUUUAUCUGGGUUGUCUCGCAUAGUAAUAUUUGCACAGAGAACAUUAUACGAGUGUUGCAGCAAUAGUGUGUGAGGAAGAAAAGAGUUUUCAGCCGUGUGGUUUUAAAAGAUAAAAUUCAGUUUUUCUUUAUUGAUUUUCGUUGUGCUUUAAACCGAGACAAAUUAUGAAAAUAUGCUUUGUCAUUUUUGUAAUUGGUUGACUUUCAUAAACCAUUUCAUAUAUACAUUCCAUGAUCGCGUUAGUAUCUUGCAAAGUUCGAGGAGAUAGUUAUUGACGGCCGGGUUAAUGUCGUGCCACUUCCACUCAAAGGCUAAAGAGAGAUUGAGUAGUAAAGCGCAGAGACAAAACUGCCUACUAGUAUGCAUGUUUAGUUGAGUUGAUGAGUUUUGUAAGUCUUUAUGUACUCAUGUGUUUGUCUUGGCUUGGGAGCUCAGGGAUUUUGCCAAUGGUGGCCUCGUUAAAUCCUGUAACGAUCCGUCCCAAAUUUUAUGAAUUUCGAAAUGAGGGUAAAUUGGUAAUUUCACGUGUGGGAGAUAUUUUGCAUGUUUGUCUUUUUUGGGCUUGUUUAGUGUGUCAGUGGGGUCCAUCCCUUUGUUUUGGUCUCCUGGCCCUUUCUCCUUCUUCCCUCUCCCCGUCACUCUCUAUCUCUCAUCUUCAUUCUCUCUCUCUCUCUCUCUCUCUCUCUCUCUCCCUCCCUCAUUCUCUAUGCUCAUCUCUCUACAACUCUCUCUUUCUUUGAACUCACACACAACACCACCUCCACCAUCACUAGCCUCGCCACUCUGGCGAACCCCAUCACCCUGAGGACCUCCCCGUCGUGACCUUGGACCACCAAGGCUCCUCCUCCUCUUUCCCUCUCACUGUACAGUGUCACUGUCACUGUUCAAAAUGUUCUUCGGAGAACUCUUGCCGAUAUCGACAUGGGUAAGCUUUGGAAACACUCUAAACCUUCUCAUUUUGUCGUCGUAGUUCGUUUUUAUUGUUCUUGUGUGUUAUGGAUGUCGAAGCAUCACACAAACAGCUCGGGGAGACUUCCCCAAAUUCCGGCGAGAACCCAAGCCUUCUAGGCCAUUUUCCAGCCAAUUUCGGCCACGGCUGGCCACGACAUAGGUAUAAUAUUCUUCCUUGUUCUUGGGGCUUCAAUUUGGUAUAUUGAAUGACUAGUUUUAAUUGAGAUUUUGGGAUGAAUGGAGCUCUCCAAGCUCCCGCUUUCUUGUUUCUGGAGACCUGCUGAACCACAACCUGAAAACGGGUCGACCUGACCUGCAACCCAAAACCCAAUCCAAAACACUAUUCUGACCCGACUCGAAUUCGAAUGGAAUAUUCUUUGUGUUGAUUUUCCUAGAAUAUUCCUUGUGUUGAUUUUUUGUUGACUUUUACGAAAUUUUCCCGGGACCCCUCCUAGACUAAUUUCGAUGUCCUGAUUCCAAAUCCUCACUCUGUUUUCCCAAAUUCAAUUGUUUAAGUAAAGUUUUACUGAUUAGUCCUUUUAUGUGCUUAGGUACAAUUGUUAGUGACGACCUCGUCCUCUCUAGUUUGAGCGGCUCUUCGGUGACGAAGUAUCUGUGAGUGGACCCCUUCUAAAAUGCACGAUUUUAUUGCUAGAAAUGCAUACAUGAAAAUCAUGAUUAUAACUAUGUUUUAUGAAAUGUUUAUGGGUUAUCCGAACUAUGCUUUAUAAAAUGUCAUGCUUUAUCGGAUUUAUGUUUGUUGAAAUAUUUAUGAAUAUGGUUUUAUGAUAUGAUGUUUGAGUUAUUGAGCUCUGAUGAGAUAUAUUUUGGAAAGAUUAUGUUCAUAAUUUUAUGUGCUUACUUAGUGGAUAUUCAUAUAUAUAUGUGCCUUCGGGCGGGCAAUGUAGUGCCUUCGGACGGAAGAUAUAUGUACUUUCGGACGGACGAUGUAGUGCCUUCGGGCGAUUGUGAUACCACUACUAAGCACACUAUAUAUGAUAUAUGUUUUAAUCCAAGGUUCUAGGGCAUGCUAGUGUUUUCGGAAAAAACCUAUUAUUUAUUAUGCUAUAUGAGUUUCUAAAACUGGGGGUUAGUACAUUUGAAGAGUAGUUGAUUUUAGUAUUACUUAUAUAUAAACUUGGUCCGCUCAUGCUUUGUUUUACGCCUCCUUCAGGACUUAGAAUCGAGGCGUACACUCCCGCAUCUGUAUCUUCGAGUCCUCUUGGUGUAGGACCCAAUCCUUUGUUCGCACCUUUUCAUAAUAUUCCUUCUACAAUAUUCUUGAUUAGUUGUAUGCUUUGAACAUGUUCACACAUUUGCAUAUUCAUUAUAGUUAAGUUUAUGUGUUUUAUUUUACGUUCGUUCUUUCUUCAUAUUUUUACAUGCAUGUUAAUAUGGCUUCGUCACCUUCGGGUGUCGGUCAGAAUGUGUUUAUCUUGGUGUUUGGAGGAUAUUGGGGUCGGGCAUGUCAAAUCCUACAUCUUGUGUGCAUUUUUUAUUUAUCUUUUUAACUGCAUAUGUGUAGGAUAGUUUGAUAAGUGACUGAAAAUUGAAUUGGAUUUUUAAAUUGAAACCUAUUCACCCCCUAGGUAGUACCACCCUAGAACUUGCACAUAUUAUUAUAAAAAAUAGUAUUACUACCAUCUAUUUAUAUAAUCUCUAAUAGAAAUAAGAUAAACAUGUGUUGAUGGGCUCACCUCUAUUAGAGAGAUAAUACAAAUAGAUGGUAAGUAUAUCAAUUAUUAUGGAUUUGGGUUUUGUCCCGUAAGUGAUGUCUAUAAGAUCUAUAAAGUGGUAAUGAUUAGGAAUGCCAGCGGAGAGGUAAUGGUUAUGACUGUUGGUUCCUGGUUUUGGAGAAUAGGGAUUCUGAUUACACUUUGGUGUUUCAAUCAUUAUCGUCUCCUUUUGAUACGUGCCUUUAACCUUGAAAAUGAGCAUUUCCAACAGUUACCACUACCACCUUGUUCUCCGAUUUGAAACGGUCUAGCUUUUUCCUUGGAGUCUUGAAAGAUAGGCUCUCUAUAACUAUGCGCUCGAUGGCUAGUAUCAAUGCUUGAGUGAUGCAGGAGAGUGAUGUCAAGCAGUGGUGGACAAAGGAGCUGGAGAUUCGCGUGAGUCGUCUGGUUUUUGUAUUACUCGAGUAUUGAAGUUUACAGAUGAGGGGCAACCGGGGCAAGUCUUGUCGUUUAACAAGUCUCGCUUAGAGACUAAUACUCGUAGAAGAAAGGGCCCUGUGAGGGUUGAGGACCUUGAGGUGGAUGGGCUACCAUGCGCAGUUGAUACACCUUGCUUUCAUGUUUCAAGCUUUGUUUCGCUUAAAGAUGCCAUGAGGGGUUAGAGCUCGAAGCUAGGUAAGAUAUGCCAAUGCUAGUACUAGUUAUGUUUGUUUUUGCAAUUUUGUGCAAAUUUGGUGGUAAUUUGUUUCCAUUCAAUAUAUUUCAUUUACUUUUUUUUUUUUUGAAUUGUUAUUAGUACUCCAAAAAUCUCAUUCUACACUCAAAACUUUCUAUAUUAGGAAAUAAAAAUACAUUCGUGAGAAGUGUAAAAUGAGAUUUUUGGAGUCCCAAUAACACUUUUUUUUUUUCCUAUAUAGUUUUAUUUUAUUCCAAAGAGAGAAUAAUUGCUAAUGGUGACCGUUGUUGUGCCCACAAUUUGAACGAAUGUUGCGAGAGGAAUGUUGAAAAUUUGCUUAAUUGUGAAAAGCUUUUCUGGUGAGACUUUGAGAAAGCCAUCACGUGGGCUUUGCAAUUUGGUUUUGUACAGUCAAUUCACUUUCUGUUCCUCACAUCACCUUUGUUGGGUGAGAGUUGCUAUCUGCCCAUUACGUGUAACUUUUUACUUCACUUCCUCUUGCAUUUAUUUUGGCUUCUCAAGCAUUCUUGCUGGUGAGUGCAUAUAUUAAUGUGCACCUAGGUAGAGCCGUUCGACAGAUACAGAAAAAGCUAGCGCAGCAAAACCAUUUGGUGAAGAGGAAAAAAGUACUCUCUUGUUCAUCGGUUUUGGGUGCUGUCAACUUUAUUGAAAGAGCCCAAUCAUCUCCUCUUUGUGACUAAAGAUUGUCACACCAUUUGGAGCAAGAAGGAAACCUUUCUUUGGUUUUAGGGGCUGCUGCUCAUCUGAUAAAUUUCUCUCGCUUUUUUGCUUUUGGUGUUUUGCUUCACACUUCCGUAAGAGCUUUUGUAUGUUUGCAGAGCAAGAACUUGAGAAUUGUUCUUGGCACAUCUAUGUGGGAGAGUGACGUGUAUUUGGGUUUUAGGUUGUGAGAGCUUAAACAAUUUUUUAAUCUUUAUUUGAUAAAGAUCGUUUAGAAAGUGGGACUAAUAUUCUCACCGUUUCCUUACUAGACGUAGACUUACACCGAACUAGUAUACGUCCUUGUGUUAAUUGGAUUUCUGUAUUUAUCAUAUUUUACCUUGUUAAAUAUUUGCCUCAUAUCUGAAGCUUCCGCAAAACAAGGGAAACCAUUAUUAAACAUAGAAUAGUUGGCUAUGUUUGUGUAAAUUCAGGGGAGCUGCAGGUUUAAUUUACACAACUAAAAUUAGUUUUGGGUUUUUUUAUUCUAUAUUUAUAGGAGUGCCUAUCCAAAUGGUAUUUGCAAACAAUGAUGAAAUCCUAUAUAUGUCUGUGUUAUGAAACUUGAGUCAGCCAAACAUGAUUUUGUAUAUUUCUUGCUUUUAUGGUGGCAUUAUAUAUACUAACAAAAAUCAUUAACCUUCCUGCAUCUCCCAGGUUUAUUUCUGCAUGUGUUCCUAAAACACUAGAGAUGUAAGAGUGCGAGUUGAAAGAGUUGGUUUCUGAGUUCGAUCAACUUCCUAUAAUAUAUAUAGGGGUGUGAUAUCUACACACCUUAUUUUACUUCUCACACAUUUUUUUUAUUUUCGGCCAUCAGAUUGGAUGAAUUGAAGAAGAUCAACGGACAUAAAUUAUCAAGGGAUGUGUGAGAAGUAAAAUGAGGUGUGUGGAUAGCGGCUCUAGAUUUGCUGUCCCCAAAAAUAUGUCUCGUUUAUGUCUCCUUGCUAAUAUGUUGACACAUGUCAUUUAACUUAACCUAAAACUAACUCUGUUAAUUUUAUUUAUUUAACAUUUAAAUUAAAAAAAUCCCAAAUAAUAAAAAAAAAAACUGUUGGGUUAAUGAGGUGAGCAAAUGAGAGCUGUGAUUCUCUGAGGUCGUUCCCUUUGGGCAUUUUCCCCAACCUUUCAUCUCUUCGUAUAGGAAAUUUUGAGAAUCUGGAAUCUCUUUCAGUUGAAGGAGGAGCAGAUGAAAAUCUCAGCCAUCUCAACUCCCUGGAUAUUUGGGUAUGUCGAAAUCUUGUCUCUUUUCCCGAGGGGGGUUUGCCCACUCCCAACCUCACUUUCUUUGAUGUCUACGACUGCGAGAAUUUGAAGUUGUUGCCGGACCGAAUGCACACCCUCACCGCCCUUCAAACCUUAUUGAUACGCAGUCUUCCAAAUCUUGUCUCUUUUCCUGACGGAGGAUUGCCCACUCCCAACCUGACUUACUUUAAAGUAGGGGAUUGCGUGAAUUUGAAGUUGUUGCCGGACCGAAUGCACACCCUCACCGCCCUUCAACGUUUGGAGAUAUCCAAUCUUCCAAAUGUGGAGACGUUGCUCAAUGAACAGAUGCUCCCUGCCACUCUUCACGCUCUCGAAAUCUCUUAUGCAUCUUAUCUGAAAACUUUGGACGGAAAGAGUUUUGAGCACCUCACUUCUCUUCAACAGCUACAAAUCGAAGGGUGCGAGAGUCUCGAAUUCCUGCCAAAAGAGGGUUUCCGGCAUCUCUUUCUUAUCUGAAGAUCCGGGGUUGUCCUCCUCUGAAGAAGAGGUAUGGGAACAAAAAGGGAAAAGAUUGGAGAAGCAUAGCUCGCAUUCCUUGUAUAGAGAUAGAUGAUGAAAUCACCAUAUGAGCUUUCAUUUCGUUAACCCAACAAUAAUUAAAGUUAACAGAGUUAGUUUUAGGUUAAGUUAAAGGACAUGUGUCAACAUAUUAGCAAGGAGACACAAAAGAGACACUUUUAGGGCCAGCAAAUCUGGAGCUGUGGAUAGCACACAUCUAUAUAUACUUUGAGUUAUAUUGUUGUUUUGUUGGUUAGAAAGGGUUGUAGGUUUCCAUAUGCUUGUGUUUUAUUACGUCCAAAACGUAGGAGCUUUGAGCCAGAAAUGAAGCAUUUGAGAAUUUUCUUCAAGUGUGAUAGGAAACUGAACUUCCUGCUCAGGUGCUGCUAUGCAUUUGGCAUCAUUGGUUGAAAGAUUUAGUGGUACAUCUGUUUCAAUUUUGGCGUAGGUGACUGUACUUAUUAUCAUUUAAGAGAAUAGGGAUCAUCAGAUAUAGUGGUAAAGCCAUAAAUUAUCACAGAAAUGAGCGAAAUUUAAACAGGUAAAAGAGUAUAUGACUGUGAAGACACGUGAUAUUAUGAGCCUCUAGAAACACACGCGAGCGCGCACAAAUAUAUAUAUAUAUAUAUAUAUUUUUUUUUUUUGAACAAACACGUAGACAUAUAUAUGAAACAAUUGAAAAAUGUAAAAAAAUUCGUGAGAAGGAAAAUAAUUAUUUUUUGGGUAAUAACAAAUAUAAAUUAUGAAAAAAAAAAGAGGCUUAUUUAGACCAACUCUGACUCUUAGAGUAAGUCCUAAAAUUUACCUUCUAUUUCCCCUCAAUUUCCUUCCAACCUUAGGCCAAUUUGGGACUAUAGGUUGGGACUAUAGGUUAGAAGCUAAAAUUGGACCAAAUACCGGCCAGAAAAGUGGGCUGGAUUAGUGGUGUGCCCCACUUUUGCGUGUGAACGCGCUCCAAAACUUGGCAGCGCAGCAAGAAUGACACGCCCAUGCACGGAACGCACUGGGAGAUGAGCAGCUGGUGGUCCCAUGCACAUGGAUCUUGUUGGCCACCCAUCAGAGCCCAAUGACUCUUUUUCUCAUCCAAGGGUUGUGCUUCACUGGACCGUUGGAUCCAGGUUCGAAUUUGUGUUUUUUUUUUAGUUUAUAUUUAUAAAUUUAUUAAAUCUAACAGCUGAGAUUGAAUAUAAACCAAAUCUAAUUAUGGAAAAAAAAAUUUUAAAGUUAAAAUUUAAAUCCAACUGCUAAAAUAAUUUAAAAUUUUAUUUAACUCAAAAUUCACUCAAAAACUCUAUAAAUGCCUAUAUAUUUGUUCAAACAUCCACUCAAAAUUCACCUUUCUCCUACAAUUCUUUCAAUUUUUCAUUCUACCAUCUUCCAAAACCAUGUGUUUUGUGUUUAUUCAUCUCUAUCAUGUGUUUCAUAUUCUUCCAUAGUGUUUCAUGAGUUUUAUAUAUUGAUUUAGUGAUUUUUCAAUAUUGAUCGGGAUUUAAAUAUUUUUAGGUUAAAAUGUUCAUAAAAUUAAUUUAUGAUAAUCUACAUAAUUUUUUUAAAGUUAUUUUAAAAAAAUAAAAUGAUUAAAUUUAUUUUUUAAUAGUAUGGGGGUAAAAAUUUAACCCAUAAGGGUUAAAGUAAAAAAACUACUUCUCAAUUAAAACAUAAAUAUUCUGAGCUAAAAAUUUUAUGUUUUAACUCAAAUGUUGAAGAUGCUCUCAAAGGAGGGAGAAGAAACAGGAAAAAAGGGAGGAAGAGAAGGACGGGGAAAAGUGGGUAGGGAAUGCCUCAAACUUAAAAAAACUCAAAAUGGUAAAAUAUCGAGGAUUUGACAGUCCUCGUUCUCACGUUGAGGCAGAGCCAUAGAGAGAGAAGGGUAGAGAGAGGAUGGAGAACCAUAAGCAGAUAGAGAAGGAUGAGUGGGGCCAUGGCAGUGGAGACGGCGAUGUGGCUGUAGUUUGCUGCUCUGUUGCUUCUUCUUUGAAACCGCUUUCCUCUUCUGGUUCUCCACCCCCAAACUCAAGCUUUGAAACUCUGCAAUUCAACUUUCAACUCUGUAAUCGAGAAGAAGAAAGGUAACAAAAGAGAUGAAAGUACCAGAGGGGCGGAUUUAACUCGUAGGGUCAAUUUCUGACGAUUGAAGGUGCGGCCGCACCUCCUUAGAGCUUUGUGGCUUCCCCACUGAUCAGCUAUAGAAUCUGGUGUUCGGUGUUCCACAUAAACCCAAAAGCUAGAAUCUAGCUAUAGGGAUCAUCACAUCACAUAAAGCUCAGUGUGAAUUGGGAAUUUUCCUAGUAGCUAGUGGUAACUAGAGAUUUUGCACGAGAGCCUGAUGUCAGAAUACAAAGAAGUUCUUGUUCACCAUAUGUAUUCUUGAGAGAGAAAGAGAGAUUUGAGAGAAUAGCAAUCUUAGAGAGAGAAAUGAAUUGUAUCUUGUAUGUAUUGAAUUAAUGAAUGUGUUACAAUAUCUACACAUAUAUAUAGACAAGGCUAUCUUAGUCACUAAGUAAGUUAACAAACUUUAACUACCUAGCAACCUAAUCUACGUACACUUGUCAAUAUCUGAAACACCUAAUACAUCUUUACACCUGAUGGUUAUCUUGUUCGUAAUAACCAGCAAAGUUCAUCAUUAAGGUAUAGGGUUUUUAUCACAAAUGGUCCCUGACAUUGAUCAAACACAUCAUUUUGGUCCCUGACAUUGAAAAUCAAUAGAAAUGGUCCCUGACAUUGAUCAAACACAUCACAAAUGGUCCUUCCGUUAAAAACUUUUUGGGCAAUUUUCAAAGCUUCGUAACUCAAUCGUUUCUUAACCAAAUUUGACCCAUGAUAUAUCAAAAUGAAGAUAGGCAAGUGUAGAACAAGAUUAUACCGAUUUGGAAGCUCAAUGGUUGCCGGAGAUGGCCGGAAAGUAGCCUCAAAUGUGAUUAGUCCGCGAAAAAACUGGAAAACUCGCCUGAAAUGGGGUAAACUUUAAACAUUCAUAACUUCUUCAAUACUCAACGAAAUUGAGUGAUUCAAAAAUGAAAAUCAUACGUCUCAACGAGAAAAAGAGAAUGGUACCUUUAUUGACUACUAAUUUACUGUGGUUUGACCAUAAAAUGGCUUGAACUUGGAUAACCAUUUUCGAGUUAGCCAAUUUCGAGUCGUUUUCCGGCCAAACUAUGACAAGUUAGCCAUCAACAAAGAUACCAUUCUCUUAGUCUCGUCUAGAAGUAUGAUUUUUGUUUUUGAAUCACUCGAUUUCGUUGAUUAUUGAAGAAGUUAUGAAUGUUUAAAAUUUAUCCCAUUUCAGGCGAGUUUUCCAAUUUUUUUGCUGACCAGUCACAUUUAAGGCUAUUUUUCGGCCAUCUCCAGCAACCAUUGGGCUUCCAAAUAGGUACAAUCUUGUUCUACAUGUUCCUAUCUUCAUUUUGAUAUAUCAUGGGUCGAAUUUGGUUAAGAAACAAUUGAGUUACGAAGCUUUGAAAAUUGCCCAAAAAGUUUUUAACAGAAUGACCAUUUGUGAUGUGUUUGAUCAAUGUUAGGGACCAUUUCUAUUGAUUUCAAUGUCAGGGACCAAAAUGAUGUGUUUGAUCAAUGUUAGGGACUAUUUGUGAUAAAACCCUUAAGGUAUAUAUGUGUAUUCUCAUAUUAAAAAUAAAAAAUAAAAAAAGUAAAAAAUAGUGAAAGUCAUACAACGGGGUCAUAAAGUAAUUUCUCUUUUACAAAUAUGGUUUUCGAGCCAUUCCAAGCAUUUCUGUUGCAAGUUACAUAUGGCUAUUUGGAAGAAGCAUAAUAAAAUGAAGUUUGAAAGUAAGCUUGCUUCCUUUUCACGUCCUUGUUAUUUUAUUUUGGCCUGAAUUAAGUAGGUUGGAGUUUUCACUCUUGAUCAUGUGCAUGGUAUUUUGGAUAAGCAACUUGGGGUGUCUCUUGUAAUCUCGACUAAGUCCUGUAAACACCUACAAUUUCUGUUCUUUGGCAUCCUCCUCCAUUUUAUAGGGUCAAAGUGAAUAUGAAUGGCCUUGCUAAAAGUAAUCCAAGUUUUGUAGCUUGUGGUGAGGUUUUUCGAGAUUCUGUGGGUUAUUUUCUUGGUGGUUUCUCCUUGAGCUUAAGGCAUUGUACUUCUUUCUAUUCGAAGCUUCAUGUUGCCAUCUUAGUUGUAGAGUUGGAUCACACGCAGGGUUGGCAAGAUUUAUGGCUUGAAAGUAACUCUUCUACCGUGAUUUCUUGCUUUGCUUAUGGUUCUUUCUCUCCUAUUUGGUCGCUCUAGACUUGUCGGAAAACGGUAUUUCCCGGUUGCGGCACAUGGUAUUCCGUUGUUCUCAUAGAUUUCGAGAAAGGAAUGCAGUUGCUGAUAAAUUAGCCAAUUUGGGAUUUCUCUCGUCUUCACUUGUUUGGCAUGCCACUCCUUAUAGACAUUCUUCUUGUCUGCAUUCAGAUUUAUUAAGUAUGUCGACCCACAGGUUUGUCUCCUCUUUUUGAUAUGUCAUUUUCUUUUUUACCUAAUCUUUUUGGAUUCUCCUUUUUUGUUUUGUAGCUUGUCUUGCAGGUUCUUACAUUUUACGUGUUAUUUUAGAGAGGGUCGGUCAUAAGUCCACCCCGUUUUUGUUUGUAUUUUCUUUUCCAAGAAGGGUAAGUAUAUGUGUGAUAGCCCGUCCCUAAUCUUAAGAGUUUUUAAAGUUUUAAUAAAGGAUUUUACAAAAAUGCCCUUUGAGGUACGCGCAUUUUUUGAGGUUAAUCGUCAUGUCGUGCCAUCUAAGAUUUGUUUUCUUGGCAUAUCAUCGUAGUACUCGUCGCUACGGAUGCGUGGGCGUAGACAGUUCGUGUCGAAAAAGUUAUUGACGUUUGAAAUUUGGGAAUUUUAGGAAUUUUAAUUUUAGUAAAAUAUAGAAUUUCUUUUAUGAAAAUGGACGGCCCAGAUUUAAUGAAGAAUUAAAUGGAUGGCUGGGAUGAGAGAAAGAAGGUUUUGUGUGUGUGUGUGCGUGAGAAGAAGAAGAAUCAGAGGAAAAAGAUUGGGCAGAAAUGCCCAAUCGGGAAAAGAGAGAAGAAUGGAUCAAGAGGGAGUGAGAGAGAGAGUUCAGCGAAUGGAGAGAAUAGAGAGAGAGAAACCAGCCAAUAGGAACAGAGGACAGGAGGAAAGGAAGGAGAGAGUGGCGCGGGGGAUCGGCCGGAUCCCCCUUGGCCCGUUUUUGACCCGUCGGCAUCCAUGCCUAUUUCUGACGAUUUUCACCCAUUUUUCCGGCGAAUUGCUUCAAGAAACUUCAUGGGAAACACUCUAGGAGCCUUCCUCUAUCCAUUCCAUCUCAAAAUUGGAGAGAUUUGGCUUUGAAAAUGGAGAAAACCGCAAGGAGGGGUGCGGCGACUUUGGCUUCGAAUCACCCAAUCCCGAAGCAAUUUCUUUCAAUUGCCACCACCCAUAGCUUCCUCUUGAGGCCUAGAACAAAGCCCAAGCAUUGAUUGGAACGGCGGAGUUGAUUUGAAGACGAAUUGGAACUCACCCAAUUCUAGGGUUCUUCACGGUUUUGACGAAAUUGGAGCCUUUCCAAGCCAAAUUGGCCUUUGCCUCAGGUAUAAAGUUUACUCUACUUGUUGAGAUCUUCAAUUCUAUAUUUUUUGAGAAUUUUUAGAAAUAGUUGGAUUUUCCGGCGAGCCGAGGCGGCCAACCGCCACCCGUGGCGGCGCGUGGCCAGUGGCCCACCAAUGUCAUUCUUAGCAUGUUUUUAAUGUUCUAGGUUCAGUUUUGAUAAUUGAUUGACGUAAAUUGAGUAAUUGAACCUAAGUUAGUUACGAUUCGUGGUGAGGUGAAAAUGUGAAUUGACGAUCCGACCGUUGAUCGUCACCAAACUUUGAUACGUUGUAAUACGUAAUAUUUGAGGAUUAUAGGAACUGACGGAUUGGGAAUCCGAUUUACGGAUCUUCCGGAAACGGAGUUGUAAGUUUAUAAAAUAGAAUGUUAACCGUCACUUGAUUUUGACAACUGGCGGAGAUCCGACCGUUAGAUGGUAAUGGAAUUUUAUGAUGUUGCUCUAGAGAUAUAUUGUGGAACUCUGGAAGUUAUGGAUUGGAAAUCUGAGUUGUAGAUCUUCCGGAUCGAUCUACGUAGUGACAUGUUUUAUAUAAGUUAUAUAUUCUAUCAAUAUGAUUUCUGAGGUUUGAUUUGAUGAUUGUUCUAGGCCCUGAUCGUCAUGACGCCUUGAUGUAUUGUGCUAGGGAGUUGUAGGGCGAACUCCAGGUGAGUGGGCAUUAUUUUCUGUAUUUACCUAUAUACUACUGAAUUUCCCAGAAAUUGAAUUUAAAUGAAAGUAUGUUUUUAAAAUGCCAUGCAUGCAUAUUAUGAAUUAUAUGAAUUAGUAAUUGAUGCAUAUAUAUGUGAAUUGGUGUUGUGGACGCACAUGCGAGUAUCAGGUGAGUGUUAUGUUAUUUAUGUAAAUCAUUGAUGAUGUGAAUUGUGUUGAGAGCUCAUAACAUGCACCCCUGGUGUUAGUGCUUAUAGUAUUCAUCGCACCGUACACUCACCUUGGAUCCAAGUAGGUGCAUGUCGUACAGACCAUGAGAGGGUUCUGACAUGCUAGUCGUACAGAUCACUAGAGGUGGUUCCGACUGGUAGGUGACCUUAGAUUAUGUGCACAGAUGAUUGAUGAGAGAAACACUAGAGCGUAUUAUUACACCAUUCUUAUCGUACAGAUUACUUUAGGUAGUUCCGAUUUAUGUGUAGAGUAGUGCUGUACAGGUCACAGUGGUGACUCUGGUUGGAUUGGAUAUUGAGCUAUAGAAUUAACCGAACAGGACCAACUGCAGGGUCUCCGGUUGAUUCCUUAUUCCACCUGUUAUAUUGAUGCAUCUUUAUUAUGUUUUGAUGCAUAGCAUGGCAUAUUUUCUCGAAAAGUGUUAAAGACUUGUGAUUUGAGUUUUGAGAUUUUAUAUGGUUAUAUAUAUUCUAUUUUUCUGGGAAAGUAUACAGGUUUUACAGCGAGGGGUUAGAAAUGUUUAAAAUGAAAUGUUUUCGAAAAACUUUGUUUUACUAACCCACUUAAUUUUGUUUUGCGCCCCUCCAGGUUCAAGUUAGCAGAGCUUUGGUGGCCACGAGGAAUCCAACAAUGUUCUGACAAAAUUCUCAAAAGUAGGAUUCACCCUCGGGUGUUAUAUCCUAGUAAUUGUAUCUUUAAAGCUUCCAAACUGUGUAAAUGGUUACGUCACUCUCACGUGACGGCCAGCAUGCCCUCCUUCGGGAUGGGGUGUGUCAGUUGGUAUCAGAGCCUAGGUUGCAGUCCUGGACAUCUUGAGAAUUCCCUAGUGUCUUCUGUCAGAACUUUACCACCUCGUAGAGAGCCACUUUGUUCAGAUGAGCUUAGUUUCCCCGAUUUAAUUUAGUUAUAGGAGACUACUACUGAUGUGAUUCAGUCUAUUACCCAAAUGACUCCUUUUGAGAAUGGUUAUAGAUUGAAUUUGAAUCAAUUUAGGGAAAUGAAAGACCGGAUGGAGCAGAUCAAUGGCUUAAUCAUUUGGAAAAGGCAUUUCAGAUUCUGCAAAUUAAAGGAAUCUUUCUCUUGAAGGUAGGUCGAGAUGACUACCUGGUUUCUGAGUAUUGAAAUUGCAUCAUGGUGGAGAUAGGAGUCUUAUACGAUGUCACCAGAGGAAACAGCUGAAUGAGAAUUGUUUAAAGAGUUGUUUAAGAAAAGGUUUAUUCCUCCGGCAUAUAUGGACGGUAAGAAACAAGAGUUUACAAUUUGAGACAAGGAAAAGAAUGAGAAUCAAAGGAAGGAUGACCAAGGUAAAGGUCAUGUAUCUCAAGAACCUCGCAAGACUUAGAGCUUCAAAAGAAGUGGGGUUAAUUCUAGUUCUGCCAUCAGAGAUUUUAGUACCAUUGAUCAGAUACGAGGUGGUAGAUUUACUGGAGAUCCUAGAUUGCAGAGGCGAAGUGACUCUGGUAGAGGGAAUGUACCUUUGUGCUGUAAGUGCAAUAGCAUACACUUUGGAGAGUGUAGGCGAGAAAGUAGAUGAUGCUUUACAUGUGGACAAAUGGAACGUAGAACUGCAAGAUACUUAGAAUCUUUCGGGCUUGAUCAUGGGCACGUUAAACAUUCUUGGUUACUUUGCUAGAGUUUUAAUUGAUUGUGAUGUAGAAAUUUUAUGUUAUUAACGAUGUUGCCAAAGAAAGUAGUGAAUGAGCACGAUCGAGGCGUAUAUAUGUAUUUCUGAUGAAGAGCAAGAUGAUAAUAUUACACCCUUGAGAAUUGUUGCUUACUUAUCGAGACAACAGUGAGUUAUCAUUAUUGCGGGCUGCAGACCAUAAUAUCCAUAACUUAUUUGUUGGAUUCGUUAAGCAGGUAAACAAGUAGGUAAUUCUAUGUCGGUUAUGAUUAUUCAGGGUGUCCAGUGAUGGUGGAAGAAGUAGUUAUGCCAGCGAAUCUUAUCCCGUUAGACAUUGUGGAUUUUGAUGUGAUUUUAGGCACAUAUUGGUUGCAUUAUAAUCGUGCCAAUAUUGAUUGCUACGGGAAAUCAGUUACUUUCCAUCGUCUUGGAUUAUCAGAGGUUACUUUUGUGAGUGAGCAAAGUGGAAUGAGGCAUGCCGUUAUUUCUGUUGUGAGAACAAAGAGAUUGUUAUCAAAAGGUUGCCAAGGAUACCUAGCUCAUGUGGUGUUGCAGGAUCGUACUCCUAGUAUUUUGGAUGACGUACGAGUAGUAGACAUUUUCCUAAUGUGUUUCCGGAAAUAUUUACCUGGAUUGCCACCAGACAGAGAUGUGGUGUUCACUAUUGAAUUGUCUCCAAAUACAUAUUUUAUGUUAUAGAUUGGUUCCUGCAGAGUUAAAAGAAUUGAAAAUUCAGUCACAAGAAUUGGUUGAUAAAGGUUUCAGUCAACCUAGUACGUUACCUUGGAAAACCCCAGCUUUGUUUAUAAGGAAGAAAGACAGGACCUUAAGAAUAUGUAUUGAUAUUAGGUAAUUGAAUUGGGUAACGAUUGAGAGCCGUUAUCCAUUGUUGUGUAUUGAUGAUUAUUUGAUCAGCUCUGAGGCGCCUAUGUAAUUUCUGAGAUUGACUGGAGGUCUGGAUAAUAUUAGUUGAAGAUUAGCAGUGUGGAUGUUCAUAAGACUGAAUUCAGGACUCGUUAUGGUCAUUUCAAGUUAGUGAUGCCAUACAGAGUGACGAAUGCACCUGCUACUUUUAUGAGUUUGAUGAAGGAAGUAUUCCAGUGAUAUCUAGACCGGUUUGUUGUUGUUGCCAUUGACGAGAUUGAUAAGAUUAGAACGGAGCAUGCUAGAUAUUUUGAGUUGGUGUUGCAAUGAUUAAGGGAACGUCGAUGUAUGCUAAGUUUAGCAAAUGCUAAUGUUAGAUAAAUCAAGUGACAUUUUUUAGACAUAUUUUAUCUACGUAAGGUAUUCAAGUGGAUUCUUAAAAGGGUAGCAGCGAUUGAGAAUUUGGAACAAUUGCGAACCGUGACUGAGAUUCAGAGUUUUCUCGGCUUAGCAGGUUAUUAUUGAUAGUUCGUCCAAGAUUUUUCAAUCAUUGCUUUGCCUUUGGCGAGAUUGAUGAGAAAAGAGGUUAAGUUUGAGUGGGAUGAAAAAUUGUGAGUAGAGCUUCAGCAAGUAAAAUAUUCCCUCACUCAUGCAUCUGUUUUCGCACUCCCAGACGAUAGUGGUAAUUAUGUGGUCUAUAGUGAUACUUCUUUGAAUGUUCUUGGAUGCGUGUUGAUGCAACAUGGUAGGAUGAUUGCCUAUGCUUCACGGCCAUUGAGAUCUCAUGAGAUGAAUUACCCUACUUGUGAUUUGGAAUUAGCGGCUAUCAUUCUUACUUUGAAGUUAUGGAGACAUUAUAUUAUUGGUGAGAAAUGCAAGAUUUUUAUGAAUCAUAAAAGUCUCCAAUAUAUGUUUACGCGGAGAGAUCUUAAUCUUAGGCAACAAAGGUGGAUUGAGUUGCUUAGUGAUUAUGAUUGUGACUAGGGUGGUCGAGCUAAUGUUGUGGCUGAUGCAUUUAGUAGGAAGACUCCAGUGAGAAUUAAUGCUUAGUACGCUUGCUAUGUUCAUCUUCUUGUGGAUUUGAGAUCUACUGGAGUAAAGUUGGGUAUCAAAGAUCGAGAAGAAGCCUUACUUGCUAAUUUUCAAGUUAGACCUAUUUGGUAGAUCGUACUCGAGACCCAAACGUUUGAUGAAGAAAUUCAAGAAUUUAUUUAAAGCAAGGGAUAACAGGAAAAAGAAAGACCUCAGAGUUAGAGAAUCUUAUGGCAUGCCUAUGCAAAAGAACAAAAUGUAUGUACCUAAUGUUAUGGAAUUAAAGAAAACAAUUUUGGACGAAGCGCACGGUUCAUCUUAUACAAGGCAUCUUGAAGGUAUUAAAAUGUAACAUAUCAUUCGAAAAUUUUACUAUUGACCGAGUAUGAAAAGAGAAAUGGUGGAGUAUGUAAGUAGGCGUAUCAUCCGUCAGCAGGUUAAAGCGGAAAGAAAUAAGUCAUUUGGAUUGAUGUAGUCAUUUCUUGUUCCACGAUGGAAAUGGGAAAAUAUUACUAUGAAUUUCGUGGACAAGCUUCCUCGUAUACAAAAUAGUUAGGUUGGAAUUUGAGUAAUAAUUGAUCGGCUUGCGACGUCAGCGCAUUUUACUUCAGUAUGAGAACAUCAACCUUUCUAGAAGUGCAACAGUGAUUUAUCUGUCUUAUGGAAAAGAGAUUUGGGCAUACGGAUCUGUUGAACUUCUUGGGUAUGUUGGUCCUUCAGUUUGUUCCCAAGAGGAACGCCAUAAGGCCGUGGAUAGCAGUGUCUUGUGUUUCAAAAUUGUUAGAAUUGUGGACGGAUGGUAUUUUGGGGAGCAAAAGGUUCAACCACGAAAAGUCUGAAAAAAAUUUAAGGCCAUGAGGUAGUGGAGGAGACUACUCGGAAUAUUCAAGUAAUUAAGUCUAAACUGAAAGUGGCCCAGGAUUGUUAGAAGAGCCUUGCCGAUAGACAUGGCACGGAUCGGAUGUAUGAUGUAAGUGAUUGAGUAUUUCUGAAACUUUAACCUUGGAAAGGUGGGGUUCGGUUCGGGAAGAAAGGUAAGUUAAGUCCUAGGUACAUCAGACCAUAUGUGAUCACCGAAAGAGUCGGUGAAGUUACUUACAGGCUUGAGUUGCCUCCAGAGUUGUCGAAAGUGCAUAAUGUGUUCCAUGUUUCCAUGCUUCGAUAUUAUGUUUCUGAUCCUUCACAUAUGAUUUCUCCUUAAUCUUUGGAAGUUAAUCCGGAUUUAAUUUAUGAUGAGGAACCAGUGAUAAUCUUGGAUUGGAAGGACAAUUUCUAAGGAAUUAAACAGUGAAGUUAGUGAAAGUUUUAUGGAGGAAUCAUUCAGCAGAAGAAACUACUUAAGAGACAAAAGAUCGAAUGAGAGAGAUGUUUUUCAGGUUGUUAUAUGGAUAUUGAUGGAUUGUAAAGAUUGUGUAAAUUUCAAGGAUGAAAUUUUUUUAAGGUGGGUAGAUUGUAGAGAUGGCAAUUUUAACCGUGAAACCCGAUACCCGUGGAUAACCGCCCGAAUGGAUUAGGUUUGGAUAUGAAAAUUCGGGUAUGGUUUGGAUAUGGGGAAAAACCGUGAACUUUAUUUGGUUAUGGGUUUGGAUAUGGUUAUAGGGGUAUCCAAUCCAUAUCCGUACCCGAAUCCAAACCGAAUAUUAUAUAUAUAUAUAUUUGAUAUAUAUUAUAUUUUAUUCAAUUAAUUCUUAAAAAUUCAAUUUUGCAACCCGGAUUCACUGAUUCAGCAGUUGUGUAAAAUGACAUGAUUGUCCAUCUCAUCUUUAGAUCCUACGGUGAGGAUGAUGAGUUAGAGGGGUAGAACUAGAAUCAUCUUUUUAUCAUAGGGUUUCAGUCUUUCAGAUUAGGACUUGAAUCUUCUUUCUUGGGCGUAGCCGCGCAGGUAAGGCCAUGCAUGCCGCCGAUCCUGGCACGUGUGAGAGAAAAAGAGAGUGACAAUGAGAGAAAGAGAAGAGAGAGUGGUUGUCCAGAUAAUAGGGAGAGAAACAGAGAGGGAGGGGUUGGGAUGGUGAACAGAGAGGAGUAAGGUCCCCCGACUCCGGGACUCCCUCAGUGUCAGUCCAUGAAUCACUCUGGAUCGUCCGUUCCCUUUUGCGUGUCGGAUGAGUGGCUGGAUUUCGAAAGCUAAGUUCCUUUUUUUAUUGGAUUCUUUAUUGUUAGCAUAUAUUUUCAUCAUUUCAGCCUUUUUGCUGUGAAUUAUAUCCGGAUUUUGUUGCACUGUUUGGUCAGGUUUUGGGGGUUCCUUUAUUUGUUUCAUUCUCUGUCAUUUUCUUUCAUUUUGUUGAUGCAGCAUCUCUCUGUUCUGUGUAUUGUUCUUUGUUUUAAGGUCAGUUUUUUUUUUUGUUGGUUUUCAAUUCGUUGAUCUAUGACUCUGUGUUUAGAUUUUCGUUCGUGUAUGAUUAAAUGGGUAUUGGGUUUUGGUGGUUGAAAAUAUGUUUUUUUCUUGCUUAUGCUUCUUGCUCAUUUUCCUGGGAUUUUUUGUUUUGAGUUGCAAGGGUAAAGAAAACACUGAAAUCUUAGAAAUCGGUUUUGGCAUUUGUGUUAAUGCAUUUCCAUUUUUGGUUUGCAGGAUAGGUGGAUGCAUUGAGACCUAAAAAUAUUUGCGUGAACAUCAUAAAGUUUUCUAAGGCUCCAAACGUUGAAGGGUAAGUGUUUUGAGCUAUGUUCAAUUUUUAAUUUGAUUCUCUACUGUUGGGGAUGCAUCUCUGAUCUCUCCGUUCUGUGUAUUGUUCUUUGUUUUAAGGUCAGUUUCUUCUUUUUUUUUUGGUUCUUUUUGUGGGUUUUUAGUUCGUUAAUUUGUGACUCUUGUGUUUAGAUUUUUCGUUGGUGUAUGAUUAAAUGGGUAUUGGGUUUUGCUUGUUAAAUCAAUAAUUGUCUUCUUGUUUAUUGUUAUAUAUUUAGUUUACAUGUUAAUUGACUCAAUUUCAGUAUUAUACCAUGUCUUUGUUUACAUAUUAAUGGAUUUGGUUGUGUUUGCAGCAAUCAAAAUGUCUAAAAGAAAAUUUAAGUCUCAAGAAGAAACAAUAUGUACCCCAACUGAUUGUAAUCUAGCACCUACAUUACAUCCAAGUGCUGUGCAACAAGAAAUACCAAGUCAAAUUGCUCAGCCCCAAGAUAUACCAACUCCAAAUGAGGUCGCUGGUGAGAUUAAGGAACCUGGGGGUGAUGAUGGUGAAGGUAAUAAUUCGAGACUUCGCAGUUUGGUGUGGCAACAUUACACAAGAACACUAGUUGAUGGGGUGAUGAAAGCAAUAUGUAAUUAUUGUAGCAAGAAGCUUGGUGGGAACACUGUAAAUGGAACCAGCCAUUUGAGGCAUCAUGUGACGAUAUGUCCACGUCGGAGACAAAAAAAAUUGAAGCAAACACUAACCCAAAAAGUAGGAGAUGGGAAAGUAGAGUUGUAUACAUUUGACCAAGAAAGUGCAAGGAGAGCUCUCGCCCAAAUGAUAAUAUUGCAUGAGUAUCCUCUUUCCAUGGUUGAGCAUGUUGGAUUUAGAAACUUCAUGAGUGUUGUCCAACUGUUGUUUAAGGUUGUUUCAAGAAACACAAUCAAGAGUGAUAUCCUCAAAAUAUAUGAUUAUGAGCGUUUGAAAACAAUGCAAUUGUUGGAUGAAAAUAAGAGUAGAAUUGCCAUAACUACUGAUAUGUGGACUGCAAGUAAUCAGAACAGAGGAUUUAUGGCAAUAACAUCUCAUUUUAUUGAUGACUCUUGGACGUUGCAGAGCCGAAUAAGGUGAUAUUUUUAAUACUUUAACUUCUAUUUAAUUGUUGUCUAGCUUUAGAUUUAUAUUUCAGAUUGUUUAUUGUAACCAUCUUCAUUGUAAUUUUUUUUCAGAUUUAUUUAUGUGCCUUGUCCGCAUACCGCCGAGACACUUUCAGAUGUUUUGAUGGAGUGCUUGCUAGAUUGGAACCUCGAUCGUAAGCUUUCUACCUUAACAGUAGAUAAUUGCACUACAAAUGAUAAAAUGAUUGAUGUUAUUCUUGAAAAACUUUCUGGUAGUUCACUUUUGUUGGGGUGGAGGGUUCUUUCACAUGCGUUGUUGUGCACAUAUAUUAAACUUAAUUGUGAAGGAUGGUCUCGAAGUGAUUGGUGGUGGUAUUGAGAAAAUUCGUGAGAGUGUUGUUUAUUGGACAACAACACAAAAAAGAAAGGAAAAAUUUGAGGAAGCAGCACGUCAGUUGAAGCUUCCAGGCACUAAGAAAAUGGUGCUUGAUUGUAAAACUCGAUGGAAUUCCACCUUUUUAAUGAUUCAAUCUGCUUUGAUUUACAAGGAUGUUUUCCCUCGUUUGAAACAACGAGAGUCGCAAUAUAAGUGUUUGCCUGAUGAUAGAGAUUGGGAGAUGGCAAGAGAGAUUUGUGAGAAGUUAAAGUUGUUUUAUAAUGUCUCCGAGUUGUUUUAUGGAACUAAGUACCCUACAACCAAUCUUUAUUUUCCAAAGAUUUGUGAGAUCAGGUUGUCGCUAACUCGGUUGCUUACCUCUAGACGUGAUGAAAUAAAAAAUAUGGCAAGAAGUAUGAUUGAGAAAUUUGAUAAAUAUUGGAGUGUGAUUCAUGGAAUAAUGGCUGUAGCUACUGUAUUGGAUCCAAGAUUCAAGAUGAGGCUGAUUGAGUAUUUCUUUCCGCUUAUGUAUGGGCAAUAUGCUUCGAAUGAAAUUGAUAAGAUUCGCAAAUAUUGUUAUGAUUUGAUAAAAGAGUGUGGAUCUAAUCAUAGUUCUAACAUGGGUCAUCAGCCAUCAUUCACUUCAUCUCAUUUGAAUCAAUCUGACUUUGAAGAGAUGAAUCCUUUAAUGGAUAACUUUGACUUGUUUGUUUCUAGUACUGUAAGUACUGAUAAUGAAAAGUCAGAAUUAGAUCACUAUUUGGAUGAGGCUGUUUUGCCUAGACAUCUGAUUUUGAUAUUUUGGGUUGGUGGAAAUCAAAUGGGACUAAAUAUCCUAUCUUAAGUGUUUUGGCAAGGGAUAUAUUAGCUAUUCCUAUAUCUACAGUUGCUUCUGAAUCAGCUUUCAGUACUAGUGGGAGAUUUGUAAGUCCACACCGUAGUAGACUUCAUCCAAAGACAUUGGAAGCCUUAAUGUGCGCCCAAAAUUGGUUGUGGAAAGAAAUUCAAGGUACUCCAAAGUAUUAAUUUAUUUUCAUCUUAUAUUUGUGCUGCUGUGCAUGUUCUUUAAUCUUAAUUUCGAACUUAUUUUUCAAACUUAAUUAAUUAGUAUGCAUUCAGUUUUUAGAACUAAUUUAAGUCUUCAAUUUCAUGUUUCACAACUAGCUUCUUGUUCUAAUGCACACGUUGGUUGUUGCACUUAUUUUGAAGAAAUGGAUAUGGAUGAGGUAAGUAUUGGCAAUUAUAUUAUAUGUAUAUAAAUAUCUUCUUUGUAGAUUAUAUGUGUACAACGAUUCAUAAUAAUUAUUUCGUCAUUUUCUUAAUAAUGUAGGAUUCAUGCUCCAUUGAUGGGUGUGAAGGAGGAGAUGCAGGAGCACCAUGAAAUAAUGAUGAUGGCAGCCUUGGCGGAACUAGAAGCAAAUUGCAUAUAUCUCGUUCUUUUGUCGUCAAUAUAUUAUUAUGUUUUUUGUAAUUGGAAGUCGGAUGAGUGGUUGGAUUCUUUACUGUUAGCAUAUAUUUUCAUCAUUUCAGCCUUUUUGCUGUGAAUUAUAUCUGGAUUUUGUUGCACUGUUUGGUCAGGUUUUGGGGGUUCCUUUAUUUGUUUCAUUCUCUGUCAUUUUCUUUCAUUUUGUUGAUGCAGCAUCUCUCUGUUCUGUGUAUUGUUCUUUGUUUUAAGGUCAGUUUUUUUUUUUGUUGGUUUUCAGUUCGUUGAUCUAUGACUCUAUGUUUAGAUUUUCGUUCGUGUAUGAUUAAAUGGAUAUAACCGAUAACCGAUUGAAAAUCCGUCACCCGGUGGAUAUGGUUAUGGAUAAUCCCCGAUUGGUUAUUUUACGGUUAUGGGUAUGGCUAAUUUUUGUGGUUAUGGGGAUGGAUAUUGCUUUUCCGUCCCCAAACCAAACCGUUGCCAUCCCUAGUAGAUUGUGACAGCCCGUCCCUAAUCUUAUGAGUUUUUAAAGUUUUAAUAAAGGAUUUUACAAAAUUGCCCCUUGAGGUACGCAUAUUUUUCGAGAUUAAUAGUCAUGUCGUGCCAUCUAAGAUUUGUUUUCUUGACAUAUCAUCGUAGUACUCGUCGUUACGGACGCGUGGGCGCAGACGGUUUGUGAUUUGGAGUUAUAUCGAAAAAGUUAUUGACGUUUGAAAUUUGGGAAUUUUAGGAAUUUUAAUUUUAGUAAAAUAUAGAAUUUCUUUUAUGAAAAUAGAUGGCCCAGAUUUAAUGAAGAAUUAAAUGGAUGGCUGGGAUGAGAGAAAGAAGAUUUUGUGUGUGUGUGUGUGCGUGAGAAGAAGAAGAAUCAGAGGAAAGAGAUUGGGCAGAAAUGCCCAAUCGGGAAAAAAGAGAAGAAUGGAUCAUGAGGGAGUGAGAGAGAGAGUUCAGCGAAUGGAGAGAAUAGAGAGAGAAAAAACGACCAAUCGGAACAUAUGACAGGAGGAAAUGAGGGAGAGAGUGGCGCGGGGGAUCGGCCGGAUCCCCCUUGGCCCAUUUUUGACCCGUCGGCAUCCAUGCCUAUUUUCGACGAUUUUCACCCGUUUUUCCGGCGAAUUGCUUCAAGAAACUUCAUAGGAAACACUCUAGGAGCCUUCCUCUAUCCAUUCCAUCUCAAAAUUGGAGAGAUUUGGCUUUGAAAAUGGAGAAAACCGCAAGGAGGGGUGCGGCGACUUUGGCUUCGAAUCACCCAAUCCCGAAGCAAUUUCUUUCAAUUGCCACCACCCAUAGCUUCCUCUUGAGGCCUAGAACAAAGCUCAAGCAUUGAUUGGAACGGCGGAGUUGAUUUGAAGACGAAUUGGAACUCACCCAAUUCUAGGGUUCUUCACGGUUUUGACGAAAUUGGAGCCUUUCCAGGCCAAAUUGGCCUUGGCCUUAGGUAUAAAGUUUACUCUAAUCGUUGGAUUUUCCGGCGAGCCGGGGAGGCCAACUGCCACCCGCGGCGGCCCAUGCGGCGGCACAUGGCCAGUGGCCUGCCAAUGUCAUUCUUAGCAUGUGUUUAAUGUUCUAGGUUCAGUUUUGAUAAUUGAUUGAUGUAAAUUGAGUAAUUGAACCUAAGUUAGUUACGAUCCGUGGUGAGGUGAAAAUGUGAAUUGACGAUUCGAUCGUCGGAUCGUCACCAAACUUUGAUACAUUGUAACACGUAAUAUUUGAGGAUUAUAGAAACUGACGGAUUGGGAAUCUGAUUUACGGAUCUUCCGGAAUUGGAGUUGUAAGUUCAUAAAAUAGAAUGUUAACUGUCACUUGGUUUUGACAAUUGGCGGAGAUCCGACCAUUGGAUGGUAAUGGAAUUUUAGGAUGUAGCUCUAGGGAUAUAUUGUGAAACUCUGGAAGUUAUGGAUUGGAAAUCUGAGUUGUAGAUCUUCCGGAUCGAUCUACAUAGUGACGUGUUUUAUAUAAGUUAUAUAUUCUAUCGAUAUGAUUUCUGAGGUUUGAUUUGAUGAUUGUUCUAGGCGCCGAUCGUCAUGAUGCCUUGAUGUAUUGUGCUAGGGAGUUGUAGGGCGAACUCCAGGUGAGUGGGCAGUAUUUUCUGUAUUUACCUAUAUACUACUGAAUUUCUCAGAAAUUGAAUUUAAAUGAAAGUUUAAAAUGCCAUGCAUGCAUAUUAUGAAUUAUAUGAAUUAGUAAUUGAUGCAUAUAUAUAUAUGUAAAUUGGUGUUGUGGACGCACAUGCGAGUAUCAGGUGAGUUUUAUGUUAUUUAUGUGAAUCAUUGAUGAUAUGAAUUGUGUUGAGAGCUCAUAACCUGCACCCCUGGUGUUAGUGCUUAUAGUAUUCACCGCACUGCACGCUCACCUUGGAUCCAAGUAGGUGCAUGUCGUACAGACCAUGAGAGGGUUCCGACAUGCUAGUCGUACAGACCACUAGAGGUGGUUCGGACUGGUAGGUGACCUUAGAUUAUGUGCACAGAUGAUUGAUGAGAGAAGCACUAGAGCGUAUUAUUACACCAUUCUUAUCAUACAGACUACUUUAGGUAGUUCCGAUUUAUGUGUAGAGUAGUGCCGUACAGGUCACAGUGGUGACUCCGGUUGGAUUGGAUAUUGAGCUAUAGAAUUAACCGAACAGGACCAACUGCAGGGUCUCCGGUUGAUUCCUUAUUCCACCUGUUAUAUUGAUACAUCUUUAGUAUGUUUUGAUGCAUAGCAUGUCAUAUUUUCUCGAAAAGUGUUAAAGACUUGUGAUUUGAGUUUUGAGAUUUUAUAUGGUUAUAUAUAUUAUAUUUUUUAGGAAAGUAUACAGGUUUUACAGCGAGGGGUUAGAAAUGUUUUAAAUAAAAUAUUUUCGAAAAACUUUGUUUUACUAACCCACUCAAUUUUGUUUUGCGCCCCUCCAGGUUCAAGUUAGCAGAGCUUUGGUGGCCACGAGGAAUCCAACGGUGUUCUGACAGAAUUCACAAAAGUAGGAUUCACCCCCGGGUGUUAUAUCUUAGUAAUUGUAUCUUUAAAGCUUCCGAACUGUGUAAAUGGUUACGUCACUCUCACAUGACGGCCAGCAUGCCCUCCUUCGGGACCGGGUGUGUCAAUAUGUCCCCUCACUCUUUCUUGUAAUUUUUUAUAAAGAGGGAUAAGGUGUAUGUCCUCCCUUUUUUUUUUCUAGUAAUUUGUUUUUCUUGUUUUAUAAGGGAUAAGUUUAUGUCUCCUUAACUAAGGGUAACCUUUUUUUUUUCAUAACAAUAAACUUUGCUCGUACUGCCGAGGUUUUUCAAUUCUUUCUUGUAAUAGCAAAGGAGACAACUUCACAUUUUAAAAGUAAAAUGAAAAAGGAUUUUUCCAUGCAAUAGGACAUUAUUACAAAAGUCGACCAUUUGUGUUUGCGUAGCCGUAAGCUACUACCAAACCAAGAAAUAGAAAAGGGCCAGUCAUUUUCUUAAGAUAACAUUAAUCUAUCUGAUCCAAGAAAGCCUUGAAAUUCUUGUUCGAAGACCCCCCUUCACUCACAGCCUCUCUUGCCAAAUCUUUCCAUUUCUUAGCAUUCCUUCUCAUCUCUUCACCAAUCUCCCCACUUCCCAUGACCAACUCCAAACACCUCUUGAACUCCUCACCCGUAACAAUCCCCUCCUCAUUUUGUGUCACCCUCAAUCCUGUCUUCCAAGUGUCUUCUAUCAACUUGGCAUUCGUCCCUUGGUCCGUCCACUGAGGAAACGCCACGACAGGCACCCCCGAAACCAGGCUCUCCAAACUUGAAUUCCACCCACAAUGUGUCACAAAGCAACCCAACGAAGGACUCGAGAGAACCGCCACUUGACUACACCAUGGCACUAUCCUCCCGAGCUCUUCUAAUUCCUCUCUGCAACUCAACAUCUCUUCUUCUUUCUUCGCCUCGUUAUCGUCUCCCUUCUUCUCGACUUUAUCUCUAAUAACCCACAAGUACGGACGGCCACAAUCCAACAACGCCUUCGCGAUUUCCUCCAUUUGGGCCUUUUCCAACACAGAAAUGCUUCCGAAGGAUACAUAAAUCACCGACCCUUCCGGCUUCGAGUUCAGCCACUCGAGGUACGAAGAGUCCUUUGAUUUUUGGAAAAGAUCGCCUCCAAAUGACUUGUCCGAUGGAACCUUGCUGUCCAAGGAAGCAGACCGAAUCAGUGGCCCGAUUCCAAUCAAAUUGUACUUGUCAAUUGCUUUUAAGGCUUCUGGCUCUAGCGCAUCGAACGUGUUCACUAGAAUGGUCGGAUUGGUUUCUCUCUCCAGCAGAUCCAUCUGUUCUUGAAACAACGGGAGGGCGAAAUUGUACGGAUUUGUAUCCACCAUGAAGGAGGGAAGGUCUCGGCUUGUGAGAGAUAAUGGCAAACCUGGUAAUUCUAUUGAACAUGGAAGGACAUCGUUCGUACCAGAACUAGUAUUAUCCCGGAUGAGAUCUUUGUACCCGUUAAAGUAAUAGUAGUAGAUGUCGAAAACUGUGGCUGGUUGAAUCCAAAGCAGUACGUUUUGGAGGUGAAGUUCAUACGCCACGUCCGCCGCCCAAGGGAGAAAUGUUGUGUAGACUAGGCAAGUGUAAGGGUGACCCUCGUUUGCACUUGAGACUACAAGGUCGGUGAUGGCUUGUGCUCCGCGGCGCCGCAGCUCCAAUGCGUAGUGGUCGUUGUUGUUGGUACGAUUAAACCCGUCGUCGUACCCAUCAGAGAAGAGUGAGUAGGUCAAUCCAUCUGGAAUUGAGUCAUUGCCUAUGCGGUGACGGGCGGAAAGGCAGGUAACGAAGGUGACAUGGGCGCCGGUAGUGUUGAUAAGACGCUUGGCGAAUUGGAGGGACGGGUUGAUGUGGCCUUGUGCCGGGAAUGUGACAAGUAGAAAGCGGUGUUGCACCAUGGCGGCGUAUGCGAUUGCGGAGUUGCGCGGUGGAGCGUGGAGGUGUUGGAAGUAGAAUAAGUAGGUACGUAAUUGAUUGGUAGAAUAUUUGUUUCUGUGGGCUUAUUAGCUGAGUGAAAUUGAAAUUCUUGUGGGAAUAUACAUUCAAGGUGGGGAGUGUGUUGAGAGGAUGUCAAGGCUUAAAUAGGGGUUUGGGGGUAGAAAGGUGACGUUUGUCGUGACGCAUUGAAGACGCUGGAGACGAAGCAAAGAUGAGAAGAAUACUUGUGUUUUGUGGUCUUCUCGAUCAUGCAUAAUAUUAUGAGUAAUACUAGGGAGGUCAUCUAUACUUAAAUAAAAUACUAUAUUUAUCACAUAUUUGUGUAUUGUAUCAUUAUUUGUAUCAUCUUUCUAAUAGAGAUAAGACCAGACCAAGUGGCCCUACAUCUAUUGAAGAGAUGAUACAAAUAUGUGAUAUGUGUAGAAAUCAUAAAUUUUAUAUCAUACGACGUGGCUAUUAAUGACACAUCACAUGAUUUACAAAUUUAAUGUAAAAAGUUAGUAUCCCUAACUUACUCUUUUCAAAUUCGCUUCAUCAAGUUUCUUAGCACAUCACGUGGACUAAAUCCAGUUUGAUGUGGUCAGAUAGACAAAUUAAGUCAUCGCCACAAAACUAAUCAAUACACAUGCGAGUGUUUGAUUUGUCUAGGUUAAUUAACUAUUGAUUCGAUCUGAUUUGUCUAGUUUAAUUAAUUAUUCAAGGCCGAGUGUUUGAGGCCAUGAAUAAUUGAGUUCGAACUAAACAGCCUAUACGGUUCAUCGUAGAUGUGAGCAACUCCACCUUGAGGGCUUGUCCUCAAUACUAGGAAAAAAGAAAACUAAGAACCAAGACACAAUCUGAUGGUGGCACGGUCCUUCACUCUAAAACUAAAGAACUAAAACUAAAAUAAGGGACUUGGAUCCUCUCCUAAGCUAGUGAAGAGGAUCCUCCUGACCAAGUGUUAUGGGCCGUUGGAUUUUCAUCUAACGGCUAUAAUUAUUAUAACUUUAAAAGGACCCACCUGUUUGUAGCCGUUGGAUAAAAAUUCAACAGCCCACAACACUUGGUCAGGAGGAUCCUCUCCAUUAGCUCAGGAGAGGAUCCAAAUCCUAAAAGAAGGACCAAAUUGUUUUCUCGUGGUCCUAAGCCGAAAGAAGGUAUGUUGAAAUAUCUAUCAUCGAUAGAAUAAGAAAAAAAGAGUUUAAAUAUCUUAAUUUCAUUCCAACUAAUAUCGAAAUCUUUUAUGAUAAAAACUUCACACCUGUCGAACUGUGUAAAGUAAUAAUUUAAAAAUGAAGACAAUAUCGAUAUUAUUGGAAGUACAUUUUUCGCAUGUAACAAGGCAAACACAUAUAUGCUCCAUGUGUCAUAAUUUAGUUCGAUAUGACCAGUAAAAAAAUAAGCAACCAUAUAGUUUUGGUGAAAUGGAAUAUGAAAUGGGCCCUACCGCGGGACUAAGACUCCUAAUCCUGCUACUAAUAAACACACAUAUGCUCCAUGUGUCGUAAUUUAGUUCGAUAUGACCCGUAAAAAAAAUAGGCAACCAUAUAGUUUUGGUGAAAUGGAAUAUGAAAUGGGCCCUACCACGGGACUAAGACUCCUAAUCAUGCUAAGAUUAUUUUAAAAGGAAAACUAAUGAAAAAUGCUUGAAAACUUUAAGUUUUAAUGAUAAGGACAAAAUAAAAGAUAAAGUGAAUAGUACUAGAAUUGAUUUUUUAGUGUAAAAAUAUGAUUUUUUGUUAAAGUGAGCAGUACAGGUGCUUUUCGUUAAAGUUCCCUAUUUUAAAUUCCUAAUCCUGCUAAGAUUCCUAGUCAAACUAAACUUCCCUAAUUAAGCUAGAUGGUUGUAGUAGUCUUCACUCAUGCAUGCAUGAUGAGUGCAAAAAUUCGCUUUCUAUUUCUAUUAAAUUAAGUGAAUAGCACAUAACAUGGACUAGUAGGUUUGACGUGGUAAGAGAGAUGAGCGAAUUUAGUGAGCACAAACCUGAUUAAUACACAUACAAAUUUGUGAUUUGUCUAGUUAGGGGCCUAAGGGCUAGGGGGCCGUUUAUCAUAUGCCAAAUUUGAUUGGUCUUGUUAAAUUUCAAGUAGACGGGUCAUGGGCCCACUCCAACAACAUCGAUAUUGUCCUUACUAGGCCACCCGCUCAAUCCGUCAGGUGUGGGGUUUUAAUACAAAAGACCUCGAUAUUAGUUAGAGUGGGGUAAUUUUAUUUAAAGGGCUUGUUCUCAAGCCUUCUGACCGAUGUGAGACAGAGGAAUUAUAACACUCCCCUGCACGUGAGACCCCAUUUUAUGGGUCACACAUGAAGUUCCACACAUCGGCAACCACGUGGAGCCAAGUCGGGGCUCACCCGUUCGUGCGAGGCCAAUGGGGACCCACCCAUUCAUGUUGCAUCUCUUGGCCUAUGUGGAGCCAAGUUGGGGCUCACCCGUUCACGCGGGGUCAAAGAGGACCCACCCGUUCACGUGGAUGUACGGGCCCAUCCCCUGGCUCUGAUACCAUCUUAAAUUUCAGGUAGACGGGUUAUAGGCCCACUCCAACAACACCGAUAUUGUCCCCACCAUGUCAAAUUUCAGAUAAAUGGGCCAUGGGCCCACUCCAACAACACUGAUCUUGUCCCCACUUAGCCACAUACUCAAUCUAUCAAGUGUGGGGUUUUAAUAUAAAAGGCAUCGGUAUUAGUUAGAGUGAGGUAAUUCUAUUUAAAGGGCUUGUUCUCAAGCUUUCUGGCCGAUGUGGGACAGAGGAAUUCUAAUAGGUCUAGCUGCAUCACACUAAAAUUGAUUGGUCUAGCUUUAUGAUACUAACUUUCCUUUAUCAACAAUGAUCAUUAGACACACAAAAUUAACCAUAUUGAUGACGUAUUUUAUAGUAGAGGCAAGUGUGCCAAAAAGUAAAAAAGUGUGGCAUGACCAUUGUCACCCUUUUAGUAAUAGCUACCUUAGCAACGUCACUCUUGCUCUGUGGUUAUUGCCCUCUUUUCUCGUAUUGGCCUAUGUUAAAGAGAAUAUAUCGACUAUGUGACCAAUUUUGUGUCCUAAAUAGUGUUACUGGGUCUUUAUUGUUAAAGCUAUUUUUGUUAAACAAAUUUGACAUUCAUCUAUUUCUUUUUCGUUUUGAAUAAGCAAUGUCCUACACUGUUAUAUUGUUAGGUUUUAUUGACCCUAAAAAUUACAAGAUGUACAUGGCGCGCAGGCCGAACAACUAAUGAGUUAACUACGUCCUUCUUAUGAAUGCAGGCUUACCAACUCACGACCGAGACUAAUUGGGUGAGUAAAAUAGAUGUGGUGGUGGUGUUGAAUGCAUUGCUGACUGCUACGCUUAAGCAACUACGACCGAGGAAAUAACGCCUCUCAGCCUAGGGUUCUAGACCCUGAAGACAAGGUUACUUAAUUCAUUGAGAAGUUCAGCAUCUUCUCACCAAAUUCGAUACCUACAACUAUAUUCGUGAGAGUAUAACUACGCUGAAUCGGUAUCAAGCUGUAAAGACAAAUAUACUCAAAAGAAACGAGUGUCUUUAUGGUGAAUGUUGUUUGGUUGUCGGAAUGACGAACUCUGAAAUGUACUUGCGAGUAACCAAUCAUAGACACCUCACUUCGCUGGGGAAGCUAAUGAAGUGGCAUCUUUCGGUGAAGGAAUCAAAGAUUCUUCAUCGGCUGAGACUUAGAUAGGUAACCAACCGAACUAGAAGUAGUGAUAUUUAAACAAACUGAAGGUAUUCCUAGGUCGACUAGUCCUACGACUCCAGUAAUGUCCACCCGAACUGAAUAUGUUGUCAGUUUGCGAACCCAAUGAUGUUCGAUUUGCCAACCAAUGAUGUUCCAACGAAAUGAAUAUAUGCAGAUAGAGGGGUUAGAAUAAUUAGUAUUUUUUUUUCAAGUUGUGACAAGGAUUUCAUGUAUUGUUGGAAUUUAGGAUUAUUUUAUUGUUUGAAUUUGGGCGUAGCCAAUUAGUAUUAGGGUUUCGUUUUCUUGCUUAUUAGGGUUAGGUUAGUUCUCUAUAUGUAUGAUGCUUUAUAGCUCGUAGAAUAAGUAAUUCACAAUGUAGUAUCUUGGAGUUUUGUAGCUAUUUUGGCAUUCUCCUUUCUUUAAUAAUAUUCUUAUUAUUUUGUAAUCUUGUUUGUUGAGCACUCUGAUAUUCAACUUGGUAUCAGAGCAGGUUUGAUCAUUCGGGGUAUCCAUGUUGUUUGUUUGAUAUUAGUUUUCAGUAUUCGUUUUGAAAAGAAAAAAAAAUUUGAAUAUGUUUGCUCGAAACCAUUCCCAGAUCCGUACAUACCUGAAGCCCUGAACCGUACCCGCAAUCGUUUCCUCAUCAGAUCACCACCACGCUACCACUAGAACCACCUGCUACAAAUCCGACUGAAUCUGCACCUCGCCUGCUUGAAACAUCGCGCCACCAUUUUCUUGAACCCAUUGCUGUAUUCUCUAUCUUUUGUAUCCACCGCCGCUGAACCUUCUGUUGUCCACCGCUGUGCUUGUUCCGAUUCCUUUCCCAACGAUUUGAUCACCUGCACCAUGAUCAGACGAAUUCAUCACCAUCCACCCAUGUUGCCGCUGCAAUCAAGAACUCUGCUGAUCCGUAUUCAUACCAUCACCCAAAUUCAACUAACCCAAGAUUGCAUGCCCGCUGCUCAUCACAUCCUUGUUGCACUGCUGCUCGACCCUGUACUCCGCUUCCGUCGUGAACCCACUAAGCCACCGCGACAAUAGAAUCCCAUCGCCACUGCACUUGCAUCAACCCCAUCUGCACACUGCCUCUGUAACUAGAAACCUAGCACAUUUGCCAUUUGAAUGGAUUGUUUGUUUGUUUGCUUGAAUCGCUUGCCUUGUCGUGUCCGCCUAAUGGAGCUUACCUUGUCGUGUCCGUCUAACGGAGCUUGUCUUGUCUUGUCCACCUAACGGAGCUUGCAUCCGCAUCUGCUUGUUGGCAAACUCAUUACGUGUAUCGCCAUGAGUUUGACGGGGGGUGUUGGAAUUUAGGAUUAUUUUAUUGUUUGAAUUUGGGCUUAGCCAGUUAGUAUUAGGGUUUCGUUUUCUUGCUUAUUAGGGUUAGGUUAGCUCUCUAUAUAUAUAAUGCUUUGUAGCUCAUAGAAUAAGUCAUUCACAAUGUAGCAUCUUGGAGUUUUGUAGCCGUUUUGGCAUUCUCGUUUCUUUAAUAAUAUUCUUAUUAUUUUGUAAUCAUGUUCGUUACACACUCUGAUAUUCAACUCGUAUAGUGUUUGAGUUGUUUUGACUUAAAGGGGGUUUUUCACGUUGUAGAACCUCUUGUAUUUAUAGGACGACAAUACUUUGGUUGAUAGGUUCCAAAACCAAUUCAAACUGCAGCACGCUCUUUGAGCUUUAUCCCAUUUUACUUGCUAGUUAUAUCCGAUGCUUAAGUCUAGUCUAGCUAACAUCUCAUGAGAAACAACUCUAAUUUGGGGCCAUGUGCAUGAUGAAGGCCUACUUCCCUCCUAAGAUGGGACUCUAUCAUUAGUUACAAGGACGAUAGAGUUCCAAACCUAUCCACAUAAGUUAUAAAUCCCAAACCUAUUGGAUGUGCUGCUCACCGUGCCCAUCUUAACAAUCAUAUCUUCUUUUAAUUUGUAGAAUGGGAAAGCAAUCACACUGCCCAUAAUCUUCAAAUGCAGCAUGUGCUUCAAAAGAGUCCAUCAACUACUGAAGCUUUAUUUUUGCUCCUAUUCCAUCGUCAGACCGCGGUACACUAAAUGAUAGGAUGAGACAAACCUGUAGUUGUGUUGAAGGAGUCUGUCAGCUUUGCUUUUGUUGCUGUCAAAAUAUUUUUAAUAAACGCUUCAAGAUAAUUAUUUUGAUGAAAAUCAACGAUAAUAUCUUAAAGAAGUUAAAUUAAAAUCUCUUAAAUCUCUCUCAUACGGCCGAAGUUUUCAGAAAUAAAAAAAAGUUAAUUAACAUCUCUUUAUUCUUAGAGCUAUCAAACAAUCUAAAAUUUUGUUCAUUCAACAACCUUAAUUGUACCAGACCGAUAGUUUAAUAGUGGGUCCAACCUUGUUUACUCUAAAAGACAGAAUGAAACUGUGAAUAGCAUGAGUGCCUCGCAACCGGUUUACCAUCGACCACAAGUAAUCAUUUGCAUUUCUUAGGAUGCUAAAACAAACAAGAAUAAAACCAAAAUAUAAAUCAGAUGGCAACGUCAUACUGCAUGGUUGCCUCUUGGUGUAUAAGCCAAACUACAGAGAAAAUAUUGGAAUGUUCUCUAUUCUCGAACAUAUAAAAAAACGUCAUCCAUGACGAUAUCUUAAAAAUCAGAUUGCAACCAAAAUUUAAAUAAUGUCUUUUAGCUUGUCUUCUGAUUGCGUAUCACGAAAAAACAUUACACCUCACAGCAAAUGAAAUUUUAGCACGUGUGUAUUCAUUCUGAAUAACGCCAUAAGAGUUCAAAGUUUAAAUGAGGGAUUCAACCAGGUUGUGCAAGACAAGAAAUCUUCUGUAUUUAUUUUGUGUGUAGCUUUUUUUAUAGUUUUUAUUCUUGAUCGAUUGACACAUGUUAAAAAGUUUAAUCUUUCUUAACUUUAUUGUCUUAAAUUUAACAUGUAUUAUUUAAUAAUAGAGAUCAUAGACAGACCAGACACAAAAUAAAUGUAGAAGAUUUGUUCUCGUUGAGGAGCUAAGCACUCAAGAUUAUCUAAAGGGAUGACGGAAGGAAAAAUAGUUAGAAUUAGGACAAGUAAAUGGUGCAGUUUUUCCAAUGUGGUAAAAAAAUACAAAAAUGGUUACGAUUAUAAUAGAUAAAUAGUUUGUUGACCAUUUGCAUGCGUAAACAGUUGAUCCUGAAACAUCUCAACAAUUAAAUCUAGAGAACUUUAACAAAAAGUUCCUGCUACUGUUUAUUUUAACGAAAAAUCACAUUUUUACACUAAAAAGUUAAUCAUGGUACUAUUCACUUUACCCUUUAUUUUGUCAUUAUCUUUAAAACUCAAAGCUUUCAAGCCUUUUUCAUUAGUUUUCCUUUAAAUCUAAGCUGAAGAGGUAGAUGUUGUGGGUCUUCAUCAGUCCAUUAGCAAGGUCAAUGCGUCCGUUGGCAAGGUCAGUGCGCCUACUGGCCAAGUCCAAUGGCAUACAUGCCUAAUGCCUUCUUGGUAUCUAUGAUUAUAUUGAAAUAGAUAAUCAUCUAAAUUAAAGAUAUAUAGAGGUAGAGGGUACUGAUUCUUCAUUUUGAAUGAAUUAGAAGGGGAUCAGACAUAAAGGAAAAUUCUUUCUUUUAAUCCUACUACAUUUUUAGAAACGAUUGAAAUGAAUAAGCUUUUCUUCUCGAGCAAUUCAUCUCUUACUUUCAAAUUUGUCACAUAUUUUUCAUUUAUUCAUUCAGCUUACCUUAAAAAUGAUAACUUAUGUAUUCCAAUUCAUUUCUCUGUACCAAACAAGGCUAUAGUUCUCAACUUAAGAAAUGCUUAGGGUCGACUCUCUCAAAGUAGGACUCUCAUAUAUUUUUUGUCACCUCACUGUAACGUCAAUUUCUAUACCAACAUUAUAAUACUAUGCUAAAAGCAUAAAAUGACAGAGAGUCUAUGAAAAAUCUCACGAGUCUCUUUAGCAUUUGUGAUAGUAACUUAUUAAACCAUUAAGAUUACUGUUGUCUCUUUAGCAUUUUUGACUACUGUCAGUUCUUCCCUUUACCUCGGUGGACACUCAAAAUACUUUUUCUUUUAGGAUAACUAAUAAAAAUGAUUUGAAAACUUUGAGUUUUAACGAGAAUGAUAAAAUAAAGGGUAAAGUGAAUAGUAUCAAGAUUAACUUUUUAGUAUAAAAAUAUGAUUUUUCGUUAAAAUGAAUAGUACCAUGAGCUUUUCAUUAAAAUUCUCUUUUGUUUUUGGGGCAAAGUGGACACCCAAUUAAAUCCAAGUAUGUGACUAGAGCAAAGUUCCUGUGGUAUUUUUCUCAACAAGGCCUUUGGUUUCUUGUGUAAGAGAGAGGCUGUAGACAGAUGGAUGUCUCCUUCCGUUUCUUUUGAGAGCACUAUUUGAUGCCACUAAUUAUCCAUUGAGGCUCCUUUUUGGAUAAAAUGUCUGGCCCCAGUAGGAUGAGAAUCUUUUCCGAGUUUUUUUGUGAAGGUUAUAGGAAUCCUCAAAUCAUAUUCGUUUAUCAUAUAUUAUGCGAUAAAAAAUUAUUUUAAAUAUUUUUAUUUAAAAUUAAACAUGAACAGUAUUUGAAGAAAACUGACCACACAAUAUACGAUGAAUAUACAUAAUUUGAGGAUCCCAGGAUCCUUACAAAGGCGAUCCGGAGAAGAUCCUCAUUCGCCCCAAUUAUCCAAUUUGAUAAAAGUUGACAGAAUUUAACAUUUAAGAUCAGUUGAAGGAGAAAUUUUUGUUAAUAUUUUAAGUGUCAUAAUAUAAGUAGUUGGAAAAAAAAAAUUUCAAAUAUUCAACCAGUAUCCAACCACAUCUAUUAUGACAGUGAGUAUAUAUCAAAUUGGAUACUGGUUGAAGGCUGGAACAUUGUCAGUUUUGUACUAGCUGAAGUUCCCAGACUCGGGUUUUAUUGAGAUUGCAAAUGCAAUUUUUUUCUGAUUUUGUUAUCGUCUUGAGACUUGUCCAUAUACAAUUAUCUUUGGACGUUUUCUCUUAUAUGUUUCUCGAUAUCCCUGGUACAUGAAGGUUUCCAAUCCAUAAUAUACUUUGGUGGCUGAGAUUUUAGGGUUCCAACCUUUCCUUGUUAUUUUAAAAAACAGGCGUUGCGUCCACUUCAAGGGUGUAACAUUUUAUUCACUCAGCGUAAUUCAAUCACCGUAAAUAUGUCAUGAUUUGAACUGUUCAAUAUUUUAAUUAUGAUUUAAGAUAUCUUAUGAUGUUGGUACCAAUUACUAUUUCAGUUUUGUUUCACUUUGUUAUCUAAAAAAGUUCAUGCUUUGAGGAACAAAAAUUCAUUUUCGAUUUUAAUCAAAAUAAUCUUGGAAAUGUAGAACAAUCAUGCUUUGAGGAACAAAAAUUCAUUUUCGAUUUUAAUCAAAAUAAUCUUGGAAAUGUAGAACAAUUUAGCUUAUGGGCUUUACAAACGUGUUUUAACAAAAUAAUCUUGGGAAGUUUUUUUAUUAUUACAAAUCAUAAUUUUUAUACACAAAAAAUGGACAAAUGAGUACCACAAUAAUCUAGAGAAUUAGAAUAAUAUCUUAUAUGUUGUGGUCUAUAUUUAAUUGACAAGGGAAGGGAGCCGGCGGCACAUAGAGACAAUAGAAAUAGAUGUAUUUGUAGGAUUGUGUAGAAGAAUGUGUGUGUUAUUCUCCCUACGCAAUGCCUUUAUUUAUAGUAAUAAGAGAGAGAAGAAAUCCUUCUCCUCCAAGAAAUACAAGUCCUAAUAGGGAAGAAUAAUAAGAAUCAAAUCUAAUAUAGGAUUUACACAAUCACACUUAAAUAAGAAGUUUAUAACACUCCCCCUUGAGUGUAUAAAUGCUCAAGUAGAUUCGGCAUCAUGUAGAGCUUGAGGAAGUCGACUCGUCGGCACUGAUUCUUGGAACAUGUUGUUCUCAAUAAGGUAGGAACUUGCAUAAGUAAGUAAGUCUCACAAAAAACCCUAAGGCUAUAGUAAAAACCCAUAGGGACAAAAUCCAUAGUCUAAGGAAAAAUGCGUGAGUAAUGCAAAGUUAAAUGAAACAUCUACGGGCAGUGGCGGAUCCAGGAAAUAAUGUUUGUGGGGUCAUAGCGCGUGCAGCGCGAAAUUUUUUUUUAGCCUCGUUUGGUAUUUCGGACUGUACUGACUAUUUCAGUCGGAUAGGAUAAAUAGUCGUCGGAUAGUACUAACUACAUUAGUCGGGCGUUUGGUGCAGUGUCGAAUUAAUCUGUGCAUUGAACAAUACUAAAUUUUUUUAAUAAUUUUUAACAAAAUAAUUGGUGUUAAAAUGAAAAAACUCACAAUAUAAACAAAUCAUCAAUAUAAUCAAAAUAAAUAUGAAUUGAAUUUCAAUUAAAUUAAAUAUAUUCUACAUAUACAAAAUAUUCAAAAUAAAUACUCACAAUAUAAACAAACCAUCAACAUAAUCAAAAUAAAUAUGAAUUGGAUUUCAAUUAAAUUAAAUAUCUCAUCUUGCAUUCUACAUAUAAAAAAUAAUGAAAAUAAAAACUCACAAUAUAAACAAAUCAUCAAUAUAAUCAAAAUAAAUAUGAAUUGAAUUUCAAUUAAAUUAAAUAUAUUCUACAUAUACAAAAUAUUCAAAAUAAAUACUCACAAUAUAAACAAACCACCAACAUAAUCAAAAUAAAUAUGAAUUAGGGUUGGAGGAGGAGGAGAAAACAAAAGAAAUUUGGGGGUUUUAGAAAGAAGGGAUUCGGAUCUGUGCAAAAUAGGGCUGAUAGGACACACUGGGUAUUUUUUUGUUUGUUCAGACCUGCCCAGGACACGCUGGGCAUUUGUUUUUUGUUCAGACCUGGCCCAAAACGACGUCGUUUUGGCCAGGUCAUUUAAAAAAAUUUCCUGGGCCAAAACGACGCCGUUUUGCUCGUAUGUUUUGAAAAAAAAGAAGCGCGCAGCUUCUUCUUCCUCUUCCUGCAGUGCCGAGCUUCGUUCAGGAUUUUUGUCGAACACUUGGCGUGCGACUCCGACCCCGACGACCCCGACGACCCCAGCUCCAAGAGGUCGCGUAUGGGAGCUUCAAGGUUGUUUCCAUGGUUUCCAAGGGGUCGUGCGACCCCGACGACCCCACUGUGGAUCCGCCCCUGUCUACGGGAUGUCAUCAGAGAUAUGAUCAACGCAAGGUGGGUGCCUCGUCAAAACCUCAUUAGGUAGCAAAAACCCUAUGGGAAAAAUGCUCCUAAUCAUAGGGAAAAAGAGUACAUUAAGAUUAAGUAAGUAUACUUCAAGAUACUCCCCUUGAGUUUGACACAAUUCCAAAGAGAAUUAGCAAUGUUACAACUCAGAAAGUUUACGCAUACCAAUUCCUUGAACAAGCUUCUGAAAUGUCACAUUCGGUUGUGAUUUGGUGAAGAGGUUGGCUAGAUUGUCUUGUGAACGGAUUUGUGUGACUUCAAUCUUCUGAUGCUCUUGCUGUUGAUGUGAGAAGAAGAACUUAGGCGCAAUAUGCUUGGUGUUGUCUCUUUUGAUGUAACGCUUCUUGAGCUGUUCGAUGCAUGCUGCGUUGUUUUCAUAGAUCGUCGUCUAGACAUCAAUGACAGGGUAAAGAUCGCAGGAGCUUCGAAUAUAGCCCACAACUGCUCUCAACCAAAAGCAUUCCCGAUUUGCUUCGUGUAAGGCGAGAAUUUCAGCAUGGUUAGACGAAGUGGCAACUAAGGUCUGUUUAGUUUACCUCUAAGAGAUUGUGGUGCCUCCAACGGAAAAGACAUAGCCCGUUUAAGAAUGCGCAUUUUGCAGAUCAAAUAAGUAUCCUGCGUCGGUAUAACCAACAAGGCGAGAAUCGACUCGAGAUAAGGGGGUGAGGCAUCAUUCAAGGAUCUAUAGGGAUAUAAUAAAUUCAGAUAUGUAGUACGUUUAAGGUAGCGGAAAAUCUCUUUAACACUAGUCUAGUGUCUACAUGUUGGUACAUUAGUGUAUCUUGCCAAAAAAUUAACAGCAAAAGAGAUGUCGAGUCUAGUGCAUUGAUCUAAGUACAAUAAAGCGCCUAUUGCAUUUAAAUAAGGAACUUCAGGCUCCAAAAUCUUUUCAUCAUCCCCUUUCAGACAUAAGGGAUCUCGUUUUGCAUUUAGCGAUCGAACGACCAUAGAAGUACUCAAAGGCUUCGCUUUAUCCUUGUUAAAGCGGCGCAACACCUUCUGGGUGUAGCUCGAUUUAUGUACUAAAAUUCCACCCAAACGGUGCUCUAUCUCGAGACCGAGACAGUAUCGAGUAUUUCCUAGAUCUUUCACCUCAAAUUCCGACUUCAGGUGCGCAACAGUUCUCGCUAGCUCUUCAAGAGUUCCAAUGAGAUUCAUGUCAUCGACAUAUACUGCAAUUAUCGCAAAAUCGGGAUGUGACUUCUUAAUGAACACACAAAGGUAUAAUUCGUUGUUCACAUAUCCUUGACUAGUCAAACACUCACUCAAACGUUUAUACCACAUUUUUCCGGAUUGCUUCAAACCAUAGAGUGAACGCCUCAGCUAAAUUGAGAGCGUGUUUCGAGGUUUGGAAAUAUUUGAUCCAGUCAAUGUAAGUCAUUCGGGAACUUUCAUAUAAAUUUUCAUAUCAAGAUCCCAAAAGAGAUACGCAGUUACUACAUCCAUCAGAUGUAUACUCAGUUUUUCGGAAACUCCCAAACUGAUAAAGUAGUGAAAAGUAAUCACAUCUAUAACGGGUGAAUAAGUUUCGUCAUAGUUAAUCUUAGAGCGUUGUGAGAAGCCUUGCGCAACAAGACGAGCUUUGUAACGUAUAAUUUUGUUCUUGUCAUUAUUCUUCCGAACAAAAACCCACUUGUAGCCAAUGAGCUUCAUAUGUGGAGGAGUAGGAGCUACAGGUCCAAACACCUUACGUUUUGCAAGCGAAUCGAGUUCGACUUGGAUUGCUUGUUUUCAGUUUGACCAAUCGGUUCUACAUCGACAUUCAUCAACAGAACAAGGUUCAAUGUCAUUGCUCAACAUGAUCUUAAUAGCUACUACAUAUACUAAUGUAUCGUCGACGAUCAUCUCAUUUCUACACCAAACAUCAUCCAAGCUGGCAUAACGGAGUGAAAUCUCAUGAUUCUCAGGAGGUGGAUUCGUUUUUUCAAGGACGCUUCCCUAAUCUAGAAUUUCCUCGUAAGUUGGAUAAAAUGAGUAGGCGACAGUUGGAUUCACGGUAAGUUCUUCAGGUCCAUGUGCCUUAGGUUUCCUUUUCCAGGGGUGUGAAUCCUUUGAACCAAAUGGUCUACCAUGCUUUUGUGUAGGGGUAGAUGAUUGGCUAGCCAUUAAUGUACUUUUGGUACAUCCAUCUUUGCAAGCACAUUUGCAGUUGGAAUAUGUGAUCUUGUCACUCGCGCUAGAUCGGUGAAAGCAUCUGGCAUGCUUUGAGCUAUGCUCUGGAGAUCUAAUAUGUGUUGCACUUCAGUCUGAGAUUGAGUGGUGCAGAGAUUUAAAUGAGACAAAGUGGGAGUCGUCCAUAACAAUUCGCGUCAUUUUUCAGGAACGUUGACGUUCUUAUCUCCCCCUAAUGACGGGAAUACUAUCUCAUAGAAGUGACAAUCCGCAAAACGAGCGGUAAACAGAUUGUCUGUCAAAGGUUCUAAGUAAUGAAUAAUCGAAUGAGAAUCAUAUCCGAUAUAGAUUCCCAUUAUUCGUUGAGGCUCCAUUUUUGUACGUAAGGGUGACGAAAUCGGCACAUAGACCACACAACAAAAAACACGCAAAUGUGAUAUGUCAUGUUCGUAUCUGAUAACCAACUGAAAUACGCUAUAUGGCUGGGUCAUAACAGGCCUCAGGCGAACCAACAUGGUUGUGUGCAAUAUUGCAUGGCCCCAAGCAGCGAUCGGGAACUUAGUACGUAUGACCCACGAUCGAGCAAUCAUUUGUAAACGCUUAAUGAAUGCCUCUGCCAAGCCGUUCUAGGUGUGAACAUGGGGUACUGGAUGUUCAACUUCAACCCCAACCAACAUGUAAUAGUUAUCAAAAUUUUUAGAUGUGAAUUCUUCAGUAUUAUCAAAUCGAAUUGAUUUGAUCAAAUAAUCAGGGUGGUAAGCCCCGAGCUUGAUAACCUAAGCCAACAGUUGGGAGAAUGCAGCGUUCCUUGUAGACAACAAGCACACGUGUGACCAACGUGUGGAAACGCCAACCAAAAUCAUAAAAUAUCUAAAUGGUCUGUAUGGAGGGCGAAUCGGUCCACAAAUGUCCUCCUAAAUCCUUUGUAGAAAAUAGGAAGAUUUAAACAAUUUUGUCAUAAGAAGGCUUAAUAAUAAGCUUUCCCAUAGAAUAGGUUUGACAUGCGAUUCCUUGAAUCGAACCUAAACGUUGGGUUAGUAUAUGCCCGUGUGAUGAUUUGAGGAUAUGGCACAUCACUAUUCGUCUAGGGUGUCCCAAACGAUCAUGUCAAAGUGUAAUUUCGUGUGCGGUCCCAGAGAUAGGAUCGGUCACAUAGUGGCUUUCUAUAGGGCGUAUAAUCGUAGUAUACAAACCACUUGGGAUACGCUCCAUCUUCUCUAGAAUAUGCUUCUGACCAUAUUCGUAAGAAGUUAUGCACAGAAAUUCAACUCUGUUUUCUACAUAGGUUUCAGCGUGGUAAUUAUUAUCUCUAAUGUCCUUGAAACUCAACAACUUUCUUCCGGAACGUGGAGAAUAGAGUGCCUCAUCAAUGGUCAAAAUUGUACCAUUGGACAACAUUAUACGUGCCUUACUGUAUCCUUUGAUCAGGUUGGUUGGGCCUGAGAUGGUUGUCAGAGGUGCAUUCUUAGAGCAAGUCCACCCCUAAGGACUUUGCGUCAGCACCCAACGCAUUUAUCCACUCAAGUGAACAGUAAUAUACUGGAGUGAACAGUAAUAUACUAGAGUGAACAGUAAUAGGCCAAGGCAUCUCCACCCCUAAAAAAAUGCGCUGGCACCCAGCGCAUUUAUUUGGUGUGUUUUUUUUUUUUUUUAAGUUUAUUUUAGAUAAGAUUUUUAACCAACUUCAGAUAAAAUUUCAAAUAAACUUAAAAAAAAAUACACACUAAAAUAAAAUUACAUACUCAUCAAAUAAACUAUAAAAAAAACACACUAAAAUGAAAUUACAUAAACUCAUCAAAUACACUUUAUUCUUCAACCACAAGUUUUUUGGUAUUUUUUUUUCACACAAAAAGUAUAUGAAAACUUUGGUAGAAAGUGUAGAAAAUAUUGAAAUAUGGUGUAAGGUGGAAGGUGAGAGUUAGGUAUUUAUAGAAAAAAUAAAUAUUUUUUUUAAUAUUUUUUGUAUUUUUUAAUAUUUUUUCUGUAUUUUUUAAUAAAUUUUAAUUUAGUUAAUUAACGUGGACCGUUGAUUUGUGAUCGGAUAGUCUAUUUUAAAAGUAAAAUUUAAAUUUUUUUUACCGUUGGAAAUCCAACAGUCUAGAAAAACUAGCCGUUGGAAAUCCAACGGCUAUGAGCAUGCCACGUCACUGAUGGGAUCCAGAGCACAAGUGGGCUGACAACCCCUCUGUAGCCUUUCGGCUACUCGCGCCCAAGCACGCUUGUCGUGCACGCACCAGCCAAAUAGGUCGGCUUCUUGGUCUAUCAAAAUUGGGUUGGCCUGUUGCCUGGCAUGGGCUGGGUGCUAGGCAACUUUGUGGGCUGAAGCAAUUUGACUGAGGGCCAGGCUGUUUUUUGUGUUGGGGGCUGGGCAAAGCAAGCCUCGGUGGUCUUGCUCUUAGGUAUGAAGUUAGUGAAAUAGAUAUGUUCACGCAAAACAGUAUGCGUGGUUACACUAUCUGCUUGACAACCAACUUUCCCACUAGUCAUACCUAGAAUAAAAAUUAAUUUGAAUUGGUCACAUGCAUAAAGUUCUUAAAACAAAUAUCCAAAAACAAAUCACCAUCAAAUAAUCCAAACAUAAAGGAAAGUUGUCCAAAAUUAAACCAAAAACACAAGGGGGUUCGGCCCCUAGGUGGAAUUAUUCGGCCCCAUUGCCUAAAUUUCAACUAGAAAAUAGUUUAUGUCUAAGAUUCUAAUCUUCCAUAAGGGUAAUAACCUCUUGAAAGUUAGAAACCUUCAUCUUUGUACUUUCUGGUUCAUCCACUUGCACAACCUUCUAGGGAGCUCGGCAAACAUGGGACCAAUGGCCAUUUGAACCACAGCAAUAGCACAUGUCCUCAUCCAUGGUUUCAAGUACUUUACCCUUAUUCUUGAAGUUUAGGGUCUUGGGUGCUAGGUUAAGGCGUUUCUGGGCUCUGUUUCCUCCCUUAGAUGGGCCUUAGCUCUGUUGACCUUAACGGGGUGGCUUCUGGCUGCCCCUACCAGGUUUAUUUUGGCAUUUUGGGCAUUUGUUUGUGCUAUGGUUUGCUUCAGGCACAAUAGUCACCCUAGUAGCUCGAGUUUGAUGAUUUUUCAUUAGCAGCUGAUUCUGCUUUUCAGCUAGAAGUAAAACAUAAAUCAAAUAUGAAAACUUAGUGAACUUCUGAGCCCUAUCUUGUUGCUACAGGACAAUAUUAGUAGUAGAGAAGGUCGAAUAGGUCUUCUCCAGGAGAUCCUCUUUGGUCAAGGUCUCGUUACAUAACUUGAGAAGUGAUCGGAUUCGACAAACUUCAUAAUUAUAUUCAUUCACAGACUUAAAGUCUUGGAAGCGGAAAUGCUGCCAGUCAUGUCUUGUUUCAGGCAAGAAGAUGUCCUUUUGGUGAUCGAAACGAUCGGCCAAAGCGACCUAGAGUGCUCGUGGAUCCUUCUCAACAAAAUACUCGGUUUGCAGUGGGUCAUGAAUAUGUCUUUGAAUGAAGAUCAUGGCAAUGGUUUUCUUAGCUUCGCCAACUGAGUUAUCCAUCUCAUCUUCAAUGGUGGGACACAAAUUCUUUGCAGUGAGGUGGAGCUUCACAUCUUGGACCCACAUGAGGUAGUUUUUUCCAAUAGACCUCCAAAGUGGUAUAGUCGAGUUUGUUCAAAUUUGACAUGUUCUUAUCACAAAAUAGAUAGGCAAGAUGUGGUUAGUGUAAUGGUGAAAAAAUCAAUCCAUUCACAUUGGUUUAGAACAUUUAGGUUCUAAUAGACAUGUAUUGGUUUAAAUUCGCAUGAAAAAAAACUUCGGGUUUUCAUGGGUGAUGUUUUUAAGAAAAACUUCAGGUUUUCAAACAAGGCAUGUUUUUAGAAACUUCAUGUUUCGAAAUAAUUAUGAAUUUCAUGUUCAUAUGUUCCUGUAGAUAAACACAAAUAUAUAUAGAGAAAUAUGUAACAAGAAAAUAUGCAAAUAGAACUUCAUGUCUAUAAAUUAUAAUAAAAUUAAUUAUUUGGACUUUGGGCCAAAUUUGAAUGUGUGGGUGAAAAUUUAUAAAACCCAAAUUGUCUAAAAAAUUAAACAAUUAUUCGGGGUCCAAAAACAGGGACCAUAAACCCAUAGGUGGGUUGAGUGAAUUUGUACCGUGGUCCAGGCCCAAAAAUUGGGCUGGGGUUAGGCACCGACUAAUCGGUCCCCAAAAUAAAUUUGGGUUGUGGGCCCAGUAGCGGCAAGGGGUUGCAAGAAGACCGGGCCUAAAGCAUAGGACCAAACAGGGUGCUGAUCAGGUGUAGUGGGAAACAAGCUAGGGCUGUAAGCCCACUCAAAGGCAUGCUCAUGUGCUUCGCGGUAUAGUGCACCGGUGUUCCAACUUCAAGUUGGGAUCACAUGCAUGCGGGCGUAAGGACACCAGGGCCCCUACGGGCUAGUGUCACACUUGAGUCGAGCCAUGGUCUUGGGCCGCAUCUGUGAGCCCAGUCACGAAAAAAAAUAUUUUUUUUUCAUAUGCCGAGAGGGCCAGCCCAAUUGGGCUUAGGUUGCAACAAAAGGAACACCCCAGCUUCGCUGGGUGUGGUCACCAAGGACGAAGGUCGGCGCCGUCGUUUUAGGCUGUCGUGUUUUGAUCAAAAGAACUCGAAACGAGUUGUGAUGUUUGACAUGGAACCUGGAUGGUGUGAUGGAGAAGGUCUCGACAUCCAAAAACCAAAGAAAAACCUAGGAUUCGAAUUUGGGUUUUCAAAAUCCGGGGAGAUUCAUACGAAUCUCGGCCAAAAAAAGGUCGGCGACGAUUGCAGGUCGUCGGGGAUGGCAGCUGUAGUGGCUGGGCAUGGCUGCAGGCCAUGCUUGUGAUGCUGUGAAGGGUGUCGGGGUUUUUGGGCUGGGUUCUAAAGGUUUGGAGCUUCGAGCUCCUACUGUGGUUCGGGUUUGGGUUCAAAGAACCCUAGAAAUUUUUUAUUUUUUUUCUUUAUUUCCAUAUUAUAAUUCAAUGCAUAUUGAAAAAUAAUUUAAUGCAUGAGCAGAUAUUUGAUGCAAUUCAAGGCAAUAUCAAAUUCACGUAAUUCAACAAUUAUGGGGAAUGUUCAUGCCAUCAGGGCUGCAAAAAUAUCGAGAUAAAAACCGUUGUUUUGGAAGAACCUGAUUGCGUGAUUAUAUGGAUGAACUGGUUUGAUGUAGAAAACUUCCAUGUCAGAUUCCUAAGCACAACAGUAGGAGCGUGCUAAUAACGUGUUGUGGCCUAUAUUUAACUGACAAUGGAAGGGGGCCAUAGGCACAGAGAGAGAAUAGAGAGAGAUGUGUUUGUAGGAUUGUGUAGAGGAAUGUGUGUGUUAUUUCCCCUACACAGUGCCUUUAUUUAUAGUAAUAUGAGAAAGGAGAAAUCAUUCUCCUCCAAGGAGUACAAGUUCUGAUAGGGAAGAAUAACUAUAAUCAAAUCUAAUCUAGGAUUUACACAAUCACACUUAAAUAAAAAGUUUAUAAAAUUAUACGCUUUACAAGCGUGUUUUAAUUUUAAUUUUCUUAGUCAAUCAAUGGAGUAGUGGUGCUUCAAAUAAUAAUAAAGUUCAUGCUAAAAAAAUGUAGAUUCAUUUCUUUAUUUCAAGAUAAAUAAAAUUGAAAAUGGUGUUGGCUGAUUUAGGCUGCUAAGAAUCAAAAUCAUGUAUUUUAAAACCCUUGAAUUAGAAACAUAAACUUGAUGUCAAACUCAAAUUCACCAAUGGACAUCAAUGGUAGAGUACAUUAAAUAAUUGGGAGUUUUAACGAAACACUCCCGGUACUGUUCACUUUUAACGAAAAACCAUAUUUUUACCUUUUCCUGAUACCAUUCACUAUACCUUUAUUUGUCAUUUUUCAUUAAUACUAAAGUUUUUUUAGACUUUUCGUUUGUUUUCCUUAAAUAAUUUCCAAAUAGACAUUGUACAACUUACAAACAAGUCCUAGAAAGGGCUAGCGUACAAAAGGAUGCCACUUAUGAAAACAAAAUAUGAGUAAUAGUUCAUCUCUACAAUGUUUACAAGGUUUCAACUAAAAAAAAAUUAUCUUCAGAGACCCAACAGUAGCUAGUAGAGAAAAUUCUAGAAGCCUAGGUGAGGAAUGACCUGUCGCUAAUGCCCCAAAGGCACCCAAUCACCCACACUGCCAAUUUAACACCACAAAAUAGAACUUGUUCACCCCUAGAUCAUACAUGUACAGACUUUCAAAAGCCCCAAAAAUAAACAAAGUUAAACCUCAAACAUAUAACAUCAUAAUACCCAUUACAAAACUAAAAUUUAUCACUAUUUUUUGCUCAAAAUUUAUCACUAUUUAACCUACCAUCCAAUUGAAGCAGCCAAACCUCACAACUAUAUGCACCACCACACAGGGACAAGAAAGAAUAUAGUUCCAAUGCCGGCAAAUGAAGACAUGAAUCGAAAACCAAAGAAAGAGGCGAGGCAAAGCUCCGCGUGGAAACCAAAGUCUUAGUUCCAUACACCUUCAGCUGAAUGAGGGACGAUUCGUUCUAAGUGUGGGUAGUAGACACCAGAGCUUGGUCAGACUUCUUAAUCGAAUGUGGCCAUUUUGACGGCAAAUGAGUCUUGAGGACUGGAUUUGUAGUAUGGGUUAGAUAUUUGUGGUUCAUUUGGGGCUAAUUAGGAUCUGGUGCACAAUAGCACGAAUAGGGGGAAUUAAGAGGAUAGCCAAAAGAGGGGAAGUCAAGUUCCCGAAUUGAGACGUAGCUCAAGCCCACAACCACCAUGAAUCGGGAUUGAGGCAAAUCAUCAUCUUUGGAGAGAUGGGGCAAGCUACCAUCAUGGGAGAGAUGAAGCAAAAGAGCACUUAAGAGGAAGUGGGGAGGAGAGAGAGAGAAGGAGAAAGGUAGAUGAAGAAACGGGAGGGGCAAUUGUUAUACACCAAUGACAUCUGAUGCACUCCCAAAACACGCACAUUCAUUUCAAUUCUCUAGGAUUCAUUGGAGGCUGGCGUCUCCUUUAGAGAAUCAUGUCGUACGUUUCUUGCAAUUGUUAUACACCAAUGAUAUGUCAUCAUCUCAUGCACUCAAAGCUACUCUUCAUUUUGCUUGGCGUCCUUCUAGCCCGUGGCGUUUGGUGCAUUUGGGAAAGGUCUAUUACGACAUUCACUUUGAGACUGAAGAAGAUAUGCCCCGAGUUUGGAGAGGAGGAACCUGUACAUUCCCAACUAGUAUUUUCAUAUUAUCGCAACGAAAGCUGGUUUAUAAUCUUAGUGAAACUCUUGCCCAUACUCAAUCUCAGGUUUGGGUACGUAUCCAUGGUCUCAGCCAGAAAUAUACUGGGGCACACGCGCACACAAAACACCCUCGCGACACCUAAUGGAAAUAGCGAGAGGUGUAGGCACUCCUCUUCAAUUGGAUAGGUCUACUAAAGAUUGAGUUUAUGGCUACUAUGCCAGAAUUCUUGUGGAUAUGGAACGAGCAAUCGAAAAGAUUCUGAUGCAUUCUCGAAUUUAAGUAUUGUUCCUCGAUCUUCCGAGUAAUCUUCCUUCUUCUCUCAUGUGUGACAAUUUAACAAUGGAUUUGCUCAGUCAUCAACAGUUGAAUAAACAAGACAAUUGCAAGUAGGUUCCAUCUGAAGGUCGCAAACGAAGUCAUCUAGGUGAGAAGAAUCGUGAUCCUUCUCCUAUUGGUCUGAUCAAACCCUAAAUAUUGUCAACCAAAUUCUCGAGGAUGUGAUCAACGAAGAAUUAAAACGCAUUGUUGUUGUGGUGGUCACAGAGAAGGAGGAUGUUGUGAUUACAGAUAUUGAAAAAGAUGAUGAUCAAGCUCGUUAGAAAGUUCUUUUAAAAUGACUGAAAGUGCUUUGAGAUGAAAUGUUUCUGGUUGAAUUGCUUCUUGCAAAAAGCACCACUUAUGUGCUUCUUGCAACAAACAUUUCAAGUGUUUUCUUUCAAAAUUUACUUGUACUUUUAUUAAAAUUAAUUCCAAAAAUAUUUUCAAUAAGACUGCAUUCAAUUAUUUUAAAAUAUUUUUCAAACGAGCUAUUAGUUAUUGAAUAGGUUUCCCAUGUUGGCCGUGUUAGUGACGAUGGGCCUUAACUAGGUUUCCCGUCAAAGCAGAACCGAUGACCUCAAGAAAUACAUAUGUGGGAGUUCAAACUCAAAUUGAGGGCUCCAAUUCUUUGCUUGCUUUCCACUAGACCAACAUUUCUCCAUAAGUGAAUAUGGCUAUAAUAAACAUCAACUUGGCUACCGCUUAUGUAGAACAUAAUAUAUUGUGAAAUACCUCAUGUAUUUAAAAAUAAAUAAAAAAUUGGUUACUAUUUUUACAUAUAUUUAAUACAUUUAUUAUCUAACGGUUAUAUAUAAUUCAUGUGAAUAUAUGUUUUUUGUACAAUCAAAAUGUGACCAUUGAAAUGUCGCAUUGUUGCUAAUACAACUUUGAUCUUGGCCCAAAUGGAGUUGGUUUAACUUUCCACAAAAUGAAAUCCAAACGUAACCCCUUACUUUCCCGCCAUCAUCUACCAUCCUCUCACACCUUUUUGCCGCCAAAUAUCUCUUUUUCCAUCUCUCUCCUUCGCUAAACGGUUUAGCCUAAACCCUCUUCUCUUCUCUCUCUCUCUCUCUCUCUGAUUCCUAGAGUCUGAAGCGGCCAUGGAAGAAAACCAAACUUCCAUGAAAUGGAACCGGCCUUCACCUGUAAUGUUCAUGAGCACCGGCGCCAAAUCUCAGAUCCAUCUCCACACCCACUAUACGGUAAAGGCUUCGCUAAUUUUCUUGGUAUACUAGACCAUGUUCUGGGAACACUUAAAAACUCUCCAUUGGAUUUUCAUAAAGAAAUUUGUCUUUUACAAAUGUGACAUUCGAGUCAUUCAAUUUCCUGGCAUUUUUUUUGCAAGUAACAUUAAAACAAAGUUACACCAUAAUUUAUUUUUAAAAAGAUUUACUUAAAUGCAGAAGGGAGAGUACAUUAUUCUAACUACAAUUUUUAUUUGCAAUAACAAAGGAGACAACUACACAUUUUAAAAGUAAACAACAACAAAACAACAAUAAAAAAACAUUUUCUCACUAAGUGAGGUCCGCUAUAUGAAUCCUAGAAUGUCAUUACGUUCUGUUCUGUGUCAUGUCUUCCGUUAGAUCUUAGUACUCUAAAUAUUUUCUUAGAGUCUUUUCCAAAGUUUUUCUAGGUCUUCCUCUACCUCUUCGGCCCUGAACUUUUAUCUCGUAAUCGCAUCUUCUAACAUAAGCAUCAGUAAGUCUUCGUUUCACAUGUCCAAACCACCAUAACCGAUUUUCUCUCAUCUUUCCUUCAAUUUUGGCUACUCCUACUUUACCUCGGAUAUUCUUAUUUCUAAUCUUAUCUUUUCUCGUGUGCCCACACAUCCAAUGAAGCAUUCUUAUCUCCACAACACCCAUUUUAUGUAUGUGUUGAUGUUUCACCGUCCAACAUUCCGUGUCAUAAAGCAUUGUCGGCCUUAUUGCCGUUCUAUAAAAUUUUACCUUGAGCUUCAGUGGUAUAUAACGGUCACAAAACACGCCGGAUGCACUAUUCCACUUCAUUCAUCUAACUUGUAUUAUAUGGUUGAGGUCUCUAUCCAACUCUCUGUUCUUUUGCAAGAUAGAUCCUAGGUAGCAAAAGCGGUCGCUCUUUAACUCAUUUGAGCCUCCGUUUGCACUGAACUUGCACUUCAUAUACUUUGUCUUUGACUGACUUAGGCGAAGACUUUUAGAUUCCAACAAUUUCUCUCCAAAGGUUAAGCUUUGCAUUUACUCCUUCCUGAGUUCAAUCUAUCAACACUAUAUCGUCUGUGAAAAGCAUACACCAAGGAAUAUCAUCUUGAAUAUGUCCCGUUAACUUAUUCAUUACCAAUGCAAAAAGGUAAGGACUUAAACAUGAGUCUUGAUGUAACCCUACAAUUAUGGGAAAGUUUUCAGUUUGUCCUUCAUGAGUUAUUACUGCAGUCCUUGCUCCAUCAUACAAAUCCUUUAUAGCUUGGAUAUAUGCUACUCGUACUCCUUUCUUCUCUAAAAUCUUCCAAAGAAUGUCUCUAAAAUCCUCCAUCAUACACACUAAAAUCCUCCAUCAUACACAUUUUAAAAGUAAAAUAAAAAAUAUUUGUCCAUGCAAUAGACAUUACAAUUACAAAAGUCGACCAUUUGUUUAAGAAAACAUCAAUGUAUCUGAUCCAAGAAAGCCUUGAGAUUCUUGUCCGAAGACCCCCCUUCACUCACAGCCUCUCUUGCCAAAUCUUUCCAUUUCUUAGCAUUCCUUCUCAUCUCUUCACCAAUCUCCCCACUUUCCAUGACCAACUCCAAACACCUCUUGAGCUCCUCACCCGUAACAAUCCCCUCCUCAUUUGGUGUCACCCUCACUCCUGUCUUCCAACUGUCCUCUAUCAACUUGGCAUUCGUCCCUUGGUCCAUCCACUGAGGAAACGCCACCAUAGGCACUCCCGAAACCAAGCUCUCCAAACUUGAAUUCCACCCACAAUGUGUGACAAAGCAACCCAACGAAGCACUUGACAGAACCUCCACUUGACCACACCACGGCAAUAUCCUCCCGAGCUCUUCCAAUUCCUCUCUGCAACUCAAUAUCUCUUCUUUCUUCGACUCAUUAUCGUCUCCCUUCUUCUCGAUUUUAUCUCUAAUAACCCACAAAAACGGACGGCCGCAAUCCAACAACCCUUUUGCGAUUUCCUCCGUUUGGGCCUUUUCCAACACACAAAUGCUUCCGAAGGAAACAUAAAUCACCGACCCUUCCGGCUUCAAGUUCAGCCACUCGAGGUACGAAGAGUCCUUUGAUUUUUGGAAAAGAUCGCCUCCAAAUGACUUGUCCAAUGGAUCCUUUCUGUCCAAGAAAGCGGACGGAAUCAAUGGCCCGACUCCAAUCAAAUUGUACUUGUCAAUUGCUUCUAAGGCUUCCGGCUCUAGUGCAUCGAACGUGUUCACUAGAAUGGUCUGGUUGGUUUCUCUCUCCAGCAGAUCCAUCUGUUCUUGAAACAAUGAGAGGACGAAAUUGUACAGAUUUGUAUCGACCAUGAAGGAGGGAAGGUCUCGGCUUGUGAGAGCUAAUGGUAAACCUGGUAAUUCUAUCGAACAUGGGACAUUGUUCGUACCAGAAUUAGUAUUAUCCCGGAUGAGAUCUUUGUAGCCGUUAAAAUAAUAGUAGUGGAUGUCGAAAACCGUGGCUGGUUGAAUCCAAAACAGCACGUUUGGGAGGUGAAGUUCAUGCGCCACUUCCGCCACCCAAGGGAGAAAUGAUGUGUAGACUAGGCAUGUGUAAGGGUGACCCUCGUUUGCACUUCAGACCAAGGAAGAAAAAAUCGAUAAUAUCGCGUCAAUAUUAUCGUUUUUUUGGAGAUCCGAAAUUUUUUUAACUAUCCAAAUAAUUUUCGUCAAAAUAUCACAAUAUUAUCGAUAAUAUCACGAUAUUUUUAAAAUUAUCGAUAAUAUCGUAAUAUAAUAUUCAAAAAUAUUUAAAAAUGUUGAAAAUCUCAACAUAUACUACACUUGAUCAAAGCCCCAAAGGCUAACCAAGACAUGCUUUUCUCACCAUGUGAAUGUGCCUUUUAUAGGCGUUCUUGGCUUGCUCACUGCCCUCGCUGGGCGAUGUGGGACUCGACCAAGGAAAAAAAAUAGGAAUUUCGGCCGAAAAUCCACACCCACUUUAAACGGCCAUAACGUUGUCAAAACGAAACAAACUCAAGCAAGAAAAAAACGAAAGUUGUAUCCCUCGAAGAGACGAAGAGAAUGGUACCUCACACGACGUCUGAAUCGUCGUGGUUUGGCCGGAAAAUGCCUCGAAAGUCACUGAGGUCGCCGGAAACUGGGUAAGAUUCAAAUGAGUAUAACUUUUUCAAUACUCAAGGAAAUUGAGUGAAACAAAAAUGAAAGUUGUACUACUCCACGAGACGAAGAGAUUGAUACCUUGCACGCCGAGCAACUCGCCGUGGUUUGGCCGGAAAUUUCCUCGAAAGCCACUGAGAUCGCCGGAAACUGGGUAAGAUUCAAAUGAGUAUAACGUUUUCAAUACGCAACGAAAUUGAGUGAAACAAAAUGGAAAGUUGUAGCCCUCGAAGAUACGAAGAGAAUGGUACCUCACACGACGUCUGACUCGUUGUGGUUUGGCCGGAAAUUUCCUCGAAAGCCACUGAGGUCGCCGGAAACUGGGUAAGAUUCAAAUGAGUAUAACUUUUUCAAUACUCAACGAAAUUGAGUGAAAAAAAAAGGAAAGUUGUACUACUCGACGAGACGAAGAGAUUGAUACCUUGCACGCCGGCCAACUCGCCGUGGUUUGGCCGGAAAACCAAAACGUAUUGCCUCAAGGGCUGGUACAUGUGAACUUGUGACUCCAACUAGGUAAGAGCCAGAUCUAAUUUGAGGCCUUCUAUCCUAUAUUUGUGGACAACCAUCAAAUGCUAAAGAUUAAACAAACAUAAUAUGUUUUACUGCUUAGCAAAAAAAGCUACAAACCCUUUGCUUAUCAGCAAAAAAAGACAAGUCCUUGCACUAGAUAUACUUUCAAAUUACGUUGAGUAGCAACCUGAUAUAUGUAUUCGGACGAAUUAUAAAACAAUUGACACACUCCUGACUUCCAAAAUUCAAUUCUUUUACUUUAUAUAAACUUGAAAAAACAUAAUCGGCAUCCAAAUUAAAGUUUAGUCUUAUUCAAUGUAUUGAUUUUCAAUCGUUAAUUGAUAUACUAUAAUUUGGAACUUCAACGCCUAGACGCAUGCUUAUGUGUAAGAAAUUUAAAGUGUCAAAUUCGGCACAUUAUUCUUCAUCAUUUUAUUCACUUCCCUUUUUUUUUUUUUAAUAUCCUAAAUAAAACCUCCAAAUAUUGUACUAAUUCAUUAUAUAUAAAUGAUUAUGGUGUGUUUAGACUUCUUUCAUUAAUUACUACAUAUUUUCUACACUCACAAUGUUUGUCAGCUCGCUAUAUAAUCAACUUGAUAAUGUUAAAUCCAUCAUGCAAUGCAUUUCUUUCCAAUUUUUUGUGAUAAACUAAUAGAUAAUUGACUAAAUAAACAUCCUACAAAGUUUCAAUAAAAAUUUCCAAGUUUUUCUUACAAUUUCCGUGGUUUCCAUGUAAUUUUUAUCGAUAUCGAUAUUUUACCGAUAUUUCCAUCGAUAUUUCCGUGUUUUCGGACUACCGAUAUUUCCGAUAUUACUGAUAUUUUCUUCCUUGCUUGAGACUACAAGGUCGGUGAUGGCUUGUGCUCCGCGGCGCCGCAGCUCGGACAAGUAGUUGUCGAUGCUGUCGCCGGGCAUAAACCCGUCGUCAUACCCAUCAGAGAAGGGCGCGUAGGUCAAUCCAUCUGGAAUUGAGCCAUUGUCUAGGCAGUGACGGGCGGAGAGACUGGUAACGUAGGUGACAUGCGCACCAGUAGUGUUGAUAAGGCGCUUGACGAAUUGGAGGGAAGGGUUGAUCUGGCCUUGAGCCGGAUAUGUGACAAGUAGAAAGCGGUGCCGCACCAUGACGGCGAAUGAGAUUGCGGAGGUGCGCGGUGGAGCGUGGAGUUGUUG
rnacentral:lncRNA from 1 species